AAAAUUUAUAAAAAUUACAUAAUUUUUAGUAAAAAUAUAAAAAUUAAUGUGAUAAGUAAAAAAAUUAAUGACUCUUAAAUAAAGUGGGUAUAAGAUGUAUAUCUUAGAACCUCUUAUCCAGACUGUAUGGGCACAAGUGAAAUUUUCAUUAUUUUAUUUUAUUUUAUUUUAUUUUAUGACAGUUUAAUUCAAAUUCUAACAGCAUACCCCUUCAUUGUACAAUGUUUUUUUACCACAAUAAUUUUUAGGGGCAAUUGCCUAUAUAUCUUUGAAAAGUUUUCGAUUUUUUUAUUUACCUCUAUUAGAAAGCUAAUAUUGAAAAUACCCUUCUUGUGUUCUAAGUUCUUUCUAAUAUAUCCCUAGAGUUAAAUUCCGUUAGUGAGGUGUUAACAAUUAUCGUUAUCUCUAAAAAUUACCAUUUUGCCCAUUCCAAUAUUCCCUUAUACCGUAACUAACUUUUCUUACAUAUCCUUCAUCUAGUAAAUACUUUUCUUAUUUGCACUUCAAAUAUCAAUUAAUUAAUUAAGCACGUGGGAGCGAGUAGAUGAACGGAUAAGAUCGAUCACAGCUAAACCAACCUUGGUGGCUGGAGGCAUAGUUAGUUAAUUCGGAUUCGGCGAAAAUUCGGUACGGAUAUAAUUCAGAUAAAAUUCGUCUUUUAAUUUUUAAAUUCUUUGAAAAAUACGGUUAAAAAACGGAUUCGGCAAUUAUUCGGAUACGUGAUUUAUACGGGUAUUAUAUGUUCACCAAUUAAAAAUUCGAGAUAAAAAAUUCGGCUAUAUAAUAAAUAUAUAAUAAUUAUUAUACUAUAUAUAUUAUUAUUAUAAUUUUUAUAUAUAGAUUAAAUAUAUUUAAAAUUAUAAUAAAUAUAUAUUAAUAAGAAUUGGGCUCUUAUGCUUUUAAAAGUACCAAAUCAUUGGUGCUUGUAAAUUUUUGGCCCUUGAAUUAAAGCAUAUGCGAUCACUAGGCAAAUGAUAUCGAAAAAUAAUAAAAUUGAGUGGGUGCUAGGUACUCCAAAUAAAAUUUAUUUUCUAGGUACUCCAAAUACUCUAGAUUAAGUUUAACGGAGCCGAUCGACGAUUCGAAAGACACAACAUCGAAAACAAGCUAGAAGCACGGAAGGCUCCGUGCUUCCGAUAGCAUCGUAGCCUCACUCUCUCUCUCUCUCUCUCUCUCUAUAUAUAUAUAUAUAUAUAUAUAUAUAUAUAUAUAUAAUGAGAGGGAGGUCCACAGGGAGGUCCACCGUGGACCUCCCUCUCCGGUCCACGAGGCCAAACUAGCCUCGUGGACCGCGCAUAAUCUCUGCUCCCCUCCGCGAGCAACACCGCGCCCUCUUGCUCCCGGCACGCGGACGGCCUCGGGCGGACGGCAUGUGGACGGCCUCAGGCGAGAUUGGGUCGUCGCUGCGGCNCUCCGCCUGCUCCUCCGCCUUCUCCUCCUUCCUCCUCGGCAGCGGCCUCGCCUCCCCCUCCCUCUUCAACGGCUCCUGCGACCUCUCCUCCUCCUCCUCCUCCACCGGCGGCGGCGGAGACCUCGCCGCGGGGGCGCGGCCGUGCCAGUACGCGUCGCUCUCGGAGCUCCGGGCCGCCGCGCCCGCGGCGCUCGACAACGCCACCGCGCUAUGCACUGGCCCCUCCGCCUCCCCCGACCUCAUUGCCGACCAGGCCGGGUGCGCCGCGUGCCAGAGCGCCGUGAUCGGCCUCGCCUUUGCCCUCCUCGGUGCCGCCGGCCCAAUCGCCGAGCUCGUCCCCUGAGGCAUGGCCGCCACCAUCGAGGUCCGGUCCCGCUCCCGGCCCUUCCUCCCCCGCUUCCGCUCCUACGCCCUCUGCAUGGUCCAGGUCCUCGAGAACGUCAACGCCCUCGGCGGAGGAGGAGGAGGACGACGACAAGAGCGGAGGCGACGGCGCUAGGCUUGAGGGUAAUGAGGCCAAGUUGGGAGAGAAAGAGAGGAUAAUUUAAGAAAAUAGUUUAAUAAGGUAGGGGCAAAAUAGAUAUUUUAAUUAGGUUUUAACUCUGGUAUAUAUUUAACCCAUAUUUAACCCGAAUUAGUUUAACAGGGAAUAACUGCAGGUGUAUUUUGGAAUAACGGUGGAACAUAUGAGUGGUAUUUUAGAAAGAAAAAAAAAAUAGGAAUAAAUCAGAUAUUUUCAAACGUAUGAGAGAUAUAUAGGCAAUUAUCCCUAAUUUUUAAAAGAGUUUUUAAUUUUUAAAAGAGCUUAGUCGUUAUAGUACGAUGUAUUUAAUUAGUAAGAUACAAAUAUAAAUUUUACACCUUAAAAUUUCUUCGCUUGUUAUAUAUUUAUGAGAGAGAGAGAGAGAGAGAGAGUAGGGCUAUUAUACUCUUACGAUUUUAGAACCCUUCGUACUCAUAAAUUGUUUUAGAUGAUGGAGUUUCCGAUUUGGCGAUCCACUCAAUUAAAUAUGAUCUAAAAUAUUUGAAACUUCUAAAACUAAAUUUCGUAAUGUUUCGAAAUCAUAAUAAAAUCUAUCAAGCGGGCAUAAAAAAAAGGUCAAAAUCGAACGACGUUCUAAAAAAGGAUAAUCGGAUUCUUCAAUUUAAGAUCAGAGUUAUUGAUCUUUAUCUAAGUAAUGAGUAGAAGUCUCUAUCAAAAAUUCAAUCUAUUCCAAUUCUUUUACACCGUUAAACUAGCAAGAAUCUUAUAGUGGCCAUUAAAAAUUGUCAAUUUUGUGAUCAUUUGUUCGUAAAGUAAAUGGUAUCGAAAAAUUAUGAAAUUUAAUUUUCAGAAGUUUUAAAUACUCUAAAUAAUAUUUAACGGUAUAGAUCGCCGAUUUGGAAGCUUUAUCAUAAAAAACGACUUAUGAGUAUGUAUGAAGGCGAUCGUCUUUAUAAAAGAAUAGUAAUCCAACUAUAUAUAUAUAUAUAUAUAUAUAUAUAUAUAUAUAUAUAUACAAAUAAAAAAUUUUUUCUUUUGCGGUGGGCCCCGCAUGGGGCUACACAUGGCAGCCACGUGGCUUGCGACCUGCAACCCUUUACUUUUUCUUUUCUUUUUUUUCUUUUUUUUUUUUGUGCUUAACUAUAAAAACACUUCCUGCAUUUUACCACGUUGAGAUGCCUCCUCUAUGAACAAAUCUGAUCGGAGGUGGUUCAUAAUUCUCCCCGUACAAUCCGAUCGGUCGGAUUUGGCAAUCCGCUCGGAAAUUAAUUCUCGAUCGAUCGCAUCACUCGUGACGAUUUUACAAUCAAAUUCGAUCAGUCGGAUUUGGUGAUUCGCCCCAGGUCGAAUUCGGCAUUCCGAAUCGGUUUUGAACCUGAGAGUUCGGGGUUUUACAUAUGAGAUCGUGCAUAUCCCUAAGUAAAACUUUUUGAGCGAAUCUUUUGAAGAGUUUUACGAGAGAAAAAUUAGGGUUUUGAGAGAGCCAUACAAAGAGGAGAGAAGAAUACAGGUUGUAGUGUUCCGAUCUAGAAGAGGAGAAUGGAGAACAUUGAUUGGAGUGGCUCGUUCAAAACGGUGUUAAGGAGUUCUUCGAUAGAAAAGUUUUUUUUUCUUGUAUUAAAGGUGAUAUCUUUGGGGCAGUGUCGGAGAAGAUAUUGUACUCUUAACUACUGCAAAAAUCUUUAUGAUUCAAUCGAGGAGGCAACUGAUAGACCCGCCAAGAUAUCAGAUAAAGAAUGUGAGAAAUUAUAUCGCAAAAUCGUUGAAAUUAUUAGAUAGCGGAUUACACGAUAGCAUUUUCCACCAUGUUUCGAUGGCGGUAAAUUAAAGCCCUAAGACUUUGGCUGAAACUGAAAAAAGAGUUUAAACGAGGGAAAGACGGCAUAGAAUAAAGUGUUCUUCAUCCACAAAUCGGCGAACUCGAAAUAUAAGGAGGGGACUUCCACGGCGAAGCCUCUAAGUAACUUUCAGAAUGUUGUGAACCAGGUAGACAAGAUGAAGAUGGUGUUGUUAGAUGAGGAACGGUCGAGAUGGGGGACGACUGAGAAUCGAAGAUCAUAGACCUGGGAGAUAUUGUGCUUAUCACAAGUUUGAGGUACGUACGAACUGGUGCUAAAGAAUAUAUUGUUCGACACGCCGCAGAUAUUCACUUACAACUAUUGUCGACAGGGUGCUAGAACAAAAAGGUUACUGCAGUGUGUUCGGCGAUGGCCAGUGGAAGCUAACCAACAAAUCAAUAGAAGCAGCCAGAGGUGCCAAGCAUUGGCUCUUUCUACUUAAUAUAGGGAAAGCUCAGCAAGUGGGGAGGUGAAAGAAGCAGGGAAACUACGCACCUCAAAGCUAUGGCAUCGACAAUUAGGACAUAUAAGCCAAAAAAAAGUAUGUCAAUUUUGGCUAAUAUAAUACUUUUUCUACUGAUAGUUGUGGAGCGAAAAGGUGUGACAGUUUGCAAUCCUUUGGGAGGAAUGUUGCCGUAAGAUUGACAGCCGCAGUUAAAUGAAUAAACUCACCAAACUUUCAGCUACAUGAUGAGCAAUCUGGCUUGAAAGAAAUAGUGUUAUUUUUAGGGGACGAGGCUCAAGCCCAACUCAAGUUCUUCGCCGUAUACAUUCAUUCCAACAGGAUUGGUUAGAACAAUGCCGUUAAUUAUAUACUCGUUGCUUAAUCCUUCUCCCUAUUCUUUCAUCCAUUUCCCCCUCUAUCUCUUUUCAUUUUUUGAUGUUUUGUUUUCUCCUUUCUUGAGGUCUUGACUGCCUUCUUUAUAUUGUCAAGUUCAUACCACUUUAUGAAUGAAGCGAAUAGCUUGCUAUCUUUUUUUUUAAAAAAAAAAAGAAAAAGAAAAAGGAAAAGGUGUGACAGUUAGUUAUCUUAUGGGUAAGCAACGAAUUUCAUUUUAGACCUUUUUUCCCCAAAAAAGAACUGGUGCUUAGAUCUUAUUCAUAAUAAUAUAUGUCAUAUGAUUGAUAAGAAGACUCUUUUAGAGUAUGUUCUUGUUUCAUAACUUUCAGUAAUAAUUAAUCACCCUCUUUUAAAAGUUUGGACAUAUGGUUUAAAAUCAAAAGAGCAGGUGCUCACGUGUUCAAGCAGUUUCACAUCUCUGCUGAGAAGGGGACUAGGAAAAAGAGCAUAUGGGCGGAUAACAGGGGUAAAUAUAGAGAGGUUCUUUUGAGAAGUAGUGUCAACAAAAGUAGUAUUAGACUGGAGAAAACAGUGCCUGAAAGAACACAAAGAACUGGGGUUGCUGAGAGGAUGAACUUGACGAUCUGCGAGAAGAUCAAGAGUUUUCGGAUUCGAGGUUAAGGGUCGAAUGAUGAUUAGAUCUGGAUAAUUACUUUUUGUCUGUGUGUUUCUGUUCUUUUGUAUAUAUAUAUUUUGUAUGUAUAUCUUCGUGACAGUAAUCGGCUGAUUCAACCGUCCUAGUUUUUUGUUUCGAGGUUAAGGGUCAAAUAGUAGUUAGAUCUUGGUGUAAUUAUUUUUGUCUAUGUGUUUCUGUUCUUUAAUCUUUUUAAUUUAAAUUUUUAUUAGCCUAAUUUUUAGGUUGAGAGUCAAACUGAUUCAAGAUUUAUUAACUUAAUUUUAUUGUUGCUUAGGUUUAUAUAUGAGUCUCGAUCUAUCAAAGAUUUACAACAUCUUUGAUAGAUGUAAGUGAGAACACACAAACAUUUUUUGAUCCAAAAAACUUCAAAAUGAUUCAAGUCUGAAUUAAACCCAAACAGCAAGCUAUAUCUUACCAGUAUCCCUUAUGCGUCUUGACACAUUUAUAAAUCUGCAAAAUAUGGGUCGUCCAACCACGUAGCUGACAUAUAUUAGGUGUGUAACAGACGACACAUAUCUGGUACAGACAGAGCAUUUAAAAAUGAAGCAUCUGUGGCUCUGCGCAUCAUAGAAUGAACUCUCAAUACAUCAAUUUGUAAUUACAUUGUACCAUUGUGACCGUACGCAUUAGUUGAUACUACGUCCUGUUCAAUUGAAUGCUAAGAACAAUUAAUUGGAAGCAAUAGAUCUUUCAGAUUUAUGAAGGUACCACACUAGAAGAUGGCAACAGUUGGUAGAAAUUAUUGGACUCUUUCCCAGAAUAGCUACACACAUAAUUCCUACAUAUCUGAACAGCAUAACUACAGAUUGUAACAAUUUAUUGAUCAUUGAAGUCUCAACUAACAUUUAGAUGGAUCAUGUAGUGCACUACUCUUUCUCAACUGCCGAUUGUGCUGUUGCCUACUCGAUAUCUUGUUAAAUCUUAAAUGGGCUCAAUAGAGGAUUGCAGAGGAAAACAAUUGCUUACUAAAUCCAAUGAAGAAAUGUAAUUAGCAAAGCACUGUAAGUGACUACCGCAAACGAAAAUAAUGAUUGUUAAAUAAAAAAAAAAAAAAAAAUCAAGUACAAUUGGCAGAGAGGAGAAUUACACAGUACCUGCUUAAUCGAGUUGGUUGAGUGGUGGGGUUGAAUUGGGGAAAGUGCUGCCCCACAAUGAAAAAUGUAGCUCAGAGGAGGGGCAAAAAAAUUUAAUGUGUGCUAAUGAUAGUUAGGUACUAACAACAGUCAGUUAACUACCGGUAAGCAAACUAUAGUAGAGAUAAACGUGCGGAAACAGAACCUUGAGGAAUAGUCGUGCAAAUAAUAACUUUAAUGGGUUUGACGAAUAUACAUACUUGAUGUGUAUGUUUGAAAAAUCUCAGGACAAAACAAGCCAAUGAUCAACAAAUAAGGAAGAAUUAAUGCCUAUGAUGCCCCUACUACAGUUCUAAUAUCGGAAUGGUGUUAUGAUCAUCCCAAUUCUUAUUUGGUUUUUCUAUUGGGUUUGGUAAUCAUAUUAGAACUAUUGUUUUGAUUCUGGGCCUAUAAAUAAGAGGCUCCCCUCUUUUACAAUCAAUGGUCAUUUAUUUUAACGAAAAAGAGUUAUUCUUAUUGACUUCUAGUAUAGGCUAAGUUAUAAGAGAAAGCCCCCUCUUCUACUUGGAGCAAAAGGGCGUUCGAUAGAAAUCCAAACAACUUAGUAUUUGAGCUAUAGUUAGGAGUAGAAGAUCCUAAAAGAUGGAUGAUUAAUAGGCAACUUUAAGAGGCUAAAGUGUUAUAGUAACAGAAGCGGAACUAUGUUAGUGAUGAAAAGAUUUAAUAGAGCAGAAUAAAAUUCUACCUUAAGCAACUUGGCAACUAUUCAACUCUUGUAUAUUAAAAUGGUAUCCAAGGUUGCAAUUCCAAUUUCACAAAUAAAAGUUCAUUUCAGUGAAGUUCGAAUUUUUAUUCUUCUGGCAGUUUCAAAUUCAUUUUCAGUCAUUUCAUCUAAAGUAAUUUUGCAAAUAUAAAAAAUAUGCAAAUAUACGGAUCAAACUUCAACAUAUUUGGAGAUAACAGUUUCUUCUUACCGCAAAAACUAUGAACUUAGAAGUGAAGAGCAAUUUGAAGAAAUGACCUUAAAUCUAAAUUUGGAUAUAAUAAUUUUACUCCUUUUUGGGCUAAAAUUUUGGAAAUUACGGAACUGUUUUUUUUUUUUUUUUUGAGAGAGAGAAAGGUAGCAUGCUACCCGCUUCGUUUAUUUUAUUUAGAAAUAAACUUAGCUGGAAAUGUGAAUCAACUAGGAUUCGAACUUGGAAAUUACGGAACUGUUAUAACACAUUACAGUUAGAUAAUCAAAUGAGCAUAAUAAUUCAUCUAAAUAGCAAAAUUAUAUUUGUCAGCUAAACAUUAAUGACAAGUAUUCAAUGUGGAAAUUUGUAAGCUAGGAUUUAAAAAAAAAAAAAAAAGUUUGUAGAUCUACAUCAAUUUGUGUAGAUCUACAUAAAUCAAUGGCAGCCAUGGAACUUAAAAGAAAAAGGAAGAAGAUUAAUUGACUUGUUAGACUAUGCUGAAUAUGCAGAGAUUUUUCAAACCAUAAAACCAAACUCUCAGUGUUUCAAAAGGCUUUAUCUGAUAAGUUCUCCACAUUGUAUACUAACUGCAUACCGCUAAAGUGUUCCAUAUAGAGGUGUCAACGAGCCGAACACGAGCGAGCUAGGGCCGGCUCAUGUUUAGCUUGUUUAUGAAACGAGCCAAUCUCGAGCUAGCUCAUUAAAGUAUCGAGCCUAAAAACUCAGCUCGUUUAUUAACGAACCGAACACGAGCUAGCUCAUGGACAACUAGUUAAAAGAUUAGAAAGAAUAUAUAUAGGAUAUAAAUUUUCGAGAUCUUAUCCAUUAGACUUUGAUCUAAUUGUUGAAAUUUUAUACAUAAAUGGACCUUUUUAUAAUUGAGUUGGGCAUUAUAUUUAGGUUGGGAUAAAAAUUAAAUAAUAAAAAUCUGUAUUUUAUAUAUAUAUAUAUAUAUAUAUAUGUAUUCGAACUGUUGUCGAGCCAAACACCAGUGAGCUGACCCUAGCUCGUGUUCGGCUCGUUUAUAAGCAAGCUAAAAAAUUCAGCUCGUAUUCGACUCGUUUACUAAACGAGCGAUUUGAUCUCGAGCUCAUUUCGAGCCAAACACGAGAUGGCUCCCGAACAGUGAGCUGGAUUGCCACCCCUAGUUCCAUAUCACAAAUGAACUGGCAAACUAUUAGAAAUAAUUUAUUACCUGCCAACAAAUUAAGUACUAUAGAGCAAAAAGUUGCUGACAUCUUACAUAAGUGUGAGCAAACUCCUAUUAACAAAGCAAGUAGUAACCAAAAUAUGCCAAAAAUUUGUAAACCAAGAUAUGUCUUCCUCUAUAAAAAAAGGUAGUGAAUCUUCUCACGUCAAACCAAGACAACAGACGGUUGAGCAACAUUGCAUCCUUCAUUUGAUAGAGUACAGCUAAACGAUUGAAAGAUAAUCACUUUGUCCAUGCAUCUUUCAAAGGUGUUUCCUAUAUAUUUGAUAAUGAUAUUACAUGUUAGUUGAUUACAUCAAUAAUAUGUUUAAUUGAAAUUCCAGAUGCCAUUCAAGGAAUAACGAUUGGUGGCCUAGUUUAGCAGUCCAUAGACGUCAUAACGCACUUUUUAAAUUACCUCAUCCUAAUUACCAACUAAACAUCUAUACAAGGAUUUGUGUUUCAUAACUGGAGAAGCUCGGUUCAUUUACCAGAUUAUGAAGAGAAGCAAAUCCAUAAUGGCCACCAAGGAGAAAAAUGGCCUCAGUAAUUGUUUGCUUAUCCUUAUGAACCUGAUGUAUACGUGUAGCGUGUCUGAGCUCCAACUAUUAGCUCUACAACCUUAGCUGCAUGAGGAAUGAAGCAAGAGUAAACCACCAUGUACUUAUAUUUUAACUCAAAGCAAUAAAAAACAACAAUAAAAGUAGUAACUAAAUGUAAAGGGUCAAGCAGAGCGAAAGCCAUACGCACCAGUGAGAAAGCCAAAUAAUGGAACUGGGCUCAAAUAUCUAUCAGCCUUUUCAAGAUGAUGCCUGAGAAUACAACAUGUUAAGAGUAAGAACAAAAACUAAUAAACAAAAGCUGUAGUAUAGAUAAGAAGAUGUGUAUAAUUACUUGGUAUACUUGGUGAAGAAUGGGUCUCUCAUGAUAUAAAGCGCCCAUAUCAGCUUUCUUCUUUUUAACUGGGACAUGCCAUAUAAUACCCAUAAUCAGCACUUCACACAAGAAGUAAAAAAAAAAGAAUCCAUCUUAAGGAAUUUAAGUGCACUUGCCUCAUCUUUUUCAGAGGUAGAGAGCUGAUAAAAUUUCACUCCGACUCUGUGAGGUCGACUAGCAGCAUGCAAUAGGAUGCUCAUACUACUGAGAUCUACAGCCAGUGACACUAACCAAGGUUUCCACGAUCUAAUCCCGUAUUUUCUUAUGAACAUCACAUAUAUAAGCGGUCUCAAGAUAGAGAGAAUCUCCCCAACAAAAAAUAAACGGCCCGAAAGCCCUUUCUCUGACCAAAUACUUGACAGCGUAGGUUUUUCUACCACCAAAGCUGAAGAAAAAUCGACAAUACAUAAAGAACUUGUGAAUUUUCAACAACACAAAGUACAAUACAGCUCAACAAUCAUAGAACUGAUUAAAAUAGGUUAAAACGUACAGAGACUACGAACUAUAGACCCGUUUGAAAUGGGUACCAGAAUCUCAAACAUACUGAUUUCAAUCACCUAACCUUUCAGUAUCUCCAAUUUCAGUGCCUCUCAGUCAUAAGAUAAUGAUAUUGUGAUUCUUUUCAAAUUAGCAGAAUUUUACAUUACUUGAUGGGAUAUUCUAUAACUAUUUCCUGACGAAACUGUUUAGUUCUGAUAAAACUUGAUUGAGAGGAACUGAAAUAAAGCAUAAGGGAAAGUUAGGUACUAAAUUCAUAAUUUAAAAUUUAGAUACUCACUUCAAAAUGCAGUAUAGUUCAGCUAGUCUUUGCAGGUUUUUCACCUCUAAAAUAUUACCAGGAGGCUCAAAAGGAUGUCGAAGUCUAUUCAACAACAUCGGGUCCAACGCCAUUUUAGCAUUCUCGCCAAACCUGCUCAGUGCAGACAUAGCUCUCCCCUCCAGAUUCUUCGGCACAAUCCCAUUAUGAUUUUUUGAAUACCCAUUUUGAUGACCAUUCCUCACAUAGCCACCAGGCCAUCCAUUAGCCCUCAUACCACCACCAUAGUCUUCGGGAACAUCUAAUAUCUUCUCCUCAUUCACCACCUCCCCUCCUUGUAGAAGCAUCCUGUACCCGCUAUCGCGGAAAGCAGCUAAUCUCACCAGUGCCCUGAAUUGCAAACAACCCCAAGUUGCCGUGUCACAAGCAAGACAAAAAAAAAAAAAAAAAAAAAAAAAAAGAACCGACGGAGCAUGUUCUACAUGCUUGUUUACCCCUACUUGUACUUCUACUUUCAGCUGCAGCCACUGAUAGCCUCUAUCAUAACAAGAAGAUGAAAUGAAAUUCUCACCUCCAAAAUGAGCGGACGAGGGGGUCUUAUAUAUAGUGCCUCCCCCUGGCAGCACUACUCGAACAGCACUUCCAUCAAACAACAAUUCAUUAUAUAACAUAACCUAAGCUCUUGCCGGGCCCAGCUUCUCAAACAGCUUUUCUGCUCGCUUUCGAUUGCGACAGCAAGCUCAAACUGAGCUUCUAGCGUCAAAAAGCAGAAAGUCUAAUUUGAAGCUUCUGAUUCAAGCUAAGGCAGAAGCUGACAGAAACUUCUUUGUGUGUCAGAUCAACAGCAAGGACAGACAGGCUGACAGACAGCCAGCCCCUAACUAACUUGAAGAUUAAUUCAUGAGGCAAGGGGUCUUACUUCACUCCCUCGGCGACGGCGAGGAAGUUCCACUUCCCCUUCUCCCCGAACAAAUGCUGAGCACCAACUUCAACCACGGUCUCCGCAUCUUUGAGAAUCGACACGAACAAAGACCACGGAAAACCCGACUUCUCGGGCUUCACCGGAAACCCCCGCCCGGGAGGCGGCGCCGUGUCAAUUAUAUGCUGGUUCACGGUUCCGACUAUGCCCAAAACCGCAUAAACUGCACCCCCCCCCCAAAAAAAAAAGAGAAAAAAAAAAGAAGAAAAAUCCAAUACAUAGCCCUCAAAAAACCACAAUUCCCACAAAAUUAUCAUUUACGAAUCUACGCGGAAAAGGUAAAUGUUACCGAAAUUUCACAGAACCUGCUUCGGGGCCGAUCUCGGAGUUGGAGAAGCGCUCGGGGAGGAGCCAAGUGAUGCCCUAAUCGAUCGAAUUCGACGAGAUUAGGAUCGGAUCGGAUCGGAUCGGAUCGGAUCGGAUCGAACCGUGCGAUUUGAGGAGAAAUUCCUAUGAGAAAGGAAAACAAAAAUCAAAAAUCGGGGGCUUACGUUGGCUAGGGAUUCGAGGGAGCGGACGAACUCCCGGUUCGUCCGCACCCAAAGCUUGUAGGCGUCCAUGGCGUUCUUCGUCGUCUUCUUCCUUCUCCUCCUAAUCCGAUUCUAGUCGCCUCCCCCAGGACAUGUAUAUAUGAUUUUUUAUUUGUUUUUUUUUUUUUUUUUUNUUUUUUUUUUUUUUUUUUUUUUUUUUGUUAACGCCGUGGGAAUAUGAGUUGGUCGGAAAGGGCAAACGCCGUUGGGAAUCUUGGGAUCAAGUUCGUGUACCGCGUCCAUGAAAGUGUACAGCUGGGAUUAAAAAUAGAGUUUUAUAAAUUUACUAAAAAUUAUAAUUUUUUAAUAUGCUUUUACUAAUAGCCCAAUUUUAAAAGUAGGAAAAGGCGCGGUGCGUGUAAUUUUUUAAUCAUAAAAUUAUCUCCAUAUUUGCACAGUAUUAGUAAAAAAAACUUUACAAGACACAUGGCGUAUAAUGCUGCGCGUUUCUUAAAGCGAUCCAACGAUUAAAAAGUCCUAAACAUGAAUGCUUCUAUGCUUUUAAAAGUGAAGGAGCUCGACUUUUAACUUUUGAUAUCUCUUCAAAAUUAUCAAUACUAUUUUUAAUACUAUAAAUUAAUAAUUUAUAUAAAAAAUAUCCUCCAUCAGGUGGAUUAUUGUGUACCUAGUUGCAUGUAAUUGUAAAUAGGGAUAAUAGCUUAUAUGUUUUUCAAAACUUAAAAAUUAUCUUAUUUAUUUUUUGAGAAUCAAGAUAUUCUUGUUGAUUUUAAAAAAUUUCGUGAAACAACCGUUGUACUCAAGCUUAAGCUGGCCUGGGCUCGAGACUUUUUAAUCGGCCUAUGACGUGGGCUUGAAUUAAAUGGGAGAAAAUUAAUAUGCUAGGAACCUAGCGUGACUCGAACUCAGGACCUCCUGCUCUGAUACCAUGUGAAACAACCGUUGUACUCUAAAAGCUUAAGCUUUUAGAUAACGGUAUUUUAAACAUUUUUAUAUUUUUUACAAAUUUCUUCAAAUAUUCUCAUUUUUCCUAGGGUUUCCUAAUGGGAUUAGAUUCUGUAAAAGUAUUUUGAUAAUUUUGAAUAAAUUUAAAAUUUUUGAAUAAUUGUAAGUGGUAAAUAAGCAAAAUCUCAUAUAAAUAAUAGCGUGGUACUAUGUGAAGGUAAUCAAUUUAUUUCCUAUUCAAAAAUUACUCUGAUUUUUAUGUAUGAUUCAAUUACAUGAAUAUCUUUUUUGUCUACUUAAAUUUAUUUAUUUUUAUUUAAUAUCAUAUGAGUCUCAUGUUGAUCUUAGUUAAUAAUUAAUUCUAAAGUUAGACUAUACUUUUCUUUGUGAAUUUAUUUUCUACUUUCUCUAAAUUAGCAUGAUUUUUUUGUUUAGUAUUCGUAUAGUUUAGUAAUUAAUUAGUUUUAUUUUAGUAUAAAUUCAUCUAUAUUAUUUCCUUUAAGCUGAUUAAAAAGGCAUAAAUAACUGAUUAUGGGCCAAAAAGAAAAGUUUAGUUUUUAGACAGAUUAUAUGAGUAUUUCUGAUAAUUUUGAAGAUUAGAAGAAUAUUUUUGAUAUUAACACUUUUAGAUGGAUUUUAUGUAAUUAAGGUUGUGCACGUGAAAUUAUCCUUUUAAUAUAUGUAUUGAGUAAAAAAAGAAAUGAACGGUGCAUAUCUAUAAUCUAUAAAUCUAUAAUCUAUCUACAAACAUAUAUUAUUUCCCAAUAAUUUUGCUGACGUGGCGCAACAUUCUUGCUUUGAGAAUUUUUUUUUCUCAUUUAGAUAGCUUGCUUACCCUCUCUCUCUAUGUAACUCCCAUGUCCCCCGUCUUCUCUUUCCCUUCCUGUGUCACUUCGUUUUCCUCCUCUUUAUAACUCCUCAUUCUUUUCCACAGCCACCAUAUUCUCUUUUUCUCUCUAUAUAACUCCUAUGUCCUUCCUUCUUCCCUUCUUCUCCCCGCGUCCCUCCGUCUUCCCCCUGCCAUGACUCUCCAUUCUUCUCUAACCACUACGAGUCUUUGCAAAAGAGAUACUACACAUCAUUUUUAAUCCAAAUCCUUACAAUGUUCAAUCGAACGAUUGAUAUAAACCGAUCAUUUCCUCAUCAAUAUAUCCAAUGGUCGAGAUCAUACGAGAUUUGUUGGCACUUUUUCCACACGCUCUCUAUAAACCCUCUCUACUUUAUCUCUCACACUCCUUUUAGGAUUUCUGCCUCUUUUGUACCCUGAAGCUAUACUCAAAGCGGCAUCAUAGAAUGAUCCCCUUCGGGAUCAACAGAGCCCUUUAGCCGAAGAGGGACUUUAUUUGCUUCGUGAAGUGGCCGAAGGUGGUGCGGAUCCAGUGGCAGAGUAGGAUUCUCAUGCAGAGGUUGAAGGCGCUCCCCACUUUGAACCAAUUCAUCAAGACCCUUGAUAAGAACCUUGCUAAACUACUAAUAUUCUUUUUUUUUGUUUUAGAGAUUUUGUUAAUAUAAUUGUAUCAUCUCUAUUGAAUUACUUGUAGUAUUUAUCCAUCACUAAUCUCUCUCUCUCUCUCUACGAAUGCUCAAGAAGUUUUGGCAAAUCUCGCCCACGGUUCAAAAUCGCCUCAAAUUGGUAGGGUUUCGCAUUAUUUUCUAUUGAUUUCGUCUUUGAUCGAUCUAAUUUUUGACUCUAUAGAUUGGAUCCUUGAGGUGGGGAACAAGGCGUCAAAUGUCGUUGGGGAGAUUCUUCACAAGUAUUUUCGCCAAAGGUUCAACAUCAUCGACAAAGAGGAUCUUAGUCUUUGGUACCCUUAUUGCUCGUCUCUGCAAGGGAGAACCCAUAAAUUUUGGACAUAUUAUGUGAUUUAUUUGUAUGUACGAUUGUUUACAUUAUUCAUGUUUCCUGUAUACUGUUUAAUUUUAAAGAUUUUAUAUCUUGCAGACGUGUAUUUAUCUUUUCUUGUAGUCUAACACUUUCUUGACCUUGAGUUUAAUUGUAUAGAUUGUUGAGUGUAUACAGAUAAAAAAUUAUUUUAGUAGUUUUUUACCAAUUCUUGCAAACUAUUUAAACUAAUGUUCUUCAUUUCAUAUUAGAGUAUUAUUUUCUAUGUAUUUGAUGAACUAUACAUUUAAGACUUAUUUCUCCAAACUAUUAUCGAUAAUCAACAAUAACUAAAAAAAAUAAUUGCUUUGAUAAUAUCUACUCGCCACAUCGUACUGGUAACUACACUAGUUAAAUAGAAAAAAGAAUAGCAUGAAUACUCCCCAUUAAAAACCAAAGCCAUUAUUCUUGAUCAAGAUAUCAAAACAUAUUUCGUAAAAAAAAUUUAACUUAUGUAGAUCAAAUCAAGUUGUUAAACUAACAAAUACAAUGAAUCAAUUGCUAAAAUAAUACAGCUAAAUAAAUUAGUAUAAGCAUUGAACUUUUAUUAAAUUGAACCUUUAAUAUCAUUAAAUAAUUUAUAGUUCUGCUAUGAUUUUUUUUAAAAAAAAAGAUUUUGAGCCCAAAUACUCUACAAAAAUUAAUUCUAGUGUUUACAUAUCUAUCUAUCUAUCUAUAUAGUGUAUCACCUGUCUAUCUAUUUUUAAUUGAUUCAAUUAAUAUAAAUAAUUAAUUAGUUAUCAGUUAUUUACACUUUAAUAAAAUUUGCAGUAUUAUUAGCCAAAAAAAGGAUUUAAAGAAGUUAAAUUUAACAAAGGCUCUUAAAGUUACAAUUUUCUUUUUCAAUUUAAUUAACGAAAUUAACUUAAUUCAAAAUACUAAAGUUAAAAGUGUCGAUCAAAAAAAUAAAAUAAUUAAAGGACCAACUUUAAUAUGGUCAAUAAUUAAAGGAUCUGCUUUUAAAGGUCCCUGUAUAUUUUCACUGAAAAUAAAAAGAAUUUUUGGGCUUUUCUUUUGGCCAAUUUGCAUAAAAAUUCAUCAAGAUUUUGUAAAAGUAGGCAGCCUUUUUAGAUUUUAUAGAUUCAGUCCGAAUUUUCAAUAAACUGACCAAAAUACUUUUAUUUCUCUUUCUCUCUCUUCACGUUCGUUUUUUUUUCUGUACGGUUCUUCCUUUCUUUCUCCUCCCACUUUCUCUCCUUUCUCAUCCUCCCCACAUCGACGUUAACUACACGCUCCUUUCUCUUACUUCACCUGUACGUCAGUCGAUACUGGCUUGAUAUAGAUAGAUUGCAAAUCCAAGUUAUGACUGUGGAUGUACCAAACGGCGAUAGCGGUUCCCAGUUUUUGAGAACAACGGAAGAGGAGACAAAGGGCGAGGAAAAUACAUAAAAAAAGAUGCAGAGGGAAAGAAAAAAUUAUAUAUAUUAUAUUAUAUAUUAUAUAUUUAUAUAUUAUAUCUGAUAUUAUAAAACAAAACACAGUAUGGUUAGGCUAGAAUACUUUUAGCUAGUAUCUAGGGUUGUGCUUACGUGGUUUUUACCAUUGUGGAGAGAUAGUGAGUUGAGAUUGACGGUGUAGUGGUGAGUAGGUUGGACAUAGUCAUUGAGUCUGCAAGACUAUAUAGUACAUUCAAAGUAUAUCCAUGCUAAAAACCUAAAGCACCUAUCGGGGGGGUGAUAUUUGAAAAUUCCUAUGCUUAACAGUACCCAAGUUAAUGAUGUCUUUAAAUAUAAUAUAUAUAUAAAUAAUAAAUAAUAUACUAUAUAAUAUAUAUAUUAUUAUAUAUACUUAUAUUAUAAUAUAUAUAUAUAAUUGAGCUCCUAUACUUUUACAAGUACCAAGUUAUUGAUGCUUGUAGAUUUUCGGUCAUUGAAUUAAGAGAAGUGGAGUUAGGAUGAUGUGGGUCUCUUAGAGUUGAGUGGGUGGUUGGUUAAAUAGUAUAAUCUAAAUGUUGAAAAUGAUUAAAAGCGUAGAUCUAGCGGUAAAAAAUUUACAAACACCAAGUGCUUGGUGCUUUUAUAAGCACCAUAGCCGGACUCUCUCUCUCUCUCUCUCUCUCUCUCUCUCUCUCUCUCUAUCUCUCUCUCUCUCUCUCUCUCUCUCUAUAUAUAUAUAUAUAGAGUCCGGCUACUAUACUCUAAGAAGUACGAUCGCCUUCGUACUCAUAAGUUGUUUUCAAUGAUAGAGCUUCCGAAUCGACGAUCCAUACCGUUAAACAUUAUUUAGAGCAUUUAAAACUUCUAAAAGUCAACUUUUAUAAUUUUUCGAUAUCAUUUACCUUACGAUCAAAAUCUCAUAAAAUUGACAAUUUUUAACGGUCGCUAUGAGAUAUUUGCUAGUUUAAUGGUGAAAAAGAAUCGGAAUAUGUUGAAUUUUUGAUAGAAAAUUCUAUUCACUACCUAAAUAAAGAUCAAUAACUCUGAUCUUAAAUUGAAGGAUCCGAUCAUCCAUUUUUAGGAUGUCAUUCGAUUUUAACCGUUCAUUUUAUACUCGCAUGAUGGACUUUAUAAUGAUUUUGAAAAAUUACGAAAUUUAUUUUCUAGAAGUUUCAAAUACGCUAGAUCAUGUUUAAUGGUGUGGAUCGUCGAUUUGAAAAAUCCAACAUCUAAAACAACUUAUGAGUACGGAGGGCUCUAUACUCAUAAGAGUAUAGCAGCCCUACUCUCUCUCUCUCUCUCUCUCUCUCUCUCUCUCUCUCUCUCUAUAUAUAUAUAUAUAUAUAUAUAGAAUUAUGCUACUAUACUAUCAAUAGUACCAAGCCUUUGGUACUAUUGAAUUUUCGGCCGUUGGAUAAAAAGAUGUGCGGUUAUGAUGAUAGUGAUCCCCGGUUAAAUUGAUAGCGGUCCUCUAGGGUUGAGUGGGUGGUUGGUUUAAUAGUAUAAUCUAACGGGUGAAAAUGAUCAAAAGGUUGAUCUAACGGUAGAAAACUAAUAGCAGGGCUACUGUGCUAUUAGGAGCACAGCAGCCCUUGUGCUUCUAACUUUCUAACCACCCAUCAAGUUUGAUGGGUGGUUAGAAUGAGAGAGGAAAGAGAUAUUGGGGAGAAAUUGGGAGUUAGAAAGUUGAUGAGUGGUUAAAAAGUUAGGAGCACAAGGGCUGCUGUGCUCCUAAUAGCACAGUAGCCCUGCUCAUAUAUAUAUAUAUAUAUAUAUAUAUAUAUAUUUUUUUGAAAAAAUCAAUAAUGUACAGUUAUGACGCUGAAGAAAAAAAAAAAAAAAACAGAAGUCGCCAGUAUUGUAGAAGAGGACAAACUUGUACUGUUUGAGAGCAAAGUUGCACUACUUGAGAAUAUAUUGCACUGUUUAAAAUAAAAUUGUGCAAUAUAAAAUAGAAAGUUGCACUAUUUUUGGACUAAAUUGCACUAGUUGACGAAGUUGCACUAUUUAAAACGAAAGUUGCACUUAGAGAGUAAAUUGUACUGUUUGAGAUAAAAUUGCAUCAUUAGAAUAAGUUUGUCUCAAAUAGUGUAACUUAGUCUUAGACAAAAUUAGAUAAUCUCCCAGCUCCUCGCCCGCGCCCACAUGCUCCCCGAGCUCCACUCCCUCCACCGCCACUUCCUCCUCCCCUCAUCCUCCUCCGCCUCCUAUGCAGUCGCCGCCGCCGUCGCCGUCAUCUCCGUCUUCGCCGUCACCUCUCUAUAGUUAGUCGCCUCUCUGCAAAUUGGCCACUUAUAUUUCUUCUUUGUUAUUUUUAUUAUUUUUAUUUUUUAUAGGAUUUGUUUUGGUUUUUAAUUAUUUGCAUAUAUAUUUUAUAUCAUCCUAGCUAGAUUUGGUAUGGUUAUAUCAAAACAUCAGAUAAUUCUAUUUAGAUCCAAUAUGUUCAUGUACAGUUGAUUUCUCUUCUAUCAUAAGAGAUUAGAAGUGUCCUUAUAUGAGUCAAAAGGUGUCCAUUGAUAUUAUUUGCAAAGAGGAUGGUCAUUUGCUUGUAAGGUGCACUAUGAAUCUCUUAUAAAAAAAAAAAAAUCGUUCUUUAGUUCUAUGCGAUGAUAAAGGUGCACUUUAUUAGGCAUCAAUCAUUCUUUAGUUCUAUGAUUGAGAUGACGGCAGCGGCGGCGGAGACGACGGCAGUGGCGGCGGAGAUGACGGCGACGACGACAGCAGUGAUGGCGAAGACGACGACGAUUUCCGUGGCAAAGACGACGGCGAUAGUUGCAGAAAAGGCGGAGGAGGACGAGGGGAGGAGAGGAGGAAGAGGUGGAGGUGAAGGAAGUGGAGCUCGAGAGCAUGUGGGUGCGGGCGAGGAGGUUGGAGAUGGUACAAUUUUGUCUGAGCCUAAGUUGAACUAUUUGAAACAAAGUUAUUCAAAAUAGUACAAUUUUGUCUUAAACAAUGGGUGCAACUUAUUCUCUAACAGUACAAUUUUUUUUCUUCUUCUCUCUUCUUUCUCUUAAACAAUGCAAUAUAGUCUCAACAGUGCAAUAAGGUCUAAAAAUAGUGCAAUUUUUAUUUUAUAUGGUAAAAUUUUGUCUCAAACAGUACAACUUAUUUUCUCAAACAGUAUAACUUUGGUUUCACACAGUGCAAUUUUGCCUUCUUCUUCUAUUUUCUUUGUUUUUAGCGGCACCAACACAUGAUGAUUUUUUUUCAAGAGAAAAUUUUUUUUUUUUUAUUUUUUUCUUUCACCCUCUAUUUCCUUUUCUAUAACCGUACCUCAUCCCUCGCCCUUUGCCAUAGUUGCCGCAUCUCUGCCCCGACGCGCUCUCCCUCCCCAUCGUCCUCAAAACUUGCGAUACUGUCUUGCCGUUGCUGUCACCAUCCACGACCAUGUAUUCUGUCAUAUCGCGAUCUGUGCUAUAUUCGAGUAGGCGUUGGCGGAGAUGGGAGCGAGAGAGGAGCGCGGCAUUGACAUCAAGGUGGUGGAGGAAGAGGAGAAAGGACAGAAAGAAGGAGGAGAAAGAGAAGAAGAAACGGCUAGGAGGAAGAAGACAAACUGUACAGAAAAAAAAAAGCAUGAAAAAAAGAAAGAGAAAGAGGAAUAAGGACAUUUUGGUCAAUUUAUUAAAAAUCCGGACCUGAUCUGUAAAAUCCAAAAAGAUGGUCUAGUUUUGCAAAAAUCCAAAAUCAAUGAAUUUUCUAUGCAACAUUUUUUUUAAAUUAAUUUUUUUUUUCUUUUUGAGUGAAUGCCCUUAGGCAAAUUUCACUUUGGCAAAUUUCAUUAAGUAGCAGAGCAUAAUAGAAAAUAUACGGGAGAUAACAUCAAGCAGUCAAUGACCUCAACACUAAGACAAAGAAAAAGAUGAAAUUGAAGGUCCCUAAACCUCAACAGUAAAAUAGAGUUUUAUAGAUUACUAUAAUAGGUUGGCACCUAAACCUUAAAACUCUAUAAUUUUUUACUCUAUUUUUUAUUAUUUGGCUUAAAUUUGGAAAAAUAAAUAAUUUGACAUAAAAAAAUCCACCACCACCUUCUCCUUGCUUUAACCACUCCCACUACCUUCUCCUUGCUCAAACCCGCCAACUCCCCACCCCUCCCACCUUCAUCAACACCCUCUAUCGUGAUGACCCUACACGAAAAAUCCACCAAUGUCUCACCUCGAAGCAAAAGAUCCUGUGGGUGGCGGCGGCGACGGCGGCCAAUGGCUAGGAAAAAUGCCGCAAUCUCAAGGAGAAGGAAGCAGUAGAGAUAGAAGAAAAGGAGUAGGAAGUCAUGCGGCAGCUGCGGCGGCGGCGGCGACGCAAGGCGCCGAGGAAGUGGAGGGGCGCAUGGUUGACGGAGUGGGAAAGCCCGUGAGAAUCGCCAGCGGGUCGAGGAGGUGGUAGUGGAAGAUGUAUGGGGAAAGAAGAAGGAGGUGGGAUGAGUUCUCUGGAAAAAAAAAAAAAAAAAAAGUGAUCUAUGCUCUUUUUUCUCCAAAAAACUUCGUUAUGAGUCUAUUACUCUCUUUAUAUUUCAAAAAGUUAUCCAACAUGUCUUUUAUAAAGUUUCAAGAAUUAUAAAAAAUAUACUGUAAUAGACUAUUACUCUGUAUUGGGUGGUACCCAAAUAGGCCCUAGAUAAUUUUAAUAAUAGUUUCUUCUUUGACCAGACUAAAUGGGAAACAUUUGCAUAAUUGUCUGACCUAAUUCUUAAAAAAUUCAAAAUGUAAACAUAGUAAACUUGUAGUGGUGAAAUCCAUACAAUAAGAAAUAUCAUAUCUUGGGCUUGAGCAGAAGCAUCUCCGGUAGCAUGCCUAGAUCUAUCAUGUACAUAGGGCUCUCCCAUACAUACAAAGCAACAAACAAACAAAAAUUUCAUAUGAGUUGGAGUAUCAAAGUAUAAAUCGACUAUUCUAUUACAAACCACAAAUUCCAAAUAUUCUAUUACAUGUUUAGUCAAACAAUGUAACUUACCAAAAUAUUAGAGUUUUAAAUAGGGUUCAACGUUUAGACAACACCAAAAACAAACGGCAGAGAGUUAGCUACGAUGCGACACCCUUGCCACGAUCACCUGCAGAUGAUGAGAAGAACUCUAAAAAAGAAAGCAACAAUGGAACGUGAAAACUAUAUAAAAUAGUUUCCAGUGAGUGGAAUCACCAUAAGGAAAGCUCUAUCCACUAUGUCCACUAGCAUCAUAAUAAUGAAGUAUAAAACAACGGUAAAGAAAUAAUAUGUGUUCAUAACAAGAAAGUCUACUAUAAUGCCUCUAGAAUAUCGGAGCAUGCCAAUCAUCAUCUCUACAUGUAUCAAUUUAUAUGGUUACAAGUUGACUACUCAUCAUCCAAUAAUCUCAAUCAAUACAAGAUCCAAUCAAACUUACGCCUUGUCUAGUGGGACAUUGAACAAUCGCACACGAACCACAUCAGCACUCAACAGGUAGAGCGAGGUGAACAAUCGCAUCUUUACUAGACUAUAUCUCUAGCGAGCCACGGCUUGUAAGAAGCGACACUCACAAGCUAAAGUGCUCAUUGAGCUCAUUUUGGCUCUUGCAAGCUAUAAUUAAUCUAAUUAACUUGUUAUGUCUCAAUUCGGAACACAUAUAAAAGUUAUCUUGCUACAUUGGCAUUUCAUCAAACACUUAGUGGGCAUUUUCAUGAUUCAAGCUCUACAUAUCAUAAUUCCUGUCCAAUUGCUAUUACACUAUCAUGACAUUUUCUAAGGGUGUUCCAUCAAAGAGAAUAAAUAAUCAACAAUUGCAAGGCAUGCAAGUAUAGAUUCCAUCAUAAUCAACCUUUAAAAUUAGAGUUUUCUACUUACGUCCAUGAAUCAUCAAUUUAUAGAAAAUUUCUACUUUAACUAGGAUUUCUCAUGCGACCCUAGAGUAGAAAAUUAACUAUAAAUGUAAGGAAGAAGAUAUAGAGAGAGAGAUCGCUCAUUUUGGAGACUUAAACCUAUAUAUAUAGAUUCCCAGAGAAGGUCGAUAGAUACUUGAAUGGAGUUGAGGAGUCCAUCAAACAACCCUACAAGAGAGUUUCUAUCUCAUAAUUUUUGUCUAAAACUCUUUCACAUAAAACCUCCAAUUUAAAACCCUAAAAUCCACACUCCACAAAAUCCCCCAAAAACUACCAAAAUCACACUAUUUCAAGUCUAAGGGAAAAAAACUCACCUCUUCCAAGUUCUAUCUCCUAGAUUCAAUCUUUGGAUCUAGAGUUGGGCUCUCUAAGAACUCUUCCUUCACUUCUCUUGCUCCAAAUUCAAGCUUGGGUUGAGAUUGAGCUUUCAAAGAGAGAAAAGAGAGUAGAGGUGAAGGCUCAAAGGAGAGGAAGAGGAAAAAGAUGAAGGAGAAGGAAAGAGAGUAGUUUCUCUCUUGUGGCUAAGAGAAAUAAGGGAGACUGAGAGAGAAAGGCAUUUAUAGUUUCAAUGUUACCCCCUCAAUACACAGUUUGCAUACAAAUAAGUACUAGUACUCGAACUUGAGUACUAAUACUCUCUCACUUAGUACUAGUACACUCCAAAGUUUCACAAAAUUCAAGAGUUCCAACAGUAAAAAUAACUCAAGAUGUACCGAUAUUCCACCUCGGAUGUCGAUAAAUCAUCGUAGGUAUAAUUUUGAUUAAUAAUAUGAGGGUUAAAGCAUUAUUUGAUAUAGGUGUAUCUCAUUCUUUUGUAAGCCAUUCUUGCUGUAUCAUAUGGAUUGGAACCGGUAUCUUUGCCGUAUGUAGAAAAGGUUUAAAUUCCUAAUCAUGUAUUGUAUGUUGUCGAAUACUGCUCUGCUUGCCCAAUUAAGGUCGAUGAUUGGAUCAUACUCGUAAAGUUGUUGGCACUAAAACAGUUAACAAACUAUUAACGUUGCUUUGGACAUGGAUUAGCUCACCCGCUUUUACACAAGGACUGAUUGUCGAAAUCGAACUAUGAUCAUUCGUGAGUCGAGCCAAGAGGAAUUUGUCUUUCAUGGUUGUAAGAGUUUUCUCUUUGCAAUGUUGAUUUCGAUGUCGUGGCCAAGCACUUGAUGAAUAACUGCUGUGUAGCCAACUUGGUGUGGAUGGUGGAUGUGACAAAGGAGGCUUCGGGACUCAAAGACAUCCUACUAGUUCGCGAAUUCCCUAAUGUCUUCCCUUUGGGGCUAGAUGUCACCAAAUCGAAAAAUCGAAUUUGUUAUUGAUUUGGUUCCUAGUAUGGCUCCUAUUUGCAAAGCACCAUAUAGGAUGGCACUGGCUAAACUAAGAGAGUUGAUGGUGCAACUUUAGAAUCUUUUGGAAAAGGGUUUUGUUAAGCCGAGUGUAUCGCCUUAGAGAGCUCCAAUGUUGUUAAACAAGGAGAAGGACCCCGUUUGUGUGUAGACUACAGCGAAUUAAACAAGAUGAUAAUUAAGAACAAAUAGGCAUUGUCGCGUAUCCAUGACCUCUUUGAUCAACUUCAAGGAUCAUGGGUGCACUCAAAGAUAGAUAGGGAUGUCAAUGGGUAUGGAUAUCCGAAAUAUUAUCCAUAUCCGAACCCGAACGGGGCGGGUUUAUCCGAGCUAAAAGGAUAUGGAUUUGGUUAUGGGUAUAGAAAAUAAAAACCCAACGGAUAUGGGUACAGGUAUGGAUUUUGUAUAUACCCGACCCGAACCCGAACACAAACCCGAAUAAAUUAUAUAUAUAUAUAUAUAUAUAUAUAUAUAUAUAUAUAUAUAUAUAUAUAUAUAUAUAUAUAUAUAUAUAUUUAUUUAUUUAUUUAUUUAUUUAUAGAACUAGGCUAAUACACUAUUAAUAGCACCAAGUUAUUGGUGCUACCAAGUUUUUGGCCAUUGGAUUAAGAAAUGUACGGUUAGGAUGAUGUAGGCCCUCUAGGGUUGAGUAAGUUGUUGGUUGAAUAGUAUAAUCUAACGGGUGAAAAUAGUCAAAGGGUUAAAUCCAACGGUGGAAAACUCGAUAACACCAAGUGCUUGGUGCUAUCGAUAGUAUCCCAACCGUACUCUCUCUCUCUCUCUCUCUCUCUCUCUCUCUCUCUCUCUCUCUCUCCUCUCUAGUUACUAUCAUAGUUAGUAUAUAUAUAUAUAUAAAUUAUUUUUUUAUAUAAUAUAUAAAAUAUUUAAUAAUGUUUAUCCAUUGGAUCUUCAUCCAACGGUAUACAAAAAUUUCUAUCUUCAUUUUCCUAUUUUCCCUUAUUUUCAAUGUGGUCCUCGGGAUGUGCGGCAAGAGCGAGAGGGAUUACUCAUCACUAAACCCUAAGUCCCUUUGCCCCAUCCGCCAUUUCACCGCCCCCUUCGAUCUGCCGUUCGCGGUCUCCCCCGCCCGUCCCCAAUCCGGCAAUCCUUCCCUCUGCCGUCUGCCCCGCCUUGCCCGCUGCCUGUCCCCAGACGCCUUGCUCGCGCCCCAUCCCUAGUCUCCAUUCGAUCGAAGUCGAACCAUUCCGUGAUUUCUCGUACUCGGUACUCUCAAUCUCACGACGCCCUUCCCUCUCCUCUUCCUCCUCGGUCUCUUUUUCCUCUUCCUUCCAUUCUCGUUUUCUGCAUUCAACAUGGUAUGAGUUCACCCAUUUAAUCUCGUCGACGUUCAGCAAGGUCAGAUCCAUUAGUUUUUUUUGGUAUGGGGCCUGCAAAGUUACUGCUCAUCAAUUUCAAAAACUACAAAAAGAUCGGAAAAAGAAACCAAGAGGCCCUUAACUAUUUAAAUUGUUAACAGAACAAAUUACACCAGUAUUCCUGAACCAUAUCCGCUACAUUUGUAUUCAUUAUUGUAUACGAACUCAUCCCAUACAAGAAAAAGAAGUGUUAAAUAGCUUGAGAAUAUUUUUGAAGCUCUUCUAUUUCAAAGGAACAAAAAAAGGAAAUGAGGCAUAGAAAUGCCUCUGAGAUGGUGAAUUAAAAUCAGCCUAUCAAGCCUUAGGUCAUGUCAUCUGUAACUGCCAAAAGAAUGAAACUGUUUCCAAGGGAUGAGAGAGCUGUGUUUCUCAUUCCUAAUUCCCAAAGCUCAGAGUUUUGAGAUUAGUAAUGACCAAAGCUAAUCAAAAUUUGGUCCAAAUUGACCAAAAUACAUUGUGUUAAGCCAACUAAUCCAAAACAAGCCGAAGCUGAUUGAAUCCCCAAAAUUUCCUUAGUUUUGUAUUUAGCCUCAGUUGAACCUUCAGAACUCGUGCCUUUAAACAUAGAGAUGUAAAUAGGAAUACUCUGUUUUGGUUUUAUUUGCAUAAUCAUUCAAUUAUUCUCUUGGCUAGAUACUUUUUUUUAUUUAUUACUCUCUUGAUGAUUGAUUAGCAGGUCAAAUUAUACAAACCAAAAGGAUAAAAAAUGUCUACACAACCGGCUAAUGAAAACUCUCAACCUUCACCGGCACCACUUACUAUUCAUACAAAUGUAGGAUCAAAUCCAUCCCCAGUUGAUACUAUCGGUGAUGACGAAGAAACCAAUGAAGUAAUGAAAAAAAAAAGCAACUUCCUUGGUGUGGAAUCACUUUUCGAAGGAAAAAGUUGCUGAAGCUAUAAAAGCCAAGUGUAAUUAUUGUGGAAAGAAACUUUGUAGGGAUGCAAAACAUGGAACGAGCCACUUACAUUCGCAUCUCAAGGUAUGCCCAAAGCGCAGAUUUAAAAACAUUAAAGAUAUAGUGUAUCAAAAAAAGCUAAAGUUAGAACAAUUUGGUGGUGAGAAAGUAAAGGUUGUCAAUUUUACCUUUGAUCAAGAGGUGUCAAGAAACGAGUUAGCGUCGAUGAUUAUUAUGCAUGAAUAUCCAAUUUCCAUAGUAGAGCAUGUUGGUUUUAGAAAAUACUCGGCUUCUCUUCAACCGGCAUUUAAAAUACCUUCUAGAAAUACAGUGAGAAAUGAAUCUUAAAAAUUUAUGAUUAUUAGAAGGAAAAUACGAUGAAUUUAUUGAAAUCAAAUCAAAGUAGAAUUGCUAUUAUUACUGAUAUAUGGACAGCUAAGAACCAAAAGAGAGGCUUUAUGGCGAUCAUGGCUCACUUUAUUGAUGAUUCUUGGAUGUUGCAAAGUCGAGUGUUGAGGUAUAUUUUAAUUUCUGUAUGCAAAUAGUAUUACUUUUCAUAUUUCUCAUUCAUAAAAGUAACUUUCAUUAUUAUUCAUUAUAGGUUUGCCUAUGUACCUUGUCCACACACUGCUAAUACACUUUCUGAUGUAUUGAUGGACACAUUUAUUAAUUGGAAUCUUGAUAAAAAGCUCUCUACUCUAACAGUAAACAACUGCAGUUCGAAUGAUGUUAUUGUAGAUAUCCUAUUGGAUAAGCUUGAAAACAGGUCUCUUAUGGUGCGUGGGCAUUUUUUUCACAUGCGUUGUUGUGCGCAUAUUCUUAAUUUAAUUGUUAGAGAUGGAUUAGAGAUGAUUGGAGAUGCUUUUGAGAAAAUACGAGAUAGUGUUGCAUUUUGGAAGGCAACACCAAAGAGAGAGGAAAAGUUUGAAGAAACAGCCCGUCAGUUGGACAUUUCAAGUACUAAGAAAUUGGUGCUUGAUUGUAAAACGCGAUAGAAUUCUACAUUUUUAAUGCUUCAAUCUGCUUUGGUAUAUAGGGAUAUUUUCUCACGUUUGAAACUUCGUGAGCCAUUAUACAAGUGUUUGCCUUUAGAAGACGAUUGGUGUGUAGCGGUGGACAUAUGUGAGACACUCGAACUUUUUUAUAGUGUAACCGAAAUUUUUUCGGGUACAAGAUAUCCGACGGCUAAUCUAUUUUUUGAAAAAGUGUGCGAUAUUAGAUUGACAUUACUUGAGUGGUCUGUAGAUCUUAAUGAGAUGAUUAGAUCCAUGGCUGAAAAAAUGCUUAAAAAAUUUGAUAAAUAUUGGCAUAUAAUUCAUGGCAUUAUAGGAGUAGCAACUGUUUUGGAUCCAAAAUAUAAGUUGACUUUAUUAGAUUGUUAUUUUUCGACCAUUUAUAGUACCGAAGUCAAUAAUGAUCGAAGUUGAUAAAAUUCGACAAUUAUGCUAUGAUCUCCUUAGUGAGUAUCAAGAAAGAAACAAGCAAGACAAGGAAGUUGGUGGUAAAUCUUCUCAUUCAUUUUCUUCUUCUAUUAGUGAAGUUGGCAGUCGUAGUAUGAUUAACAGGAAAAAUUUUACUGCUAUUUAUGAUCAAUAUAUGAUGCAGAAGAAGAAAUCAACAUCUAGUACACCUAUAAAAUCCGAAUUGGAUCAUUACUUAGAGGAGGAUACAUUACCAAGAACAGAUAAUUUUGAUGUGUUGGCUUGGUGGAAAAGUAAUGGCCUCAAGUACCCUACAUUGAUGAUGAUGGCUAGAGAUAUCCUUGCAAUUCCAAUUUCUACUAUUGCAUCCGAGUCGACAUUUAGUACUAGUGGAAGAUUUUUAAGUCCACAUCGAAAUCGGCUUCUUCCUGAUGUUUUAGAAGCAUUAAUGUGUACUCGUGAUUGGCUUUGGGCAAAAUUUCAUCAAGAAGGUUUUUUUAAAAAAAUUUAGUGAUAUAUAAUUUAGUAUUUUAAAAUAUGUCUAUUAUAGUUAUUAUUUAUAUUGAUAUCUAAUAUGUUAUUUGUAGAUUCCUCUACAGCUACAUCGUAUUAUUGAUCUUCGUUGGAUGAUGAUGAUGAAGGUGGCAUCAUUGAUGUUGAUGAGGUAAUUUCUAAUCAAUAUUUUUAGAAAGGAAUAGUAUAAGAAUUUAUUAUUCUAGAAAUACUUUUAAUAGUUUUUGUAUCUUUUCUCAUGUACAGGAAUAAUAUAUAAUUUGCCAACGCAUCUUGGAGGAUUGACUAAUGACGAGGAGGCUAAGCGAAUGUUGUAUUAGAUAACUUAUUUAAAUUUUAAUGUAACAUUUUGAUAUCUAGAAAUUGUACUAGAUAUUUAGCGAAUGUAUUGUUGUCUUUAACUAUUUGAAUUUAUAUUUUUUUUAUCGAAAUAUUGAUAUUAUAUGGCAUGAAUGUAUUUGAUUGUGUUUUGAAAUUUUGAUUGUGCAUGUUUUUUUAUUGUGUUUUGAAAUUUUGUAUCGAAAUAUUGAUAUUAUAUGGCAUGAAUGUAUUUUGAUUGUAUUUGAUUGUGUUUUGAAAUUUUGAUUUUACUAUAAUUUAUUUUGAAAUAUGUUAAAAAAAAUUCAUUAUUUUGGGUUCGGGUUUUCGGGUUCGGGUUCGGGUUUUUGAAAACCCGACCCAAACCCGACCCGUUGACAUCCUUAAAGAUAGAUCUCCAAUCUAAAUAUCACCAACAUAAGAUCAAGCCAGAAUAUAUGCAUAACACGACUUUCAAGACACAGUAUGGACACUACAUGUUCAGAGUUAUGCCGUUCAAACUCACCAAUACCUUGUUGGCCUUUAUGGAUUUAAUGAACCAUAUUUUCAAACUGUUUUUGGAUCGAUUAGUAGUGGCCUUCAUUAACGACAUCUUGGUGUUCUUUUGGAGCUAGUGAUGCUGAUCACAAAGAACAUUUGAGACAAGUGUUGCAUGUUUUGCAGAGUGAGAAACUUUUUGCCAAAUUGAAAAAAGAAUGUGAAUUUUAGCUUCAGAAAGUUGCUUUCUUGGGAGAUGAUACUGGCAUGUUGGUCAAUUCAAAAAAAUUUUAGCAAUCCAAGACUGGCCAUGGCAGACAAAUGACACUAUGGUAAGGAGUUUUCUUGGUCUUGCUAAAUACUAUCGUCGAUUUGGCGCAUUACUUGUGCAGCUACCCAAUAGCAUUAAAUUGAUGUGUUAGGACAGCGGGAGAGUAGGAUAAGUGUGAGACUCAUUUCGAGACACCUCGUGGGUUGGGGUGACGUUCCGACGAGUCGGUUCGACAAUCGGGCGAUCUUUCGGUGACCGUGGAACGGGGUCCGGAAAUCCAAUUGUUUGCCCGUUUGGAUUCACUUAGAGUCAUAGCUUUUGUAAUUAGUGAGUUUGAAAUAAUUACGAUUUUGGAUCAUACUUUGCUUAGGUUAGGCCUAUGACGGGAGACAUUAACAGGGUGUUGAUGACCUGAUUUCAUUCUAUAGAAGAAGUGGAUACUUCAAUCCGAAGUCGGUAAAAUGGUGCUUGCUCAGUGAUUUCUAUCCCUAUUACCUCCUUUCAUUUACUUAAUACUGGUGAGCUUUUGUACACCACUUGACUUCUUAGCUAGUUGCUCUACACUUGUUCCUAUCUCAUUUUAUCAUAAUUUAGUGGCAGAGCGGUGUUCCUUGGUAAUUGAAUUGUCUAUUGUAUAUUGAUAAAAGAUAACUAUGACAUUAGUUGGCACUCGUUGUUGGUGACACUCCUAGAUGUGUAUUGCAUGAUAUGGCAUUAGUUGACACUCGUUGUCGCUGACACUCCUAGAUGUGUAUUGCAUGAUAUGGCAUUAGUUGACACUCGUUGUCGCUGACACUCCUAAAUGUGUAUUGCAUGAUAUGACAUUAGUUGACACUCGUUGUAGCUGACACUUCUUGAUGUGUACUGCAUAAUAUAAUAUUAGUUGACACUCAUUAACACUACUAUUUGUAUAUUUCAUGAUUUGAUAAUUGUUGACCAUGUGGUUAGUGACACUUCUAGUGGUAUAUCGCAUGACUUGACAUUAGUUGACCUGAUGGUCGGUGACACUCCUAGAUAGAUAUUGACCUAAUUGCUUGGUGACUCUUUGUGGAUUAUUCUCUCGGCUACUUGCCGAUGUUGGCUAUUGAACAUGUUGCAUCGAUCGCCACAGCUCAUGAGCAUUUCAUGUACACCAGUGGUCUGAUCCACCGCAAGAGGGUGUUCUUUUCUGAAAAAGUUGUCGUACUUCUGACCUGUGAGCCUUACGAGGUGGCUGUUAGGGUUAUAUGUCAGGUGGGCGAGCAGGAUGUGGUUCAACCUGAGGUCUUUUGACCCAUAGGGCAGUUGAUUUAGUUGUUAGUGCUAUCCACCAUUUGAUGCAUUGGAGUAUCCUGUUGUUCGUUAUAGUAGCGGAUAGUUAUGCAUUGAUUAACAAUUAUAGUUCUUUUUAGUCACUAUUGCUACUGUUCCGAUGCAUAUGUUGAUUAUGCCUAAUUAUUGAUUUCUACCUUAUCUUACAAUAGUAGUUACUUUUGCAUCUAUUGCCGGUUACUAUUCUAUUGCUACUGUACUUAUGAUAUCUGUUCAUGAUUAUAGUUAUCUUUUCUAUCCGGCGGUGAGUUCAGCUCGCCUUCGUCGGCUUGCGAUACUCGGUGGGAGGAGAGACUUGUUUACAUGUUCUCACCCCCAACCAUUUUUCGAGUAACGCGAGCGGUGAGUGUUGGGACAGUGCGUGAGGAUGAUACUAGAUAGCCGAUCAGUCCGUUGUUGACAUUCAUUAUCGUUUUACUGGAUUAGUUUAGUUCACUUCCUAUUAAUGUUUAAAAAUAUUGGAUGGAUGGUUAUUAUGUGAUCAUCAUAUUGUUUGUGUUGUGUGGUUGUAUGUUUGGUUGACUUUGUAUUAUGGUGCUACGCCGUGCAUAUACAGGAAAGACUCUAUCAAUUCAUAUAGGGGAUUCUUUGUUCAUGUGGCGGGUCUAUAUGCGUCUGUGGGGUGUUCUCAAAGGUGUUUUAAAAAAAAUCUAUACAUUUUUUGCUAGUUUCCCUAAGAAGGAUUUUUAAAAAAAUCUCGAGGUGUGACACUGUGCAACUCCCAUAGACCUGAAAACCCUCUAGACCAAUGUUGUGCCAAGCCUGCACAUAAGUCCCUACAGUAAUUGCUCCUUGUGUCCAAAGCCCAACACACCCCAUGUUAGUUGGGCCCUAUUCUACGCAGCCCUGACAGAAAGUUGGCCCUUCUAAGGACCUUCAACACAUUCCAAAAUCAAACAGCUAGCUCUCUGCCACCCAUGACACCGUUUCCCAACAAAAAAUAUCAUCCCUCAUAAGCAAUAAUGUUCAUUCUUAAAAGUUGAUCCUCUUUUCUCUCUGUUCUCUUUUUCUUUCACUUUUUCCUUACCCCCUUGUUUAGCAUUUGCAUGAAAAAAGGAACCCCUUUCCUUUACCUUUUCAUGGUGCGAUCUUGAUUUUCUCCCACACAAACAAAUCCUAUCUUUGACCUUAUCGUCACUUUUUCUCACACAGUUUAGCAUACCUUGUACAUGUCGCAGUCCUCUCUUUGCAUUUAGAUCUACUAAUGACCGUUGGAGCAAAAACUUGGACAUCAUGUCAUCACUAGUGCUGGCGAUCAUUGAUGGACCUAUUGUCUAUUGCUGUCUUCUCCGCCUAUUAGACAACCUUUUCAUGCCAUCUAUCUACUGUUUGAUUUCUACCUCCCCUAUCUCCACAUUGCUUACUCCAUUACUGUCGAUCGAAAGCCCAUUGCCUUUUAGCUCCUGAUUCCCUUCGCCCUCUUCAUCAGGAUCGCCAGGCGGUGGCAGCACAUCCCACCGUAAUCACCUUCCGUUUUCGAACUCUCCAAUUGAACUAGUACAAAGGCUAUAUCAUCACCUAAGGCUAUUGUUAUGUUUUGUGGUAUGUCCCAAAGAACGUCAACAACGAUUUGACAAUGAAAGGCUUUCAAAUCAGUCAUUCUUUUAGCGGCUUCAUCUACCCUAAAAAAUUUAUCAAACCUACUAACGAGAGCUGCAACCCUUGCCACCAUCGAUCACUCUCAAGGAAGGUUACAUAGCUUGAUCCAUGCCGUAUAUGGCAACCUGAGAGGAGUUGCAUGCCUAUAAGGGCCCCAAGCAUAGCAGUUCAACCAAAAGCCUUCCAAAGUGAUGAUUUGGCGCCGUAUCAGCAUCUUCGCGAGACCCAUUUAAGGAGAUAUAUCACGAACUCCCGAUCCUUAUUACUCGCUAAAAAGACGUCCUUGGAGUAUCUACCAAAUUGGUUUGCCAAUGCAUUUGCGUUGGUUUGUUGUGAGAAGUGUCCCAGAUUCAUCAGCUAUACGGCAUCAGCCAACAUAGCAUUCUGGCAUAAUUCUCUAUGCUUAAAGUACUUCGUGUAUGGAAUGUAAGCCCUCAUAUUCGGCACACAACCCUGGCACGCUACACUCUGAACAUAGUGCUCCUUAUGUUGUUGAACCAUUGUUUAAACUAAAAAGCCCAGUGUCUAAUCUUGAGGCACCAAAGACACCUAAAGGGAUCCCGACACGUUGUUGCUUUAUGUUCCUAACUAAGGCACCUGGCGCACCUGCCAUCUAAGGUCUCACUCUCGUCACAGGCUUGUUGGCUUAAAUAGGCUAGAAUCCUGCCCUGUGGCGGGAGGCCAUGUUGGGCCGAGUCAUGUUCGAAAUGACGUGAGGCUGGGUGGGCCGAGUCAUGUUCGAAGUGGCGUGAGGCUGGUGGGGCUGAGUCACAAUCGAGACCCGUGGGCGCUAUUUCUGUACGCUUUAAGUGGAUUGGUUGCGUAUUUCUAACAGCUCGAGCUUUUGGGAUUAAUGGUUAGCGCCAACGAUCUGACAAGUGGUAUCAGAGCCAGAGGUCAUAGGUUCGAUUCCCGCAUGCUGCAAAUGUGUCCAAGUGUUGGGGAGGGGAUUGUUGGUUUAAAUGGGCCAGCAUCCUACCCUGUAGCAGGAAGCCAUGUUAGGCCAAGUCAUGAUCGAAAUGGUGUGAGGCUGGAUGGGCCGAGUCAUGUUCGAAGUGGCGUGAGGCUGGUGGGGUCGAGUCACAAUCAAGACCCAAGGGCACUGUUUCUGUAUGCUUUAAGUGAAUUGGUUGCGUAUUUCUAAUAGCACGAGUUUUUGAGAUUAAUGGUUAGCGCCAACGAUCCGAUAGGGCUUACAUUGCUUUAUAUUUAGGUCUUUGAAUUUGGCUUGCACAGGCGAUAUUGGUUCUAUCAACAAGGCCUCUUUAUAGGACUUAAGGGCUCCAGGAGUAGAGUAAUGGUGACCGAUGCUCCUAGGUUGUUCAUUCUCUACCAUUUCACUACUGAAUCCAUCCAUAUCUUUUUCCAGAAUGAUGACAAACUUCAAUGUGAUCUUUUUCUAUUAAUUGUAGUUUCUAAUACACGUGGCAAAGGGCUUGAUAGUUGGCAACUGAGGUUGCAAGUUUGAAGCCCAGUUACGUCAUAUUUUCAGCUAAGUUUAUUCUUUUAAAAAAAAUGAAUGAGCAGAAAGCAAAUACAUUCAAAAGGGUGUAAGACUCACACCUUUUCAUCUGAGAGUUUAGGUAUGUCUUGUGGAUUUUUUAAUAUUAAAAGUAGAUCGAUACGACUAGUGUAAAGAAAUGGGUCUCUAGAUGAAGAAGAUGUAAGAUUUUGCUUAGUUUCUGGAUAUUGAUAUGAUUAGUAUAAAGAAAUGGGUCCGUAGGUGAAGAGGAUGUAAGAUUUUGCUUACUUUCUAGGUAUACAAAUAGUGUGUAAGCUUUUGCUUACUUUCUGGAUAUACAAAUAGUGUUGCCAAACUUUAACCUUCAACUUCCCCUUCCGGAAACUUCCUUUGGAUUCUUCCUACUCCUAUUGAGUAGAUGGAUCGAUAUAAAAGUGGCUUUCUUCCAUGGUGACCUAAAGAAGGAGAUAUAUAUGUCACAACUAGCUAGAAGGUUGUUAAAUAAAUUGUUGUACAACGUGCAAAAGACGCAAAGGUGUUGGUACAAAUGGUUUGAUUCCUUCAUUGUGAGUUUGGGUUUUGAUAAGUUUGAAGUGGAUCAUUGUGUUUAUUUCUAUGAAUAUGAUGAUAGGGGCUUUUGCAUAUUGUUAUUCUAGGUCGACGACACAGUGGCUGUGGGAAAUAGCAAGGCCAAAUAUCUACUCUAAAGACUCAGUUGGUUGGGGAAUCAGAUAUGAAGGACUUAGAAUCCGUGAACCAAAUAUUCAGGAUGGAGGUGUUGCAUAAGAGAAAGAAUGGAAAAGUUUGGCUUUUCACAAAAGGCUUAUGUGGAGAAGAUUUUGUGGCCCUUCAAUAUGCAAAACUCAAACUCAAUUUCUACCUUAUUUUUUAUUCAUUUGAAACUGUCUACAGUGCAAUCACCCAACAGUGAAGCAGAAAAAGUCAACAUGGCUCGGAUACCAUAUUCUUCGACAGUAGGGAGCCUUAUAUUUGCCAUCAUAUGUGCGAGACCUGAUAUUACUCAAGCAAUAGGAGAAUGAGUCGGUAUAUGGCAAAUUUGGUUGUGAAUAUUGGAAUGUAGUGAAGUGGAUCUCAAGUUUUUGAGGGGCACCGCAAAUUUCUCACUCUAUUAUAGUUCUGUAGGUUUGGAGUGAGUUGGAUAUGUGAAUGUAGUUUUCGUAGGAGAUAGAGACAUAAGAAAGUUUACCACGGGAUAUGUAUUCUCCAUGGGUGGUAGUACCAUUAGCUGGAAGUCGAAGCUUCAGUCGGUGAUUGCUUUGUCGACGAUAGAGGCAAAGUACAUAGCAAUAAUACAUGUUGUAAAGAGGCUAUGUGGUUAAAAAACUUCAAGGAGAAUUGAAAGUGAAGUAAAAUAUGGUGGGAGUGAAUUGUCCUAAUCAAAGUGCAAUACACUUGGCGAACAAUCUGGCGUUUUACUCUCAGAUGAAACACAUUGACAUUCGCUAUCAUUUUGUGACAGAUGUAGUGGAUAAGCAUCUUAUUUUCUUGUUGAAGGUUCAUAUCGAUACAAAUCCAGCGAAUAUUUUGAUGAAGCUGGUGACUCAAGAAAAGUUUAAUUGGAGCAUGAUUUUAUUGGUCUUGGAGCUACUAGAAGAAAGCGAUAGCUUGUCAAGACCUCUGAUUUGGUGUUUUAUGGAGUUCGGCACAUGUCUUCAAGGGAGAGAAUUGUUAGAUUAUGUGAAGCCAUAUUCUGAGUCGAUAUUAUGGUGAAAAAGUUGAAAGUUUGAGGUUUUUCGAUAUUAAAUAUCAAAAGUUAAAGUUUGAGUAUCAAUAUCGACAAGUACAUCAGAUGUUCCUCAAAUUCGAAGUUGUGAAGAACGAUCUAUAUAUUGAGUAUUGGUAUGCGAUUUUGAAUACUAUAAAUUCUGGAGGUGUUUUAGUUUCGGUACUCCAACUUAGGCACUAGUACUCAACUCUGAGACAAACAAGGUAAAUUGGAUUUGACUCCAAGUUGAUAUAAUCUUAAGUCUUGAGAUUAAGGAUGGUCCAAGAACACUUUGGAGAGGGUUUUAAGAGGAGAUCAACAGUUAGAAGUGAAUCGGGGACUCAGAUAGAUGGUGAAAAUUAUUUCCUAUUAGAAUUGGGGUCUUUGGGUUAAAAAUCUUUAUAAUUCAUGUUUUAGAGUUUAGAGCUUCAUUGUUGGAGGUUUCUUAGAGAUAGAGCUACAUCGUAGAAAUCCUAAUUGAGAGGAAGACAUGGAAAGCUCCUGAAAGAAAGAUUCUUAUAAUCCAAUAUUAUUCUUCAUGCUUUUAUAUUGUGGAUUAAUCGAAGAACACAUUAAAGUGGUCUUGUCCGCAGACGUGCGUAGGUCGACACAUUGGAUCCGAAUACAUAAAUUUUGUAUCUUGUGUUAUCUUAUUCAUUUUAUUGCUUUGUUAUUCUCGUGCUUAUUUUCUAUAAUCAUUCUCGUCUAUUUUCAUUUACGAAAAGUCUUAUUUCUGCUGCACUUGUGCUGUGUGAGUUUGAGAUGUGCUCGAUAACCUCUUAGUCAGUCACUUCAUAAAUUGAAACUAAAAGGCAAAAUUGCAAACCCACAAAAAUGCACCAACUAAUUAAGCAGAUGGUGAUAAAACUAGUCACCAUAUAAACUUCAUAUUUUUAAAGGCAUUCCUUGAGCUCAAUUCAUGGUAUUGAGACACAAACCCAUAAAAGAGUAGUCAUAAAAGAAGAGAAAUGCACAGAAAUUAAAGAAACCACCACCACACUUGAACUCGAAAUUUGACUCCUGAUUCUUGAAACUUGAGAUCCUUUAUUUCCUCUGGAACUUCGACUCAGCUAUUGGUUAUUAAUUAGCUGCUCACCAAAAGUAUUAAGCAAAAUGAGUAAAUAAAUAAAUAAAUAAAAUGUAAGCCUAGUAAAUUAAAGGAGAUUAGAAGUCACCAAAAAAAAUUAAAAGGGUACGUGAACUUUUCAACAGUAAAUUCCAUUUACCCCCCCUGUAAGUUAAACACAUUUUUACUUAGUUAUUCUAUGGUUUAAAAGGUUUUAAUUAUAUUUAUUUUACUGUUCGAAUUCGCCAUUAUACAGAUAGCAAAUUAAGUGUUAUAUGUUACAAAUAAUGUUAGCAAAGUGCAAACUAUAGGAUAGUAGAAUAUUAUAUAUUUUACAUUAAUCCUAUGGUUUGUAAAAUACAUCAUUUUAGUAUUUUCUGAUUUGUAAAUUGUAGUAGUUUUCCUACUCUAUUUAAUGGCGGAUAGCUAUGGUGAAGCAAAGUAAAAUUAUAGGGUAGAAAAUAAAAAUUUUCAAAUAAUAGGGUGGCAAAUUAGAGUUAUCCAUUUUUCGGAGACAUAUAUGAAAAGACAAUUAGACAAAGAUUUAUAUGUAGAAAUAUACACUUUUACAAGAUUAUAUUAUAUAUUUAAAGGUUAAAUUACACUUUUAAUAUAUACUCACAAGGACACUUUUGGUUAUUAAAUUUUAAUUUAUCACAAUUUCUAGCUCUAACCUUUUAGACCAAUUUAGUUUACUACUAUUGCCACAUCAUAGGUGAUAACACUUUCACAUUACUACAUUAUUAGUUUCAUAUUAUCAUUUAGACAACUUAAUUGGACUAUAAGAUUUGAUUGUAAAGAACAUAAACAAAAAAAAAAAUGCAAUAUUUUAAUGUUGGCUAAAUUACACUUUUGGUCCUCAAUUAUGAGGUUCCUAAACUUUAAUGUAUUAUAAUUCCUGGCUAGAAUCGCUUAAAUUGUUGCAAUUUCUACAACUUAAUUAAUAAAUUAACUGAAUAUUAAUGUGUCACUAAUGUAUAAAUAAUGUGACAGUGUUGUAAUUGAUAACAGAAUAAUAAUUAAGUAUGUCGCAGUACUCUUCCACAUCAGGUAUUGAUAUUUAGACAUUUAUUCGAUCACUUGAGCCAGAAAAUUAUAAUAAAUUAAAGUUUGAGAACCAAAAUAUCAUAUGCCUGAUAAUUUGAUAUUCCAAAGUAUAAUUUAUUUGGUGAAAGUUUGGAAAUAGACUUUUCAAGGCCUCAAAAUGUAAUUCAGGGUAUAAUGUAUUAUCUAAAAGAAAUUGAAAGCUAUGAGGAGGCCCGCGGGCCGUAACGGGCCGGCACCGCCUGGCCUAAUCCAGUUCUAAAUCUGGACCGUGCGAUGCCGGGCUCGUGCCGAUCUUUAUAUUUUUUUAUAUUUAAUUUUAUUUAAAUUUAAAAAUUAAAAGAAUUAAGAAGACCAAAAUACUUCCCCGACUUUUUUCUGAAUAUUUUUUAUUUUUUUAUUUUACUUUUAAUUCUUUUUUCUAUAUUAGUAUAUUAUAAAAUAUAUAAAUAUUUAUUUAAAAAUUUAUUUAUAUAAUUUUUUUAAUAAUUUUAAUUUAUUUAGUAGAGAAUAUAUAUAUAAAGUAUAAGACAGCUACAACCGGAUCUGUUUUGCACCCCUUAGGCUUCGUUUGGGAUUGCAGGGAGAUUGCCUAUUUGUUCGCGUACAUAAUAUUAUAUUCUGCAUAUCGCGAUGAGUCGAUCGGUUACGACGGUCCCAUCAGAGAACACAGAAGCAUACCCUAAUAAACUUUUAUCCCAACUCUAUUUUAUCUAAUAGUGUAAGAUGGGCGUCACUAUCAAACUAAGUCUUAGGAGUUGGGGGAACACUCACAGCAAGCAACGGGGGAGCGGCCACACUUGGCGGGCAAUUUGCUGAUGAUGCCGAGAGUGCUGCAGGCGCAGUCGUGGCUGACGGCCCCUAAGGCGGAGCAGCACUGCUUGCUGGGCUGGCCGGAGGAGACGCCCGGGACGACGUAGGGAGCGCAGUUGACGAGCCCGGCCAGCUGCGUCGAGCAGUUCUGCGCCACCGCCGCCGUCGGAACCCGUGCGGCCACCACCACGAGCAGGACCGCCACGGCGACAGCGACUUUCGAAGAGCGCGCAUUGUAAAUGGCCAUGCCUAGCUAGUGAUAAUCAGUUUUUUCUUUCUUUAAAAAAAAAAAAAAUUAUGGUGUUUUGGUAGCAGAUACAUGAGCUGCUUGUGAGUAGAGGUAUUUAUAGGAGAUGUGUGGGGGUGGUCAUGACUGUUGAGGACGGCGUGGCCUAACUACUGUCAGCUGAAAGGAGCAGGAAAUUAUUGCCUCCACCAGGUGUAGAAAUACAUCUCAUUUCCCUGCACCUCUAAAAUUCGCACUUAUUGAAAUAAGGAUUUAAGUGCCUAUCGACAUGGAUCGUAUCUACCGUGCCGUACCGUGCUAAGAAGAUAUCGACACAGCCCACGUGCCGAUGAUACAGUUCAAAGCUUUCUAUUUUUUAAAUUAAUAAGUAAUUUUCUUAAUAAAGUUCAAAAGAUUUAAUAAAAAUACAUAAUAAAUAGUUAGAACAUUUUAUUGUUAAAGAAUAUAAAUAUUUCAUACAAUUAUAUGUCAAUAUACAUAAAUUUUUUGUGAUUGGCACGCAUCAGCACGGUCCGGCACGCAUCGUGCCGUACCGUGCUAGUAAGUUUCCGACACGACCUCAUACUACGGUACUUAAAUCCUUGUAUUGAAAUGUAUUUCUAUAAUAUUUAAUUAAAAGGUAAAUUUUAAAUUGUCCUCCUACAGUUUAGCUUAUUUUUACUUUGUCACUUUGUAUUUAAAACAUUUCACCUUACUCUCAUGUGGUUUGAUAUAUUUUAGCUAAAAAGUAAAAUAAUUCUAUGUAAAAUAGACCGGCAAGGAAAAAAAAUUAAAAAAAAAAAAACAAAGGGUGGUAAAGUGAAUAAUAAGCUAAACUAUAGGCCGGUAAAGUGCAACUUUUUGAACUAUGCAUGGAAUGAUAAAGUGAAAAUAAACUAAACCAUAGGGAGUAAAAUAAAAUUUUUUUAACCACGGGUGGCAAAGUGAAAAUCAAAUAAGCUAAACCAUGGUAGGGCAAUUUGAAGUUUACCUAUAUAAAUUUAUGCGAUGAUUUACAUAUUGAAAAAAAAAAAAAAAGAAUUACUUAGAUGCCGAUAUAGUUUAUACAUUUUUCAAAACAUAUGAUAUUUUUUUUUAAUACAUUAUGUCUUUAGAUAUUGCAGAUUAUAUCUGUCGAAUUAAAAUUUUAAUUGAUCUUAAAAUAACAAUCAUCAAACUACGUAAUUGUCACGCACUUGGUUCAGACAAUAUUUUCUUUGAAAGGAAAGGGGGUGAAUAGCAAGUGUGUGAGUCACCAAACACCUAAUGGUAGUGUUUUUAUAUGUACGUAAUACAUGAAGCUAAAAUGAUAGAGUGGUAACAUUGAUCUUGGUGAGUUGCUACGAAGAACUAGGCAUGGACAUUGCGUGGGAAAGAGGAUGAAAAGAAAAAGAAAAAGAAAAAGAAACCUACGAGGAGGCUUUCCGGAAUGAGAUAAGGGUAUCAGCAUUGUCGAACAGUUCGCGAGCGUCAAUUUUACAAAACUUCGAUCUACUAGAAUGGGAUUUUCUUUCGCUAGUUAGAACUUAGAAUAGCCACCACUAUAAGAAAAUUAGCAUUUAAUGAUGUUUAUAUAUAUAUAUAUAUAUAUAUAUAUAUAUAUAUAUAUAUAUAUAUAUAUAGAGUGAGGCUACUAUGCUAUCGGAAGUACGGAGCCUUCCGUGCUUCCAGCUCGUUUUCGAUGUUGCNAUAUAUAUAUAUAUAUAGAGUGAGGCUACUAUGCUAUCGGAAGUACGGAGCCUUCCGUGCUUCCAGUUUGUUUUCGAUUUUGCGACUUUCAAAUUGUCGAUCGACUCCGUUAAAUUUGAUCUAGAGUAUUUGGACUACAUAGAAAAUAAAUUUUAUUAUUUUUCGAUAUCAUUUGCCUAAUGAUCGAAUGGGCUGAAAAUCAACAAAUUUCAAUGGUCGUAGUGAGCCGUUUGCAAGUUUAACGAUCUCCUAUACUAUCUAUGUACCGGGGUUCCGCUACUAUAGUCUCGUUUUCGAUCUUAAGAUGUUCAAAUUAACGAUCCACAUCGUUAAAACUAAUCUAGGGUAUUUAAAGUUUUUAGAAAUAAAAUUUUAUAUUUUUUCGACAUAGUUUACUUUAUGAUCAAACCAUUUUAAAAUUGUUAAUUUUUAAUGACUAUUAUGGUGAGUUUGGAGUUUAACGGUGUAGAAGAAUUUAAAUUUCUUCACAUUUUGAUAGAAAAUAUUUUAAACUAUCUAGAUUAAGGUUAACAUUCUUGAUCUUGAAUUUAAGAGUCCUAUACUCAAAUUUUAAAUGUUAUUCAAUUUUCACUGUCCAUUUCGAUAUAAUUUAUUUAAUGAUAUCGAAAAAAACUAAAAUUUUAUUCCUCUAGAUCAUAUUUAAUGGUGUGGAUCGUUAAUUUGAACACUCUAAAAUCGAAAACAAGACUAUAGUACCGGAGCUCCAGUACUAUAGAUAGCAGGAGCCUAUAUAUAUAUAUAUAUAUAUAUAUAUAUAAUAUACUUAGAUCUCUCAUCGAGUCCGGCUACUAUACUUUUCAUGAGUAUUGGCUCCCUUUACUCAUAAGUUUUCGGCCCUUAGAUUUAUUCACUGAUCAUUUCCACCCGUUAGAUAUACUAAUCAACCAACUACACUCAACCCUAGGGCACUAUCAUUUUAAGUGUGGACCACCAUCAUCCUAACCACACUACACAUCAAUCAAUGGUUAAAAUUUAUGAGUACAAGGGGGCUAUACUCAUAAGAGUAUAGUAGCACCAGCUUAUAUAUAUAUUAUAUAUAUAUAUUAUAUAUAGAGUUGAGCUAGAAUACUCUCAGAGCAACAGAGAGUGUGGUGUUUUAAGUUUUUAACCAUUAGAAGAGAGAUGUAGGUUGAGAUGAUAAUGUAGGUGGUGGUAGGUGGUAGUAGGUGGAAUAGUAUUUGAUCCAAGAGUAUUAGUAAUUAAGGAGUAGAUCCAAGGCUAGAAACUUAGAAGCACAAUGGGUUGAUGCUUCUAAAAGUAUUCUAGCUCAAUUAUUAUAUAUUAUAUAUAUAUAUAUAUAUAUAUAUAUAUAUUAUUCGAGCUUUCGAGCUUUUCGAGCCUAAUUCGAACGAGCCGAGUAAUACUUCAAGCUCGCGGCUUGAAAUGAAUUUCGAGCCUUUUAUUUUGUUCAAGCUCGGCUCAUUAAUUCGAGCGAGCUCGAGCGAGCCGAAUAUCGAGCCGAACACGAGUCGAACGCCAGCCGGCUCGCUCGUUUGCCGGCCCUAAUAAGGGAUGAUCCUCUCAUGUUGCAUUAACAUGCAAUAUUCCUUCGUACCUAUCACUCCAAACAUUCUUGAUCCCUUUAUAUGUUAGAUGAGUGAGAGGAGCGAAGAUCUUUGCAAAGUCAUCGAGUAGGCACCACUUUACCGACUUCGAUUUGAAGUACACGCCUCUACCGUAGAAUAAAACUGGGACACCCUAUCGAUGUCUCCCGCCACAGUCCUGACGUAAGCAAAGUUCUAUUCAAAACCGUAAUUAGCUCAAACCCACUAAUUACAAAAGCUAUGAUUCCAAGUGAAUUCAAACAGUCGAACAAUUGGGUUUCGGGAUCCCAUUCCACGAUCGCCGAAAGAUCACCUGAUUGUCACACCGACUCUUCGGAAUGUCACCCCAACCCACGAGAUGUCCCGAAAUAAGUUCCACACUUAUCCUACCUCUUCCGCUGUCCCAACACAUCAAUGUAAUGCUAUUGGGCAGCUGCACAAGUGCCAAAACAAAAAACUGAGGUCUCGAAACUCACCACUUUAAUUGGCUCCUGAAAUGCCCAUUCUGGCGCCGAAACCACCCGCAGCCCUCCUGUUGUGACCAAAGAUACUGUCAAACCUCACACUAAAACCGGUCAAUAAGGCUCAUACUUUGCUGCGAAUAGUAGCAACCUGCGCGACAAGAAACAACGCCUGAAAUUGCUCGAUUUCAGUAUUUGAGGGCUCGGAUUAGCGCUAAAGUUUUCCGAAACACUCUAUGAUUCACUUGACCAACUUCACUAUCCCAAAACACUCACUUUUGAGUGUCGGGGCAGCCAUACACUAAGUGGUGCGAUCCGGGCACGAAAUCCUCAAAAUCCAUUGUACCAGGUCCCGAAAAUCAUGGUUUGCAGUUUCGGAACCCACCUGGGGUCCUUCGCUGGUUUGUCCAACGAGGCUUCUCUACCACUGCAAGCAGCAGCUAAACCCGCUCUACGAAAACGGAGCCUUAAUAAUAAUAAUUAAAUAAUACCAUUGAAACUAAAAAAUGUAUAAUGUAACAAAAGAAAAAAACACUACAAGCUAUUUUUGAAAAAUAUUUUAAGAUAAAGGUUAAUUUUUUAUGAUCAAUGGCUUAAAAUCAAAAUGUUAUGGAUUGUUUUGAUUUAUAAUAUGUAACUACAAGUAUGGUGACCCACACGUUGCAGCGGGUAGGUAUUGAUGAAAUGAGAAUAUAAAACAAUAUCCUAUAAUAUUAUAAAAAAGAGAAGGAAUUAGAGACAUAUCCUUUUCAGAUUUAUUUAGUAGAUAUAAUGCAGUGACACGAACUUUAUAACGAGUAAAUACUAUUGUAAAACUAAAAAUAUGUAAUUUACUAAGCAAACAAAAAAAAUAAAAUAUAAAAAAAAUUAAUAUUUUUACUUAAUGUAUAAAUUCAAUCUAUAUUCAAACCAUAGGCAGCAUUAAUUCAUGGGUAGAAAAAACAACAAAAUGACAACACAUCGGAUAACGGGCAGCAUUCAUAACGAUGAUGGUCCAUUUUCGGUCAACAAAAAAGAAAAUGGAGAAAAAAGUAAAAAAACAACCAAUUUGAGAAAAAACAAUUAAAAAGAUCGAGAUGAGGAAUAUUCCUUUUGUAUAUUGUUGAUGAAAUGAUAGAGCUUAUUUAUUGUGAAUAAAGUAGAUUAUAUAUUAUAAUCAACAUAAGAGUUUUCAGAGCAUUUCUUCUUUUUCUAAAAUCUCAAGCUAAAAUAAUGCAUUUCUCAAACUAUUUGUAUAUUCCUCUUUUCUUAAAAAAAACUCAAACCAAUAUAAUAACUCAUUUUAUGUUUAAUAAUUAAAUAAAAAGAGAGAAAGAGAAAAUAAAUGUACAUACAGGCAGUUAGAGGAUGGCAGGCGUUAUAGGUACAGAGAGCUCAAGGCCCUGAUCAAAGAGAGGAAAUAAAAGCACGUGAGAACAAAAUCCAAAAAAAUUAAAAAGAGAACAAUAACAUGAAAAAGAACAGAAAAAUAAAAAGAGAUAUAGUAAAAAAAAGCAGAGAGAUAGAGAUGAUAGUCUAUCUUCUCGGUGGGGGUCCACAACCGCCAAAUUAAAAAGAUGACGGCCACCGACCGUUCCUAGCGCAAGUGGCAAAGGGCUUGGUGGUUGAUAUCCGAGCUUCCCAGUUCGAAUCCUAGUUGAUUCACAUUUCUAGCUAAAUUUAUUUAUAGAUGAAAUAAAUGAAGCGGGUAGCGUGCUACGUAUCUCUCUCUCUCCCAAAAAAAACAAAGAUGACGGUCCAGCUUUUCGGUGGAGCUCAUACGCCCAAAUAUAAAGAGAUAACUGUUCAUCUUCUCAAAAAAAUGGAGAAAAAAAAGAAUCUAGUCAAUUUUAAAAAAUUAAUUAUAAAAAUCAGUGGGACCCACACUCUGUAAUUAAUGGGGUUGGCUACAUCACCGUAAAACUAUGAGGAUUAAUAGUAGUUUACGAAUGGGCAUUUGUACAAAAAAUCAUGAGUUUUAGAAGCCAUUUAUGUACGUGUCAAGUAGGUUCGAGAAUCAAUAGUCUAACAUUGUUAGAUUUACAAGAAAUUUACAUCCAAAUUUAAUAAAUUUUUAUAUGUAGACAUUUUUAUGAUCAUAGAGCACAACCAAUGAAUUAGAAUUUGAUUUUUAAGUACUUUAUCAUUAUCAAAAUAUUUACUCUGCACGAUAUAUGAUAUGUACUUUACACCUACAAAUUUAGAGCUCUAGUUUGGAUAAAACCCAAUAUAAAAAUUAAAAUUCUUUCAACCAAAUUUUAGUUAGUUAACUUCCUUUUCUUAAUUUGGCCAUUAAAUUUAAAACUUUAAGUUAUGUAUAAUUACUACGUUUUUGUUUGCUUUAAAGCAUGAGGGUGUUUGGUCUAGUGGUAUGAUUCUCGCUUCGGGUGCGAGAGGUCGCGAGUUCGAUUCUCGCAACACCCCUUAAUUUUUAAUUUUAUUUCUUGGCUUAAAUUUUACUACUUGUUUUGAAACAUCUAGCUAAGCUUUAUUUUGGUCCUCAAAUUUUUCAAAUUCAACAUCAGUGGUUUCUAAAGUCUUAAUUGUAUGUUUGAAUCAAUUUUCAUUUUGGUCCUCAAAUUUUUAAACUUUGAUAUCGAUAAUUUCUAAACUCUUAAGAGAAUUUUACUUUAGUACUUCUACAUAUUUAUUGUUUGAUGAAUUACAGCUUAGAACUCCAUGUAACUUUUCCUCUAUUUAUUAGGUUUUUAUCGUCUGUUUUUUUCAUCGUAUGUUUCAACUAUACUAUCCAUUGAAUUAUAUAUUUCUACAAAAAGUGAGGUUAAAUUACAUAAAACCUCCCUAUAAAUUUUUUUUUUUAUAUUUUCUUCCUAACUUUCAAAAAUCUAUAUUUUGCACCCUUAAAAUUUCAAAAAUAUUUUCAGAAGUGUACGACAUUAAUGGACAGGGCAAAAUGACCGAAUUGCCCACACUUCCUCUAUAAGGAAAAAAUAAUUUUUAAUAUAUUUUGGUCAUUUUGAAAGAUAUUUUUGGUAUAAAUUAUAAAAAAUGGAUAGCAUAAUAAUGAAACCCUGACGGAGGGGAGCUAAGAGGGUUAAAAUAUAAGUUUUUGAAAGUUAGGGAGAGAGAGUAAAAAAUCUGUGUAUUUACAAAGGGGUUUUCAGUAAUUUAACGAAAAAUAAGAUCUCUAAAUUAAAAGUAUGAGGUGGACGAAAAAAAAAGAGGAAUUUAUGGUAUACAAACAAAUAGAAGACCUAGGUGCAAAGCAAUAACUUUCAAUCUAAGAUAGGGGGCAAAAUGAAAUACCACUGUAAGUUCAAGGACUACUGAAAAUCUUAUCAAAAGUUCAGCUGUUCAGGAUUUUCAAAUACAGCCCUUCUCUCUUUCUCACAAGUCACAACCAUUGCUCUGUACACCAACCAUGCACAUAUAUGUAAACUCCAGUGUAUAUAUAUAUUGAAUCUUUGUGGUGAAAAUGUUUGUACUUGUAUAGUUCUAUAUUUCAUUUUCAAUAUUUUUUUUACCACUUGCAUUCAAAUUGUUUUCACUUUUUGCCUUCUCUUAUACAAUGGUUUCCCUGCCAGGUUUGAUUGAAUAAUUUAGUUAUGCUAGAAAAUUGAGAAAUGAGGGGGAUUUAUGGGAAACCUCGAUCACAGCUCUAAAAUGGAAUAAAGUGAUCUAAGAAAUAUUGUUUGUUUUGUGCCUGAUAUAUCUUUUGACUUAAGCCCAGUUUGGUAAUAUGGUGGCUAAAAUCUCCGCUUAUAUUUUGGAAGGUCUCAAAAUUUUGAAAGUAUUUUUUAUCUUUUCUCGUUCAAUACUAUAAAAUUAUGGUGACAAUCAUCAGUGAAAAAGUAUGUGGUUUCAUCUUAUUUAUAUUUGGUCUCGUUCACAUCUUUCAACCCCGUUUCAUUCUAAAGGUCUUCAUGCUAGUAAGGAUUUAGCACAUAGCAAGAGAGUACAUUAAAACUAAGAUUCACAUCUGCGUACAAGAGUUUCUCAGUAUACCAGUUUAAACUGUUUUGUAUGCUCGAGCCAUUUAACAAAGGAAAAGACUGCUCAAUUAAAAUGCCUAGGGCAUUAGAUUUGUAGAUAAUCAAACAAAUUUCAAUUCUCACCACUCCUACCUUGUACCUCCCUCCAAACAAAUAAAAAUAAAAAAAAGUUAAAAUUGCAAGGCAUUUGGUUGGACAGCACAAAAUACUGUGCCAACAAUUUCAAUUUUAUUUGUCUUUCUUCCUCUACCUAGAAGUACUAGACAUUAAUCCUCAAUGCAUAAUUCCAAAGCUAGUUAUGAGGUGAUAUUUAACUACUGCUAAAUAAGAUGCCUCCCAUUCCAUGUAUGACUAAAGUGAACUCAAAAGAAAUAUAUAUCAUGGCGUUACAGAUGUCAAACAACAGUUUUUUUUUUAAAAAAAAUACCAACUAUGAAAAAGAGCCAACAAUUUUUGGAAACUUUAUAUAACUGCAUGCUGCAUUCAAAUUGCGCUUCGACAGAGCAUACAUAUCAUGCAUUCAGUAUAAUACUUGGUAUUGAUGUUAUUGUUCAUCACUUUCCGACAGUACUAAACUGUGACUAAGAAUCUGGUGAACUAACAAGCUUAAGUCAGUUUUUCCCCAUGUUUUCGAGCAGCGAAGCGACGUUGUCAGCCGUCAGCGGCUUGAGGAGGAAAUCAUCUAUUCCUGCUUCCAUGAAUUCUGCCUUACUCUCACUGCUGGCAUUCGCCGUUAUGCCCACAAUCUUGGCGUCAACCCCCAUCGAUCGCAGCGUCCUCGUGGCCUACAUUUAGCAGAACAAGAACCAAAGGGAUAGGCAUGGCUUGUGAAAAUUUAGGUGAUUCAGUAAUGCAUUUGAAUCAUAUAGAAAGGCCAAGGUGGUGUAGAUGCUUAAGUAACACUUUAUGUAAUGCCUUGGUGCAAUGAGUAUAAGUUGCAUGGUUGUAAAAAUACCUCAGGGCCAUCCAUGACAGGCAUCUCUUUGUCCAUGAGAACUAUGUCGAAGUUACUCCCGGAGCGAAAGAGAUCCACCGCCUCUUUCCCGUUCUCGGCUGCAGUAGUCUCGACCUUAAAGAAACGGAGCAGAGCAGUCUGCAGCACGCGGUGGAACUUACUGUCGUCGACGACAAGAGCUCUCAACACAUUCUUACCGGAGCUUGCAGAUGUUGAACCCUUGAUCUUUUCCGGGCCGGAUCCCAUCGUGAUUUUUUCGCUUAUCUAGAAUCAACCAGUGUUAGAUUGUCUACUCAAAAGUACAGGGUAAAUAGUAAAGCUUAGUUGUAGUAUCUUAGAUGGCAUGAGUGUCCAUAAAAUUAAGAUCACUAGAUUGCCUAAAUUUGCAAACCAAAGAUUCAUAGAUGAAAAAGGAUAAACUUCAUAUUAUUGGCAUUGUCGAAGCGAAUGCAUCGAUAACUGUAAUAUGUGAUUAGUGAACCUGUCAUGCAUAUUUAGUGAAAAAAGAACUCAUAAGAGAAUCCAACAAACUUCAUCUUGUGCUGCUAAGGUAACACUGUCAUUACUAGAAGGCUUUUCUAGCUAUUAAUUGGAUUUGCAUUCUCAUAUCAUGUAUUGUUAUAUAUAUCUAUUUCAUAACUAUAUCUUUCUUAUAUGAUAACUAGGAAACUGAACAAUAAUUCUCAUUCCAUAAUAAACGGUGCAUUAUUUCUUUCACGGUGAAUCGAAUAUUAGUGCUCAAUCCUUAUUGUCUGUUUACCAUCUCUAUACCCAUGUAUAUAUAGUCAAAUUAUAUUUUGAAAAUUGCAUGCACAACCGACCGUCCCUAGAGCAAGUGGCAAGGGACUUGGUGGUUGGCACCUGAGACCCAAGUUCGAAUCCUAGUUGAUUCACAUUUCCAGCUAAGUUUAUUUCUAAAUGAAAUAAACGAAGAGGGUAGCGUGCUACCUAUCUCUCAAAAAAAAAAAAGAAAAAAAAAAAAGAAAAUUGCAUGCACAAGGUUGUACAGUAAGUUCUAGUAUUGGAAGGGCCUGGAUCAGAAUCACGAAAAUGGAUGACAAAAUGUAGCAUUCUUGAAGAUCACAAAGAAAUAUAUAAACAACUUAACUAACUUACAUAAACACCAUGAAAAAAGUGUAAUUUACAAAUGGAAAAAAGUCCUUGAGUAUGGCAAUGUUGGUGAAGAAACAUGCGGCGAAGAUAACACAACAUUUUGAAGAAUACCAUAUGCAUAAAAUAGUGAAAAAUAGUUCAUGAUAUAGGAUUUUUGUGUAAUUUGAAAUGCUUCUUGAGAGGUUAGAGGAGGUGAAAGAAAGGAAAGAAAGAAACCUCACAAUAAGUUGAGGAGGUAAAUAGUGGAAGACUCCAACUCAAUACCACUUUGGUGGUCCUAUAAUGUGGCCAUAUUUAUAGAAAUAUAAGGAAGUCUCUCUUAAUCACGAGAUAAGGUGACUGAUACAGUCGGAUAUUAGAAAAUCUCCACUGUAGGCAAUGUGAGAUAUAUAGUGCCGUACAAUAUCUAAGUAAAUCUAAUUGCGUAUAAAAUCUAAGUAUAUCUAACUUUGCAGCAAAAGCGUGCCACGUGUUAAAGUGGGAUAAUUGGCAAUAUUAUGAUUUUAUGUAUUUUGCCAGAAAGGUACCUCUAUUCUUGUGAAUUGUGCAAAUGACAUGAUUUGAGCAUUUAGUUUGCAUUGUCCUUUUUGAGUUCACAUUUUUAGUAUUUGGAUUUGCAUCACAAUGUUCCUUUGAUUUUUUUUUUUUUUUCCUUUCCCUUUGAGAGAUGUUUCAUUUUAAUGAUAAAAGAGCCUAAGCAUGCUUUAGACACAACAUGGGGACGCGUGCUUAGCGGAAACAAUGAACAUGUUAUAUUAGCAAGUACAAUGAUGUAUUCGGAGGUCACGAAUCAGUGUGUGGUAGUUUCAGUUCCAAAAUGUAUUUGCUGCUAAAAAAUUGUCACCAUGAAAUAGGAGAUUCAUUACAACAAAAACGGUGUAUAGCGACACUUUUAAAUAUCAGUACAUAUCAAAAAAAAAAAAUAUUGCGGCUAAAUUACCGACACUUUUAAAAAGUGCUGCUGUAUGUGAAAUCGUUAGGUAUAUAGUGACAGUUUAAGAGUGUCGGUAUAACCUAAAAAAAGUGCUACUAAUUUAUCAACACUUAUUUAAGCAUUUAACAACCGCCGGAACUCUACCUCGUUGGCUGCAGUGGCGGAGGAGGAGGAGAGCGAAGGACUCUUCGUCUAAGGUUUCAGUGGAUUGAGUGAGGAGAGAAGGGGCGAUGGUGAUCGAUUUUUUUUUUCUUUUUCUGUUUAUAAUUGGGCCGAAUGGGCUAGGUGAGGUGGAUUGAGUAGAGUAAUCUUUUAUUUUUUAUUGGAUUGGGCUUUAUAUUUAGGUCUUAGUAGAUUUUUUAAAAAGUUUUGGCAUAAAUGAGACACUUACAUAAAAAUGUCUCAAACAUGUGUUCCUAUAACCUAAUUCUGUUGUAGUGAUUUUCAAUACGUUUAAAAGUAAAUAUGAUUAUUCCUGCUCUUAUUCUUAAAGAAAAAUAUAAUUAUUUUCAUUAGAUACAGGCAAAAACAUUGUGAAAUGAUCUACAUAGUUAAUUGCUAGGGUCUUUUGUCCUUCAUUAUUUCUUUCCUUUCUUCUCUAUUCUUUUCAACUAGCAAAGGGACUUAUAAUCUAAAAAAGAAAAAAGCAAACUUUCAUUUUUGGUCAAAAAAAAUUGAUGAGCUCGUUUCCAUGUUGUGUGUAAGCCUGUUCAUUUUGUAAAUGGUUAUUUGUAUUGUAAACAAAAUGCAUGCAUACGUGGACAAUAUGGAAAUAAUUUUUGUGAAGUUUGAGACAAGCUAUUCAUACUUCAUCUGGUCAAAUUUACUAAGAUGAUUCCCUCUAGGGCUUAUUUGCAAAAACUGUAAUCCUAAUUAGCUUGGGUUGAGAUUAGAUGAUUAAAAAGAACUAUUCAUAUUCUCCACCUGACACACAUGUACCAAAUAGAUGCAAAUAUACUUGGUGUGUAACCUAUCAAAACUCUAUUUAUACACAACUUAGAGGCAAUGGCUUAAAGUUGGAGCUAGUUUGAUAAUGAAAUAAGGAUCAAAUUGAUGUGAAACCUUUCCUAUUUGAUUUUUUGUGAGUCGGCUUUCAAACGCCUUUCGAAUAGCGCGAAGUCGAUAUCAAGUGAGUGAGAUAUCACAAUUUAUCAAAAGGUGUCAAUAUAUAUAGUCUGCAGGCCGUAUCUUAGGCUGACGGAAGAAACUGGGUGCUCGAAAAUUUUAGGGUGCCUUAAUUUAGCGGCCUGACUUCUCCCAAGUUGCGAGGCACGAAACAGUUUCGAGUGCUCGGAUAUUAGAAAGUGGGCGCCCGACAAUUCAUGACGCACCCAAUUCUGUGUAAAAGGUUGCAAGAAGCCUGCAUUAGAAAAUUUUCGAUUGCCCCAAAGUUGAAAUUGCAUUCAAAUCCGUCAAAUCACAGUAUAUAUAGCUGUUGUAUAUUACAGUGCAUUGUCAGAAGCCUUUGGAGAUGUGGGUGCCCGAAAGCGGAAACUGCGCCGGAUACUAGAAUUUGACUUGUAACGGCUAUAUAUUAAUUUUUGGCUUGAGAUAGAGGGAGAAAAUAGGAAAAAAGAUGUAGAAUACCCAAAAGAGAUCUCUAAGUCCUUUCAUGGGUGAUUCCUCUACAGUUAGUGAUGUCAGAUCUUGUACAGGGAAGAUUUUCUCCCGUGGAGAAGAGAAGUUAUUGUAAAGGCUGGGGUGCUUUAGGGGUGGAAACGAGCCAAGCUCGAGCAAGCUUACCUCACCUCAGCUCAAGCUUGACUUGAAAUUAAUUUCGAGCCUAAAUUUAGGCUCAAGCUCAGCUUGAAAUUAAUUCGAGCCGAGCUCGAGCGAGCCUAAUUUCGAGUUGAGCGAGCUCGAGCCCUAAACGAGCUGCUUGAAAUUUUUAAAAUCGUGCAAUCUAUAGUUUAAUUUUUAUAAAAUAUUAUCUAAAAUUCGAUACAAAAAAUGUCUAAUAGCUUAACAUACAAAAUGCAUGUAUGAAAUAUGAUAUUAUAAUAUUAAAAAAAUAGGAAAAACAACUCUCUGAGCGAGUGAAAAAGAGAAAGAGAGAGCAAUUAAAGUAAGAUUUUACUGGUUUGGCUUUAUGGGCCCAAUAAUCUAAAUUCUAUAUACAUAUAAUUAAAAUACAUAAUAUAAAUUUAUAUAAUUAAAAUAUAUAUUAUAUAUAAUUAUAUUGGAGAGAGUUUUGGCUACUAUAUUCUAUUAAGUAUAGAGCCCUUUAAUACUCAUAAUUUUUUCACGUUAGAUCUAUUCUAUCCGUAAAUCAUCACUAUUCAACCAAACCGCCCCCGUUCAAUCCUAGGGGACUGCACUAUUAAUCCUAAUUGCACAUUUUCAAGCGGCGAAAAUUUAUAAGCAUAAAGGGGUUAUUACUCCAAAGAAUCAUAUAUACGCUAGGCCUAUAUAUAUGAUAAUAAUACUAUAAUAUAUACUUAUAUACUUAUAUUAUAUAGUAUAUAUAUAUAUAACUGUAUAUUAUAUAUAUAGAAGUUGAGUUAGAUGCCGUAUCGAUGGCAAAUUCAGCAUGUUUGCACCCAUUUGUUUUUCGAUGAUGGACGCCUCCAAACUCGCCGAUCGGCACCGUUGAACAUGAUUAUACCACUUGAAGUGUUUAGAAAUCAAAUUUUAAAAUCUUUUCAACAUCAUUAUUGCUAAUAAUCAAAGGGUUUCAAAAUUUAUAAUUUUAAUGGUCGAUAUGAGGCGUUUUCUCCGUUUAACGCGAAAAGAUAUCCAAAUCAAUUGAAUUUUUGUUAGAAAAUUCUUUAAACUAUUUAAAACAAGAUUAUACUCUUGAAUCUUGAUUAUAAGACUCCUAUAUAUCAUUUUUUUUAAGAAUAUUCAUUUUCAGCGUUCAUUUUGUGUCACUCGAUGGAUAAAGAAAACAAUAUCGAAAAUGUAUGAAAUUUGAUUUCUAAAUAUUUCAAAUGGUAUAGAUCAUGUUCAACGGUGCCGAUCAUCAAUUUUGAGGCUCCAUCAUCGAAAACAAAUGGGUGGCAAAAGUGCCGGUUUGCUAUCGAUAGUAUUCUAGCUCAACUCUAUAUAUAUAUAUAUAUAUAUAUAUAUAUAUAUAUAUAUAGAAUUAUGUUAUAAUAUUAUUAAUAAUAUCAACUAUUUGCUAUUAGGUUUUCGGCCCUUAGAUAGUUAUUAUAUGAUGAUAAAAAAAAAGCAUUCUAAUUACUAUCAUCCUAACUGCACAUCCCUUCAUCCAAGGGCCGAAGACCUAAUAGCAAGUGGUUGGUAUUAUUAAUAAUAUAAUAGACUUUUUCUAUAUACAUAUACAUACAUAUAUAUUUCGAGCUUUUCGAGCCUAAUUCGAGCGAGCCCGGUAAUACUCAAGCUUGACUUGAAAUUAAUUUCGAGCUUAAAUUUAGGCUCAAGCUCGACUUGAAAUUAAUUCGAGCCGAGCUCGAACAAGCCGAAUAUCGAGCCGAACGUGAGUCGAACACGAGCCGGCUCGCUCAUUUGCCAGCCCUAGGGUGCUUGGCCAAAAAAAGUAUUAGUAGGCAUAGUUCUGUUAUAAAGACUUGGUGCUUGUUCAUGAAAAGUAUUGAAGGGCAUUGUGCAGGUGUAAGUAACAGCUUGAUGCUUGCCCACAAGUAUCGGAUACUGGAAAUCUAACAUCUUUGAAAUUUAGAGUUGGUGGGGACGUAGGCAAAGGACCAAACCUCGAAAUAAAUUGUCGUAUGCUUAUUGAGUUUACAUUUCUCUGCUCUCUACUCUUUCUUAAUAUGAUUGAUUUGAUUUCACCUUACAUUGUUUUAUCUUUGUAAUUUCAAUUAGCUUAUACUUUUGCCUUAGAAGCCUAUUUCAUUCUCCAUUCUAAAUCGUCAUUUCGAUUAACAAAUACCACGCCCCAUCCCACAAAAUCUUUAAUCCCUGCAAAAUAAUAUAAUAUAUUAUUAUAUAAUUCUUAAUUUUUUAAUUAUAAAUAUAGAAUGUUAGUUUUGAUGUACUUAUAUAAAUAUUUUUAAUUUAAUCAAAUAUUUUAAACAUAUUUGAUUUUUUUUUAACAAAAAAAUUAGUUAAGCAAUAUAUAUGAUUGCUAUACAUUUUUAGUAAAUUGAUGUGUCAUACUUAAUAAUGUGGCAACGAAUAAAAAAACUAACUUAAUAAUUAGGGAAACUUUACACUAAUUUGAAUUAAAAAUAAAUUAAAUUUAAUAUAAAAUCUAAAUAAAAAAUAAUCUAGAAUAUUUUUUAAUCCAUGGGGUAUCAGCGGGGGAUGAGAACGGGAGAAAGUUAUUUUUUCGUUACUUUUAGUACUUGAUGCUAUCGAUUGUAUUCCAGCUGAACUCUAUAUAUAUAUAUAUAUAUAUAUAUAGAAUUAGACGGGAAUACUAUCAAUAGCACCAAGCUAUUGGUGCUAUUAGUUUUUUAGCCCUUGAAUUGAGAAAUGUGUGGUUAGGAUGAUGUGAGCCCCCUAGGGUUGAGUGGGUGGUUGGUUGAAUAGUAUAAUCUAACGGGUAAAAAUAAUCAAAGGGUUAAUCUAACGGUGGAAAACUCGAUAGCACCAAAUUCUUGGUGCUAUUGAUAGUAUUCCCGUCUAAUUCUAUAUAUAUAUAUAUAUAUAUAUAGAAUUAGGCUGGAAUACUAUCAAUAGCACCAAGCUAUUUGUGCUAUUAGUUUUUUAGCCCUUGAAUUGAGAAAUGUGUGGUUAGGAUGAUGCGGACCCCGUAGGGUUAAGUGAGUGGUUGGUUGAAUAAUAUAAUCUAAUGGAUAAAAAUAAUCAAGGUGUCAAAUCUAGCAGUGGAAAACUCGAUAGCACCAAAUUCUUGGUGCUAUUGAUAGUAUUCCAGCCGGACUAUAUAUAUAUAUAUAUAUAUAUAUAUAUAUAUAUAUAGAGGCUAAUGCUACUAUCCUAUUAAUAGGAUANNNNNNNNNNNNNNNNNNNNNNNNNNNNNNNNNNNNNNNNNNNNNNNNNNNNNNNNNNNNNNNNNNNNNNNNNNNNNNNNNNNNNNNNNNNNNNNNNNNNNNNNNNNNNNNNNNNNNNNNNNNNNNNNNNNNNNNNNNNNNNNNNNNNNNNNNNNNNNNNNNNNNNNNNNNNNNNNNNNNNNNNNNNNNNNNNNNNNNNNNNNNNNNNNNNNNNNNNNNNNNNNNNNNNNNNNNNNNNNNNNNNNNNNNNNNNNNNNNNNNNNNNNNNNNNNNNNNNNNNNNNNNNNNNNNNNNNNNNNNNNNNNNNNNNNNNNNNNNNNNNNNNNNNNNNNNNNNNNNNNNNAGAAGAGAGAAGAGAUGAGACGAGAGGAGAGAGAGAGUCCGGCUAUGGUGCUCGUAAAAGCCACCAGCAUUUGGUGCUUGUAAAUUUUUUACCGUUAAAUUUCUGUCUUUGAUCAUUUUUACCCGUUAGAUUAUACUUCAACCAACCACCCACUCAACCCUAGGGACCCACAUCAUCCUAACUGCACAUCCAUUAAUCCAAAGGCCAAAAACUUACAAGCACUAAUAACUUGGUACUUUUAAAAGCAUAGGAGCUCAAUUCUAUAUAUAUAUAUAUAUAUAUAGAGAGAGGAGGAGAGAGAGAGAGAGAGAGAGAGAGAGAGAGAGAGAGAGAGAGAGAAUACUAUCAGUAGCAAAAGGGUUCCGUUGUCAUCCAUUUAUUUUCAAUGAUCGAGCCUUCAAAUCGAAGAUCAGCACCGUUAAACAUGAUUUAUACUACUUGAAGCAUUCUAGAAAUCAAAUUUCAUACUUUUUCGAUAUUGUUCUCCUGUCCAUCAAGUGGAUACAAAAAUGAACGGCUAAAAAUAAAUAUUCUUUAAAAAAUAAAAAUAAUAAUAGGAGUUUUGUAAUCAAGAUCAAAAGUAUAGAUUUUAUUUUAAAUAGUUAAAAAAAAUUCUAACCAAAAUUCAACAGGUUUGGAUAUCAUUAUGUUAUUAAAAGAGAAACGUAACGUUAAAAUUACGAAUUUUAAAACCCUUUGAUAAUUAGGUCAAUGAUAUCAAAAAAACUUGAAAUUUAAUUUUUAGAUACUUCAAAGGAUAUAAGUCAUGUUCAACGAUAUCAAUCGUCGAUUUGAAGGCUCAAUCAUUAAAAAUAAAUAGGUGGCAGCAAAACUUGUUUACUACCAAUAGCAUUUCAACCUAUCUCUCUCUCUUUCUCUCUCCCUCCCUCUCUCUCUCUCUCUCUCUCUAUAUAUAUAUAUAUAUAGAGAGAGAGAGAGAGAGAGUUGAGCUAGAAUACUAUCGGUAGCAAACGGGCUCCGUUGCGGCCCAUUUGUUUUCGAUGAUGGAGCCUCCAAAUCGAUGAUCAAAAUCGUUGAAUAUGAUCUAUACCACUUAAAGUAUCUAGAAAUCAAAUUUCAUACUUUUUCGAUAUUGUUCUCUUGUCCAUCAAGCGAGUGUAAAAAUGAACAGCUGAAAAUGAAUAUCCUCUAAAAAGUGAUGAUAGAAAUUUUGUAAUCACGAUCAAGAGUAUAGAUCUUAUUUUAAAUAAUUUAAAAAAUUUUCUAACAAAAAUUCAAUUGAUUUGAAUAUUUUUACACCGUUAAAUGAGAAAACGCCUCAUAUCAACCAUUAAAAUUACAAAUUUUGAAACCCUUUGAUCAUUAGGCAAAUGAUGUCGAAAAGAUGUGAAAUUUAAUUUUUAAACACUUCAAGUGGUAUAGAUCAUAUUCAACGAUGCCGAUCGUCGAUUUGGAGGCUCCAUCAUCGAAAACAAAUGGGUGGCAACGAAACCCGUUUGCUAUCGAUAGUAUUCUAGCUCAAUUAUAUAUAUAUAUAUAUAUAUAUAUAUAUAUAUAUAUAUAAAAGACCUCUUGUUUGGUGCUUUAGCUGCUACUCCAGUUAUAAGCCGUUGGACAAAACAUAGAAAACCCAAAAAAAAAAUAAAAAAAUAAAUCAAAUAACACUGCUCGGCUACGCAUAACAUUGCUGGCCACAAAGUAAAUCCAACUAACCCUUAUCUUCUUAACAGCUUUCUCUAACAGCAGUUACGUAAAACUCCCGAGUUAACAAAACAAAGAUCUUUAAGACCUAGAGAGGACAUCUCAAAGUUCACAGAAAAUACUUCAUAACACUCACACUGCUGGCAAUUGGUUUCUCAUAUUUACUCAAAGAUUGAAAACUGUAACGCAAAAAAACUGAGCCCGUAAGAUAGAGUUUGGUGCAUCCAACCAGCAUCACACACUCACACACUCGCAAAACCAAUGCAAGUUUACAAUUUCACAUUUCAAAUUACUUUUAACCGGUUGGCUCAGUAACGAGUAAACAAAAGAUUUUUUACACAAUGUACUUCAUACUACUUUCUGUUACACUGCAUUUUGCACAUCGGCAUAUUUUGUGAAGAUUGAAGAAUCAGAAAAAUGAGACAGAAACUCACAAUACAACACAAUGCCACAAGACAAGAACGAUAGUGUGAGGAACCGGAAGGAGAGAGAAGAGGUACCUAUCAAUCUAAGGCCAAUUGGUGAAUUCAAACACCUUUUGCACUAUAUCGAACCCGGUUGGGAUCUGCCAUAUGAACAACAGGACGUUCAAUGUGUUCAAUGCAAUGUGGAGAUUCCUUGCAGUCUCAUUUCCCUUCUGCAUGGCAGGGACAAGCGCUGCGGCCGCUGCCCACAGCACAGUGAUAGCUACAACAACAGAUGAGCACACGCAAAUAUUUGGAAAAAUGAGUUUGCAAUUGUAAUGCUACUAUGAUUGAGGACAAAAAAAAUUUUGAAUAGAUGCUAUCAUAUACCACCAAGUUUUUGUUGUUAUUGUUUGGCGGUAGGAUUUCUUGUUCAUGGGCUGAUGGCUAUCAUUCUGUGUGAAUAGUAGACUAUCCUAAAUGUUUUUUGUCAAAAUAAAACAUAUUUAUAGUAGAUAUUCUACGAUGACGAUGGAUAGAGGUAAAAGACUUUCUUGAUCCUCAGAUAGAUGAAAAUAUAGCACGCACGCGAAUAAUCUAGCAUACCUUUUUCUAUAAUAAAUAAAAUACAGUUAAUAACUAAAUUAGCCAUUAGAGUUUCACCCUCAAACUUCUUAUUAUAACAAUCUAGUCUACCGACCGCCCCUAGCGCAAGUGGCAAAGGACUUGGUGGUUGGUACCCAAGGUCUCAAAUCCGAAUCCUAGUUGAUUCACAUUUUCAGCUAAGUUUAUUUCUAAAUAAAAUAAACGAAGCGGGUAGUAUGCUACCCAUCUCUUAAAAAAAAAAAAAAACAAUCUAGUCUCUGAAAUUUGUUCUGCAUACCAAUUGGGUUCUUAGUUACUCCAGCCUAGGAGAACGAAAUUGAAACUAUUAUAGUUGAACUUCUGAGGAUGAAAUUGAAAUUUGCAUCACACUACAUGGACUAAAUUAGUAAUUAAUCCUGUAUAAGUGUACACACUACAUGGACUAAAUUAGUAACUAAUCCUGUAUAAGAGUACACAAAUCGUAAGAAGCUUACGAAGAAUAUAAUCAUCUUCCAGUUUUCUUUACAUUCUCCUUAGUACUUAAAGAGGUCAAUGUAGUAUUGCACGAGGGAUUAAGAGGGCACAAUCACAAAGAGAUUAGAAGAAUAUUUCGAAUUUUCCUCAUCUUUCUAUUUUAUCUGGCAAUUUUGAAAAUAUAAACAGGAUGUGCAGUAUUUAUCACUAUAAAGGAUGAAGCACCAACAAUACAGUCCACUGCUGAGGAUACCAUUACGUAAUGACAAUGAGGCCAAAGAACUUAUAAUAAAGCAAGAUUUAAGUGCCCAUCGAUAUAGGCUGUAUCUACCAUACUAUAUCGUGCCAACAAAAUAUCAGCACGAUACAGCUCCCAUACCGAUGGCACAGCUCAAAACUCUCUUUUCUUUACAUUAGUAAGUAAUUUUUUCAAUAAAGUUCAAAAGACUUGAUAAAGAUACAUAAUAAGCAAUUAAAAUAUUUUGUUGCUAAAAAAAAUAAAUACUUUAUGUAAUUAUAUGUAGGUAACACAUAUAUUUUUUGUGACCAGCAUGCAUCGGCACAGUCCGGCACGCACCAUAUCAUACCGUGCCGGCAAGUUUUCGACACGACCCCGUGCCACGGAACUUAAAUCCUUGCGAGAAAAAGCCUUGACAAACGAUCAUUCACUCAAGAUUUAGUAUUUCUAAAUCACCAAAAAUUACACUACUUUUUAGUAAUCAACAGGGAAAGUUUUUAUUCUCAAAUUCUGGUUUUGAACAAAACUAUUUCCUACUGUCGCUAACAUAAGUACACUGAGCAAUCAGAUUAAGUUGACAGAUCCAUGUAUUGUUGCCGACUACAGCCCCUAUGCCAACUACAGCCCCUAUGAUUAAACACUUUCCUGGGAACAAAUCUGCCAGGGAAAGUAGUUUCAAUUCAAAGUAUUUUAUUUUCUGUGGUAAAUGAGUAAGUGGCAAUCUCUCUACCCAACACUUAAUAUACCAAAAGCAUCGAGGGUUGGUAUUCCGAAAGCACUUUACGCUGACUAUACAAAAUAUAUGUACAAGCAGACAAAGAAUGACAGGGCCACCAGUAUUGGAGUGCUAAAGAAAAAGAAUGAUUGAAUAAUUGAGUUAGGUUUUCUAUACACUUGGGCUCGAAUUUAAUCUCUCACAAGAAGCGAAGAAAGAGACUAUAAUUACUAUUGCACUCUGAUUAUAGCCAUAGAUAAAUGUAGUCCUGGUCUAAGUGUUUGACUUCGGACAAAGAGCCGUAAUUGGAAAAGGUCACCUAUCCAUUUCAUAGAGUAUUAUACAUGUGGAAAUCCAAGGAAGGAAACAACCCCAGAUCCGCCUAGACUUUGAAUUGAUUGCAAAUCGCUCAAAUACUAGAAGUUGGAAAGAUGAAAUUUAUUAUGUGAAUAAUUGAUUUGCACUAAUCAACUACCCAGCUUGAUUUUCUCGCCUUCUAUCUGCUGUCGUUACGAGAUGGUCAUGCGACAGGAAAGAUACUAGAAAUGAAGUUGAAAAUCUAACGUUAGAAAAUUUAGUGCUAACGUAAACCCUUUCCACAAAAUUUAGGGUUAAUUGACCCUGUCCGGCAAGAAAAUCCCGAACAGGAUGUAAACCCUUCCCAAAACCAAAUCUGAACAAAUUUUAUUUCAAAUGGAAUUCAAAUCAAAUCUGAUCCAGGACCCAUAAUAUGAAGAUUAAAGAUGCUUAAUAGAUUCUUAAGCUAAAUUAAAUAGAGCAGCUAAGGCAUCGUCCGGUAUUAUCACAGUUUGUUCAUUUUCGUGAACACAAACUCUAUCCAAUGGAACAUAGGUAAGUUCAUCUACUAGUGCAUCCAACCACAUAUAGUUCUUUUAUGAAACAAAUAGAAAAAACAGUAAGAAAUCUAAGUGAGCUGUAACUAUUUAACAACUAGUCAUUCCCCCUUUCUUUGAUAAUAUAUACAUGGUAUCUCUAAAACAGCAUUUCUAUUUGAGAAACUAUAGAUUUUCAGCCUCCUUUGGGUACACUUCUGCUUGUAAUCUGUACGACAAAAACCAAAAGCUUACUAGUAACAUCUUUUUUGCUUCUUUUUUGUAACAAAGAUGCCUUUUGGCAAUUGGCCAGACUACAUCGCAAGCUAGCCAAUGAUGACAAAAGUAGCGAUGUCCCUCUAUUGGCACAUCCAACCACAGAAUUGUUACAUAUAAAAAUUAAAAAAACAACAGCAAUACCAAACAAGGUAUAACUACAUUAAUUUUAUUAGUUAUACUUUUUCUUUUGAUAAUAAUAUGCAGUAUACAAUAAGUGUGAAACAACCGAUGUACUCUAAAAGCUUAAGCUGUUAGAGAACGGUGUUUAAACAUUUUUAUAUUUAACACUCCCCCUCACGUCUGGGCUCGAAACCUUUUAAUCAGCCCAUGACGUGGGCUUGAAUUAAAUGGGAGGAAAUUAAUAUGCUAGGAGUCUGGCGUGACUCGAACUCAGGACCUCCUGCUCUGAUACCAUGUGAAACAACCGUUGUACUCUAAAAGCUUAAGCUGUUAGAGAACGGUGUUUAAACAUUUUUAUAUUUAACAAUAAGAAUGUUCUUAGUCAAGAAACUAAAAAUUUAAGGCCAAAUUUGGUUAGACUUGACACUUGCUUUGUUUUCUUAACAGUGAAAUUUUAUGCGACUGAAUGUGCUAGCAUAUGACAAAUUAUUAGCAAACUAUAUAUGUAUAAAGUUUGUUCAGCCAGAGGAAAAAAGAAAAGAAAAAAAAAAAAAUUAGUGACAACUUAUUUCACUUGUUUCCUUUUUUUGUGAAGAAAAUGAGUUUGCAAGCUAAUCAACACGUCCCAAGAAUAAAAAAGUUCAUCCAUUAGUGCGUUCAAAUGCAUGGAAAUGUAAGCAUAGUGAAACAAGGCUUUAAAAUCGUUGAUUUGUAAUUUCAAUUUUCAUGUAAAAAUAGGACCGACACUAGAUUGGGUCCGGAUGUAACUUCUAAAGCAUCAAUGGUUAAAUCGCCUAGUGUACAAAAGUUCCCUACACAGAAAAUUCGCAAUCAAUUUCCAAUGUAUGAAAAUCUUCUUUUGGAUCAGCCAGUCAGCAACUUUAGUAAAAUCACAAUUUUAAGGCGCUAGGUCACAUACUAAAACACUCGACCUAUCGUGUCCUUACAACAGGUAUUAACAGGUUGUGACAAUGCAUGGGACAAUCUCACAGACCCAGUUCUUUUCUUAUUUUUCCUUCAGUGGUCCUCAAGAAAUGCUACAUGCUAUAUAUAAGACAGAUCUCAAAGUGGAAGCAAUAAAACAAGCGCAGGUAAAAACAGAGGGGGAAGGGAGUAAGCUUUCCAGAGCAUACCAGCUCCAGCGAAGAGGUGGGGCCCGGGGAAGAGCUUCCCUGUGCGGAACCACGUAUUUAUUGCCCCUCCCACUGCCUCGAACACUCCGAAUCCCAGCAGUAUCGACCCUGCAUUAUAGUGCCGAUCCCUGUACGAUCCCUUCAGCAGCUCCUUCCUCUCCUGUUCAAAUCCCAACACCAAAAAUUUCACAUCUAAAUUCUAAUUUCUGCACUCCCAUGAAAAAUAAUAAUUGAAACAAACACGGAGAUAAUUAUGAAAUUGUGCUAUGGCAGUAAUUGUUGCUACUCAAAGAACAGUUUUAACAUCGUUACUCAUUUACAUGUUUAAAAGAUCUGACAAAAUAUACAACACAAACUGACGGAAGAGGCAAAAGAAACUACAAAUAGAACAACACUAAGAAAUUUAUGUUAUUAUAUGAUGAAUGUAAAUGAAUCAAAGCCUCGUGAAACAGAGUCGUAGGGCCGAUUCCGAUGCUAUAAUACAAAAAGAUAGAUAUAUGAAGUAGAAUACGACAAAAUGGUUCGGGAAUAAUCAGAAAACUGAUUUUGGCUCCGAUACCAUAUUACCAAAAACAUCUGUUGAAAUUGGGGAGCUAAGGACUAGUUGAAAUCUUAUAGGAUACGGUUCGGGAAUAGUCCGGGGUCACCUCGGUGAGCUUCUGAAUCUUGGCUUCGACCGGGGAGACCUCCGCAGGGGGCGGCGGCGACGCAUCGGAAGCAGCGGCGCCAGCGGGAACUGCGGCGGCGGCGGGGGCCGGGGAUUUGACCUGCUGCUUCUUGAGCUGGUUGAUCUCGUCCUGGAUGGUGCGGACGCGGCGCCACUGCCACCCCAAGUACCCCGCCCACAGCGUGUAGAAGAAGAGCCCGCUCAUCACCAACGGGUGCACCAGCGCCAGCGUGCGCCCCUCCAAGAUCCCGAACUCCCCUCCCACCGCCAUCGCGUCCUUCAUCGACCCCAUCCCCAAAUUAAUUUCUAGGGUUUCGUUACACACGCGGUACGAGAUCAAAGAUGAUGAGGAGAGGAGUACGUGCCUGGGGAUUGACGAAGAGGGGCAAUGAGAACGCCGCGGCGGCGGCGGAUGCUGCUGCGGCGGAGGGUAGGGGGAGGGAUUCGGAGAGCGAUCGGAGAGCGACGGAGAGGUGGAAAUGGAGAUCGAGCGACGACGACGACGACGACGACGACGACGACGAUGGGGUUUUGGAGAGCUUAGAGGAGAUAGGGAUGGGAUUGGGGAGGAGAUUGAGAAGCCCCAUCGUUGCGGCGGUGCUCGCCAUUGUUGCUCCCUCUCAAAGUUUCAGAGAGAGAGAGAGAGAGAGAGAGAGAGAGAGCGUGUGUGUGUUCGUGUGAUUUUGGAGGGAAAGAGGAGAUAAGAGACGAGGGGACGAGAAAAGGAGAUGGUACGGAGAAAAUGAAUGGCGGAGUAUGCGGACGCGUGGGGCUACGAGAUUAGCCGUUGGAUUCGUGCUACAGUGGCAUUUGGGUAAUUAAAGAACGGUGGAUGGUGGAGGAACGAUGGGUCCGCAUGCGACUCCGCAUGGAGGAUUUCGGAAGAGGAAGCGUCUUGAAGCUUCUGGUGAGCACACGCACGCACGUAAUACAAAUUGCACCCCUAGUCCCUAACCUUUCAGCAAGUUUUAUUUUGGUAUACAAACAUUUAAGUUGACCAGUAGUUGUCUCUAAAUUUACAAUUAAAAAAAAAAUUACUUAUACACCUCUGAAGUGUAAAUAUUAUAUUUCUUAUCUUAGAAUCUACAAAAAAAAAAAAAAAAAAAAAAAAAAAAAGCCGAAAUAGAUUUUAGUGAAAUAAAAAAAUGAUGUGAUAAGUAAAAAAAUAAUAGCUUUUAGAUAGAAUGAGUGCAAAAUAUACACUCCCGUAGCAUUGCUCAUAAAAAAAAAAAUAAUGAAUACAUCCAAAAAUUAGUGUAUAUUUUCCAUUCGAUUUAUCCAAUAGAUGAGAUAUUUUUAUUAAUCACAUUAAAUAACUAGUAAGAUGUAUAUCUUUCAAUCACUUAUUGGAUGUGUGGUGUGUAGUUAAUCUUAAAAAUUUCAGAAACACUACUGAUACGCAAAAAAGGAUAUAAAUCUUACGAUCUUUUAUUCCGAGAUCCAUAUCGGUUAAAAAAAAAAAAAAGGUUCAAGUUUGUAUUGACAAAUCUUACACUCUUUUAUCCAUCGGUCUAUAUUGAUGGAGAAAAAAAAAUUGAGCAAUACUACAUACUAGGGGCGGAAACGAGCAAGCUCGAGCGAGCUUAUGAACCUGUUUGGCCUAAUUUCUGAAAAAGUGAUUUCUGAAAAUAUGAUUUUGAUUUAGAGAAUUGAUUUUGCUUAAAAGCUGUAGAGCGUUUCGCCGAAAUAGAUAAAAGUGACUUUUCUGAAAUAAUUUUGAAAAACUAUUUGGCAUUUUUUGUUAUGUUUGCAUAAAUUAAUAUUUUUAUUAAAUAUUAUUUUAAAAUAAUUUAAAAUCUAAAUUUAAAUUUGAACUAAAAUUAAAAUUUUUAAAUUUCAAAAUUAUACAAAAUUUAAAAUUUGAUAUUUAAAUUUUAAAAAUAAUUUAAAAUUUUAAAAAUUUAAAAAUUAAAAAUAUAAAUAUAAAUUUAAAAAUAUAUAUAAUUAUGAAUUUUAAAAUAUAAAAUUUGAAUAUUUAAAAUUUAAAAUUUAAAUUUUGAAUAUUUAAAUUUAAAAUUUAAAAUUUAAAUUUUGAAUAUUUAAAAUUGAAAAAUAAAAAUUUGAAUAUUUAAAAUUUAAAAUUUAAAAUUUAAAAUUUAAAAUUUAAAAUUUUAAAAUUUUAAAAUUUUGAAAUUUAUAAUUUGCAGAUUAAAAAUUAUAAUUUGAAAUUUUAAAAUCUAAAAUUUGAGAUUUGAAAUUUAAAAUUAAAAUUUAAAGUUUGAAAUCUAUUUUUCAAAAUUUAAAAUUUAAAAGUUAAAAUUUAAAAAUUCAAAAAUGAAUCUGAAAAUUAAAAUUUAAAAUUAAAUUUAAAUGUAAAUAUUGAAAUUAAAAUAAAAAUAAAAAUUUGAAGUUUAAAUCCAAAAUCAGAAUCAAACUUCAAGAAGUAGCUUUUUUCAUCUUCUGAUUCUGAGGCCUUUAAAAUUAGAUUUCUGAUUCUAAAAAGCAGAAUCAUAUUUUAAAAGUGUGUUGCCAAACGUUCUAUUGAGCCGAAAAUUACUUUUCAACUCAAAAGCACUUUUUGAAAGUUAGGCCAAACACCCCCUAUCUCUGCUCAAGCUUGGCUUGAAAUUAAUUUCGAGCCUAAAUUUAGGCUCAAGCUUGGCUUGAAAUUAAUUCGAGCCGAGCUAGAGCGAGCCUAACUUCAAGUCGAACGAGCUGUAGCCCUAAACGAGCUGCUUGAAAUUCUUAACAUCAUGCAAUCUAUAAUUUAAUUUUUAUAAAAUAUUAUCUAAAAUUUGAUAUGAAAAAUAUCUAAUAGUUUAACAUAUAAAAUAAAUGCAUGAAAUACGAUAUUAUAAUACUAAAAUAAUUAGAAAAAUCGACUCUGCGAGGAAGGAAAAAAGAGAGAAAGAGAGCAAUUAGAGUAGGAUUUUGCUGGUUUGAUUUUGUAGGCCCAAUAAUCUAAAUUCUAUAUACAUAUAAUUAAAAUACAUAAUAUAUAUUAUUUUAUAUAAUUAAAAUAUAUAUUAUAUAUAAUUAUAUAUAGAGAGAGUUUGGUUACUAUAUAUACUUUUAUAAGUAUAAACCCCUUUAUACUUAUAAGUUUUCGACCGUUAGAUCUAUUCUUUUGACCAUUUUCAUCCGUUAAAUUAUACUAUUCAACGAACCACCCACUCAAUCUUAGGGGACCACUGUCAUUCUAAUCGCACAUCCAACGACCGAAAAUUUAUAAGUAUAAAAAGGUUUAUACUUAUAAGAGUAUAGUAGCCCGAGCAUAUAUAUAUAUAUAUAAUUAGGCUACUAUACUAUUAAUAACAAAAACCGCUUGCUAUUAGGUUUUCAGCCCUUGGAUGAAAGGAUGUGCGGUUAGAAUGAUAGUAGCCCCCUAGGGUUGAGUGGGUGGCUAGUUGAAUAUUAUGAUCUAACGGAUGAAAAUGGCUAAAGGGAUAGAUCUAAUAGCAGAAAACUCGAUAGCACCAAAUGCUUGAUACUAUCGAUAGUAUAAUAGCUGAACUUUAUAUAUAUAUAUAUAUAUUAUAAUAUAUAUAGGCAGAUUACGGCAAAACUUAAUAAUACAAGCGCUUAGUAUCUAAGAUAUAAUAGAUAAUAUAAUAGCCGGAUAUAUAUAUAUAGAGAGCAGAAGAGAGAGUCGCAUUACUAUAUUAUCGAUAGUACUAAAUGUUGGUAUUAUCGAAUUUUUUGUGCUUAGUAGGGGUGGACGAGACGAGACGAGCGAGCUUAUGUCAGCUCAAAUUCGGAUUGAAAUUAAUUUCGAGCUAAAUCUAGGCUCAAGCUCGGCUUGAAAUUAAUUCGAGCCGAGUUCGAGCGAGCCUAAUUUCGAGUCGAGCGAGCUCGAGCUCUAAACGAGCCGAUUGAAAUUCUCAAUUAUAUAAUCAAUAGUUUAAUUUUUAUAGAACAUUACCUAUAAUUUGAUGCAACAUGUCCAAUAGUUCAAAAUACAAAAUAAUUACAAGAAAUAUGAGCUAGGGUGACUGCCUGACUGGGUGAGGGUCUGAGGGAGAGAGAGAGAGAGAGAGAGAGAGAGAGAGAGAGAGAGGAAGGAAAAAAAAUUAGGGAUUUGGGAAUUUAAAUGUUAUCAUGUUUUAGGGUUAUGUGCAACAGUGAAAGUCUGAAAGAGAGAGUGUUAUGUAAAUUUAGAGUUGGGCUCAAUUGCACGGUUGUACUUAUUGGGUUUAUUUUAUGGGCCAACAAUAAUGGCCCAAAUUAAAUUAAAGCCUAUAUAUAAUUAAAUUACAUUAUAUAUAUAUAUAUAUAUAUAUAUAUAUUCGAGCUUUUCGAGCCUAAUUCGAACGAGCGGAGUAAUACUCAAGCUCGGCUUGAAAUGAAUUUUGAGCCUUUUAUUCAACUAACUACCCACUCAACCCUAGAGGAUCACUGUCAUUCUAACCACACAUUCCUUCAUCCAAAGAUCGAAAAUCUAAUAGCAAGUGAUUGGUACUAUUAAUAGUAUAGUAGACUAUAUUUAUAUGUAUAUAUAUUUCGAGCUUUUCGAGUUUAAUUCGAGCGAGCCGAGUAAUACUCAAGCUCGGCUUGAAAUUAAUUUCGAUCAUAAAUUUAGGCUCAAGCUUGCUUGAAAUUAAUUCGAGCCGAGCUUGAGCGAGCCGAAUAUCGAGCCGAACACGAGUCGAACACGAGCGGGCUCGCUCAUUUGCCAGCCCUACUACAUACACUUGUAAAUCUUACAAUAUUCUUCCAAUUUAAAAUUCACAAAAAAUUAAAUAGAAUUUCGGUUAAAAAAAAAUUGAUAAGAUAAGUAGAAAGAGUUCUUAGAUGAGCUGAGUGUAAAAUAUAUAUUUAGUUAGGAGUGCAUAUCCAGCAUUACUUUAUAAAAAAAUAUUAUUGAAAGUUUAGAGAUUAAAUUUAGUGUAAACUACGGUCCUCAACUAUGAGGCACGUGAAACGUUAGCCUUUAAACUUUAGCUUAUUGUAAAUCUGGCUUGAAGUUUCAAAAUUAAAGUGUAAACUUUCAAAAUUAAAGUGAUAAUGAUUAAUUUAGUAACAUUUACUUUUAUACUUUAUGUAUCCAUAUCAUAUAUGAUUUGUAUAGAUUGAUAUAUAUAUUCUACUUUCAUAUGGAUAAAAAAAAUCUUGCUUAUUUGGUCGGCCUGUUGCAUGUGCCCAAAUGAGCUUUUUUGGCGGUAUUGAAGAAUAACGCAUCUUUUAUUUCUAACUUUUUUAUUUAGAUUUUUCUAAUUAAUUAAGUUCAAAAAAAUUUAUUAAUUUUUAUAGCUCAAUUAACUUGUAGUAGUUAAUUAAUCUUAUUUUGUACGCUACAAAGCAGUUUAAGAUAAGUGAAAGAAUCUAAUGCAUUAGAUGGAUGAAUGUAAAUCUUGCACCUGGGAAUGAGGUAUAUGAAUAGCAUUCUUUAUACUCUUCUGUAAAAAUCUAUGAAGACCCCCUCAAAUGUUUGCGCUUUUUAAGUGUCCGGCCCCCUCAAUUUACCCUUUUUUGAAUUAACACUCCCUCAAUCUUAAUUUGUUAAAAAUUAAACUAUUUUGUCAUAUAAAUUAUAUAUUCAUCAAAUUUAUCAAUAAUUUUUAUUACAUUUAAAAAUUAAUUUUAGUAAUAAAUUUAUUUUUAUUAAUAACUUUAAUUAUUUUUAGUAUUUAAAACUAGAAUAGCCCAGUUGAGUAGCUAAAAAUCAGAAUUAAUAGUCCACCUGAGCAGCUAAACUUAAUUCAAACUAAAAGGAAACAGAACUUUAAAAAAUUUUGGUCCUCAAACUAUGAGUGGGAUGACAUUUUGGUCCUCAAAUUUUAUAAUAUCUUACUUAAAUUUUUUGUAUUGUUGUAAUUAAGUAACACAUUUCAAUUUAGUUGACUAAAUAUUGAUAAGUUGUUGGUAUAAAAGUGAUAUAAUAACUUAAUUAUUAUCGCAUAAUCAAUCACAACACUCAACACAGCACUUCUCAUCGAUGAUUUAUCAAAUAUUUAAUCAACUAAAUUAAAAUCUGUGCGACUUAAUUGUAAUAAUUUUAAAAAGCUAAUAAAAAUUUAAGGAUCACAGUACCACGUUCCACAUUGUUUAAGGACCACAGGUGUAAUUUUUCCGAAAUUUUUUUAAAAGAAAAAAUCAAAGUUGAAGUUCCUGUUUCGAAAUUGUCUACAGUUGAGAGGGAUCUCCGCGCACUUCUCAUCGUAUGCUUUUGUUACCGUGCGAGCUCAGGGUUAAAAUGAUUAGUCCCACAUCGGGAUUUAAACCACACUAUUCCCUCGUCUUUAAUACGUCAAUGCGACCGUUGUGACGUGGGGGAGCGGCAGGAGGCGUCAUCGCAUCUGUUUAUUCAAACAACGCUCGUGCAGCGUUCUAAACCCUAAACCUUCCCCAAUUUGGCGGGAAAUUUGCGAAAAAAAAAAAUGUUUCUCGAAAAGCGGGCCCACUUUCUCCGGGGUUUCCGGCCUAUCAAAAAAAACCAAAGGAAAAAAAGAAAAACCCCGAUGCCUUGCGAUGAUGAUGCCUCCCCUGUUGUUGUGAUUUGCCGCGGAAGGUUCGUAGGGGGCUCCUCACAAGCCGAUCAUCCUCGCCUUCCACACCCCCCCUUUUUUUUUUUUUAAUUGUGAGAGCUAUAAUAAAUAAUAUUUUGAUUUUUAAAUCACUAUUUUUCAUAAUUUUGAUUUGAACUUUUUGAGCUCGUUAUGAUUUAGUUUUGUAAGUUUUGUUUUCUGAUUUGUCGUAUAUUUAAAAAAAUUAGAAUUUGUGGAGAAUUGAAUUUUUUUAAGCUAAAUUAUCGUUUUAGUUCUUUAAAUUAUAAGACGUGUGAUACAUUGAUUUUCAAAUUAUUAUUUUUUAUAACUUGGGCUCGAGCUUUCUAAAUCGUUACAAUUAAGUUUCAUAAUUUUUGUUAUCUGAUUUGUCGUAGAGUCAAAUAUAUUUCUAUUUCAAAAAAUUUUGUAUUUUUAACUUUCAAAUUACAAGACGUGUGAUACUUUGAUUUUUAAGCUGUUACUUUUUUGUAAUCUUAAACUAUAAUUAAGUUUUAUAAUCUCUGUUAUUUUUUAUUUUCAAACUACUAUUUCUUAUAACUUUGGCUCAAGCUUUUUGAAUCGUUACAAUUAAGUUUCAUAAUUUUUGUUAUCUGAUUUGUCGUAUAAUCGAGUAUAUUUCUAUUUCAAAAAAUUUCAUACUUCUAGAUUUUAAAUUAUAAGACCUGUGAUAUUUUGAUUUUUAAACUAUUAUUUUUUAUAAUUUUAAACUAUAAUAAAGUUUUAUAAUCUUUGUUAUCUGAUUUGUCGAAUAUUCAAAAAAUUAUAAUCUGUGGAGAAUUUUUUCAGCUAAAUUAUACCUUUAUAGUUCUUAAAUUAUAGAACAUGUGAUAAACUGAAUUUCAAACUAUUAUAUUUUAUAAUUUUGGUUCGCGCUUUCUAAAUCAUUAUAAUUAAGUUUCAUAAUUUGUGUUAUCUGAUUUGUCGUAGAGUCAAACAUAUUUCUAUUUCAAAAAAUUUUGUAUUUUUGGUUUUUAAGUUGCAAGACGUGUGAUACUUUGAUUUUUAAACUAUUAUUUUUUAUAAUUUUAGACUAUGAUUAAGUUAAGUUUUAGAACCUUUAUUAUCUGAUUUUUCGUAUAUUCAAAAAAUUAGAAUAUGUGGAGAUUUUUUUUCAGCUAAAUUAGAAUAUGUGGAGUUUUAUAAUCUUUAUUAUCUGAUUUGUCGUAUAUUCAUAUUCUAUUUUUUUUUCAAAAAAUUAGAAUAUGAUAUACUUUGAUUUUCAAACUAUUAUUAUUACUUAUAAUUUUGGCUCGAGCUUUCUGAAUCUUUACAAUUAAGUCUCAUAAUUUUUGUUGUCUAAUUUGUCGUAGAGUCAAAUAUAUUUCUAUUUCAAAAAAAUUCAUAUUUUUAGUUUUUAAAUGAUAAGACGUGUAGUACCCUUGGCUUUGAGUUGGAGACGUUUUGCGCAAAAUAGACGUAAAAACGGACUUUGAAACUCAAGAUUUUUAUUGUAGAGGACUAAAGUGAAAAAUCUAGAUGUAUAGGGGCUUAUGGGCAAUUGUUUUUACUUAGUCGGUGGAGUCCACGUGGUCCUCCAUUCUCUAUUCUCAUCCUUUCUUUUUGUUUUUUUUUUUUAUUAUAUUGCCAAGUUGUGAGCUAAUUAAUUAGCAGGGUAGCAUUGGGUUCGUUCGUGCGAGCGAGCAAGGCGAGCGAGCGAGUCAAGUGCGCGCGUCAUAGUAGCGCCGUUGGAGGCUGGGCGAGCGCGGAAUUUCUUUUCCUAUUGACUUCUCGCUGUCGUGGAUUAGCGUUUGAAAUGGGUUUAUCAUCGGAUUUCUACUCCUAUAGUCCCGUUGGUCGACAUAUAUAAUUAGUGUAUAUUCGUCGUUAUUGUUUUUAGCUCAAAUUCAUAGUUAUGCAUGUUUUAGACAUAUGAAUUAAAUUUGGAGCAUGUUAUUAAGUGUUAAUAAUUAUAUAUGUUGGACUUGAAUAUGAUAUAAGAGAAAACCAGCGUUCGGGACCUGUCAUAUGUUAAACUACCUAAUUUAGCUCUAGGAGCCGCUGUAUUUUUAUACUGUUGCAGUAUUCUUAUGGUGAGUACCCCAGAUAGUUCAAAUUACUGUUACGCUCAUGCUGGGAUGCCGAGCCGAUUUUUACAGUAGUGUUUAUAUUGUUCCGGACUAGUGGGUGCCGUAGUGGUUGACGACGGACUUAAUUAGAUUUGUCAUUUUGAUAUUAGACUGUGCCGAGGGCACGUGACUAGUUAGUUGGUAGUCCAGUUAGACCUUAUUUAUUUGACCGAGCCUGUGAGAGCCAGAAUGAAACGAUAGAGACACUUGUAAACUCGUUGGGUCGCGCCCACGAAUGACAUUCCGGAAUGAGGUUUCAGUGCAAUGAGUGUCACAGUUUUUGUUAGACAGUUCUUGAGCCGGCCACCCUCGGGGUGGUGUACGGCGUAGCGGGAUACAGGCAGGGUGGGUCCGUUUGGACAGCCCGGGUGAGAUAGCCAGUGACUUUUACUACAGUUGGUUAGUGUAGAGCAUUCUAGUGUAGGAACAUAUAGCUGUAGAUUUCUUUCUAGCUUUUUCUUACUAGCUCUGUUCCCUUCUGUAGACUUAAUGGGUGAACCGAUGAUGUUGAGGGCGGUACCUACUGAGGACUACUUGUUUUUACAGUAGUUCUCACGCCCAGUUGUUACCACUGUUUUGCAGAGCCACCGGUUCCGGCUGCUGCACCUUCUGAGGCUGAUCGUGGUAAGGGCGUUGCGAGCUAGAGCCCUACCCGACGAGUCGCUGUGAUAGAGGAUCACCAGCUGCAGGUAGUCGUACUUUUGGUUUUUGAGUUCAUGUACAUACAGUUGUUGUAACUCGCUGGAGCGAGUACUUUUGGUCUGAUCUUUAUGUAUGUAUAUGAGACUUGUUUUAUUCUACCUGUUUAGUUUCUUUACAGCUCUAUACUACUGGUUAUAGUAUUGUAUGUUUUAUAAUUACCGUUACGUUUCGUAUAUAGAAAAAAUUCUUUGUAUACGGCGGAUUUGUCGGCGUGCCCGGGGAAUGUGUAAUCCGGGGCGUGACAAGACGUGUGAUACUUUGAUUUUUAAACUAUUAUUUUUUAUAAUUUUAAACUAUAAUUAAGUUUUAUAAUCUUCGUUAUCUUUGAUUUUCAAACUAUUAUUUUUAUAAUUAUGGCUCGAGCUUUCUGAAUCGUUACAAUUAAGUUUCAUAAUUUUUAUUGUUAGAUUUAUUGUAUAGUCAAAUAUAUUUCUAUUUCAAAAAAUUUAAUAUUUUUAGUUUUUAAAUUACAAGACGUGAUAUUUUAAUUUUCAAACUAUUAUUUUUUAUAAUUUUGAUUUGAACUUUCUAAAUCGUUGUAAUUAUGUUUUAUUGUUUUUGUUUUCUGAUUUGUCGUAUAUUCAAAAAAUUAGAAUAUGUGGAGGAUUUUUUUCCAGCUAAAUUAGAGUUUUAGUUCUUAAAUUAUAAUACAUUUGAUACUUUCAUUGUAAAACUCAAAGUUGUCCAAAAUAUCCGAUAUAUCAUACUCGAUUCGAACCCUACCCAAACCCUAUCAGGACCCAAACCGGACCCGUUAAAAAAUGGAUAGUAUAAGGGUAAAAAAAAUUACAAAUUAAAGUUUCGGGUAUAGGUCUGAAUAUUUUAUACCUAUACCCGAUUUGGACCCGACCCAAAUCCAACUUUUAAAUGGGUAGGGUUCAGAAUAAUUUUCAAAUCUAGACCCGGAUCCGGACUCGAUGAAAUAUCUGAUAGUAAAUAAAAAGGUUUUGAACUUUGAAGUUGAAGAAUCAAUUUUAAUAGAACUUAUAGAUGAAGGGUCUCUAAGUAUUUUCAUUCUAGAGAAACAUUGAAAUCCUAGCCGCUCUUUUACUCUUUUUGUUUCUAAUCUUUUUACUCUUUAUUUUUUUUAUUUCAUUUCCGUCUAAGAAUUUUUUAUGAAACAAUAUUUCCAUCGUCGUCAUCAUCAGCGAUAUUAAUUCUGUACAGGCGUGACACAAGUGAGUUUUUCCCAAAUCCCUUCUCCAAUUAUAGUCGACAACCUUGUUUUUUUUAAUGGAUAUUCUAUUUAGUAAAUUUUCUGAUUUCUCUUUUUUUUUUUUGAAUGUUAGUAUAUAAUAUUAGUAAUUAUUACAACUUAUAUAUUUUUUUAUCUAUAAUAUGAUAUCAUAAUUUUUUUAUUUUUAUGUGUUUACAUAUGAAAUUGGUUUGAAUUUUAUAUUUUUUUAAUCAGUCAAUAUAAUAGCUGAAACAAACCUUGUCCAGACAAUUUAAUAAAGUAUAUAAAAUAAUAUAUAUAUACAGAUAUUUGUAUCUGAUUUAGACCUGACCCGUACCCGAUAUUGAAUGGGUAGUAUACGGAUAGUCACUAUCCAAACCUGCUCAAAUAGACCUGAUGGUUAUAUUAGUAACUUAAGUAUUCAGACCCGGACUCGACUCGAAGUUAAAUGGUUAGGGUUUUUUUUUUUUUCUAACCAUUUUCUUUUACAGUAUAUCAACUAUCCAGAACCGACCCGGUCCACGGACUUCUUUAUUCAAACUAUUAUUUUUUAUAUUUUGACUCGGGCUUCCUGAAUUGUUAUAAUUAGGUUUCAUAAUUUUGGUUAUCUGAUUUGUCAUAUAUUUUUAUUUAAAUAUUUCUAUUUCAAAACAUUAAAUUCUCUAGAGGGUUUUGUUAAAGCUAAAUUAUACUUUGUUUUCCAAGCUAUAGUUUUUUAUAAUUUUGAUUCAAAAUUUCUAAAUUAUUAUAAUUAAGUUUUAAAAUUUCGUUAUCUAAUUUAUUGUAUAUUUCGAGUGCGUCUGGUAUGCUUAUGGAAGCACGGAGCGCUCCGUGCUUCCACUUUGUUUUCAAUGUUCGGACUUUCGAAUCGACGAUCGGCUCCGUUGGACUUUAUCUAGAGUAUUUGAAGUAUCUAGAAAAUAAAUUUUGCGAUUUUUCGAUAUCAUUUGCCUAGUGAUCGAAGUGGCUCAAAAUCAACGGCUGAAAAUAAAAUCUUACAAAAUAUGAUGAUAUGAUAUUAAAAUUUUAGAUCAAAGUUAUUGAUCUUGUUUUAUAUGGUAUAAAGAAUUUUCUAUCAAAAUUUCAUGCAAUUUGGAUAUUUCUACACUGUUGAACUUGCAACCGGCUCACCACGGCCAUUAAAAUUAUUGAUUUUGAGCCCUUCGAUCACUAGGCAAAUGAUAUCGAAAAAUCACAAAAUUUAUUUUCUAGGUACUUCAAAUACUCUAGAUCAACUCUAAUGGAGCCGAUCGUCGAUCCGAAAGUCCGAACAUCGAAAACAAAGUGGAAGCACGGAGAGCUCCGUGCUUCCAUAAGCAUACCAGCCUACUCGUAUAUUUCUAUUUCAAAAAUUAUUUUGUGGUGGAGCAAGAAUCAUGAUGAUGGGUUUUUUUAGUAAAUAAUGAGACAUGUGAAAUUUUGGUUCUCAAAUUUUAAUUUGUUAAAUUUUUUUAUUUGAACUUUUUUAAUUGUUAUAUCAAUCACAAUCCAAUUUGUAGGUCGUAAGCGCCAACCAAUUAUCCCAAAAGCACAUACUAAUGGAAAGGGUGUACCCAUCGCACUGAAGGGCUCAACCACAAUGUUCACGGAUUUUGACCUGACACAACCAACCUAAAUGUUAGGUCUAUUGUUGGGCCUCUUACCAUUAGGUCUAUUGUUGGGCCUCUUGCCAUCAGGUCUUUUGUGGACCGCAGCAAUUAACUUAUUAGUUUCAUGCAACUCAACUUAUUAGUUUCGCAGGCUUUUUGUCAUAGGGCAGGAAGUUUGAUUUAUUUCAGCCCAAUAAUAAAUAACCAACAAUCCCCACCCCAAUAUCUGCACCGUUAAUGUAGUAUGUGGGAAUCGAACUUGCGCUGCAGGCUCUGAUACUACUUGUUGAUCGUAAACGCUAAUCAACUAUUCCAAAAGCACGUGCAAAUAGUAAGGGCGAACUCAUCGCACUCAAGGACUCAACCACAGCGCUCACGAAUUUCGACCUGACUCAACCCACCUGAACGUUAAGUCUAUUGUUGGACCUUUCGCCAUUAGGUCACUUGUGGACCGCAGUCCCACUCAACUUAUUAGGCUCACCCAACUCAGUUUAUUAGUUUUCUAGACCUAUUGUUACAAAACAGCAAGUUGGACAUAUUUUAGCCGAAUAAUAAAUAGCCAACACAAUUUAGCUAAUCAAAUAUUAAUAUGUCACUAAUAUGUGAAGCUUAUUUUGGUUAAAUUAGUCUUUUGGUCCAUAAGUUUUGAUGAGCAUGACAUCUUAGUUCUCAAACUUUAGUUUGUCAUACUUUUUUAUUCGAGCUUUCUAAAUUAUUACAAUCAGUCUCUACACCUCGAUUUAGUUGACUAAAUAUUAAUGUAUCGUAAAUAUGAAGGAGAUAUAAUAUUAUCGUGAUUGAUAAUACGACAAUAAUUAAAAUGCUAUAUCAUUUUUACAUCAGUGACACAUUAAUAUUUUUUGUUCUAGCAAUUUAUAAAGUAUGAAUAAAAAAAUUAUUAUAAAUUAAAGUUUAAAAACAAAAGUAUCACACGUUUUAUAGUUUUUAUCACUAAUAUUUUUAUUUCUGUUUAAAAAAUUGUUUUAUGUAGAGGAAUGGCAAAGAAUUCUUUUCCCCCAGUAGUUUUGUUAAUUAGUUAUCUGAUUUGUAAGGUUUUUUUUUUUUUUUUUUCACCAGUAUUUUUAUUAGAACAAUAGUGUUAUAGAUCUAAAAGUAGAUGUAAAUUUUAUACCUUCUCCAUCUAAAAGUUUAUCUUUUGUGGUAGUUUUAUCUCGCCUUUUUCAUUUCAUAAGAAGUGUAGUUAGAUAAAGAUUUUUAGUUUUUUUCCCUAAUUUUUUUGUUAUUUGGUUUAUCAUAUAUUCCUGUUCAAAAAAGUUGUUUCAUUAGUUCUAAAGAGAGAAAUAAUUUGGCCUUUUCAGUAUUAUUUUGAAAAAAAAAAAAAAGAAUUUUGGUGCUCAGGGUUGGACUGUUGGAGCCCCGGGCUCAAUCCUCACGGCAUUGGGGCCUAUCUACACAAUGUGCAUGUGCAAAGAGAGCCCAUUAUCACGAACCUUAGACUUCGUUUGGUUAGAGUACAAAUAAGAAAUGCUUAUUUUAGAGAUAGAUACAAGUUCAGAUAUAAACAAGAGCUAUAUCAAUUUUGCAUUUGAAUGAAAAAUAGGUUGUUUUCGAUAAUAAGAAAAUUAGUAUUUGGAUGAAUAAGAUGAAAUAAGAAAAAUAGUGGGCAGUUGUAAAUAAAAAAUGAUGAUAUUACUUCUCUCAUUAAAUUUAAAUUUAAAUUUUUAAAUUUCAUACUUAAAUUUUUAAUUUUCAAUUUUCAAUUCUAAAUUUUAAAAUUUAAAAUUCAAAUUUAAAAUAUAAAAUUUAAAAUCUCAAGUUGUAAAUUUUAAAAUUCAAAAUUUAAAUUUUAAAUUUUAAAAUUUAAAUCAAAUGUAAAUUUAAAAAAUAUAAAAUAUCAAAUUUUAAAUUUAAAAAUUUAUGGUGUAUAAAAUAUUAGUACACAUUAGGUGUAAGUAAAGAUUUUUUCUCUUUCUCUUGGAAUUAUAAAUAUACUCUAUUAAGCAUUCUCUAUACCGGAUGUAUAUGAGAAUAUACACCACAUACUUCAAACAUUUAAUAGAGAUUGUAAAAUUUAAUUUAGUAAAUAUAUUGAAAUUAUUAGACUUUGUAAUUUAGAUAUAUUUAAUUAAGUUUCGAUAUUAGAAAUUAGUUUUUUAAUAUAUAAGUUGUGGUGUAUGGUGUGUUAAUAUACACCAAGUACAUAUAAUAAUUUCUUAUUUCUCCAAUCAAUAUUAACUAGAUAAGAAUAACAUCAUAUAUUUGCAAUUUAGAAUUAAGUCUCCAAUUUUAACUUUUUAAUUAAAAAUAUAUUUAUAGAAUAGCUACUAAAAUUACUAAGUUUGAUUGAAUUUUUACAUGAAUUUAUUAGAAUACUUUAACUCUACAAAUACUGAAAAUUAAAAAGUAUUAAUAAAAAAAAAUAGAUUUACAAUGUAUAGAAGGCUAUAUGAAUUUUUUAAAAUUUUAUCAUAUUUUUCAAUUUUAAAAUUUUAAUAAAUAUAUAUUAAUUGACUGAAAUACUAUCGAUCCGUCGGAAAGCGCGGGCCCCUGAACUUAUAUUGAAGACUCUAGAAACGAAUAUUCUAAGCAGUAACAACGACUCCUCUAGUGUGCGUCAUCACCGGUCCUCGUGAAAGAGAUGCAAAUUAGUAGUAUUCAAACAACCAAUGCUGGUCUACUUUCAUAUAUAUUAAUUGACUGAAAUACUAUCGAUCCAUCACAAAGCGCGGGCCCCUGAACUGAAGACUCCAGAAACGAAUAUUCUAAGCAGUAAUAACGACUCCUCUAGUGUGGGUCAUCACCGGUCCUCGUGAAAGAGAUGCAAAUUAGUAGUAUCCGAACAACCAAUGCUGGUCUAUUUUCAUUUUGUUCCAUUUUGCCAUUCCGUAUUGGAGUAGCUGUAAAUUGACAACGAACUUGUACCAACCGUAGCUGAAAUAGUGCACCAUUGAAGCUCCAUUUGGAGCUAAAGGUGUGUUUGGUUCCACGUAAAACUGUGAAAAAAAAAUUUUCGAUAGAAAAUUUUUUUUCAUAUAUUAAAUAGAUGAAAAACUAUUUAUUAUUUUUUAUUAUAUAUUAUUAAUAUAUAAUAAUUAAUAUAUUUUAUAUAUUAUUAUAAUUUUUAUAUAUAGAUUAAAUAUGUUUAAAAUUAUAAUAAAUAUGUUACAUCAUAUAUAAUAUAUUUAGAAAUAUUAAUAAAUAAUUACAAAUUUAUAAAUAAAAUAUUAUAUAUAUAAAAUAAAUAUAUAUAUUUAUAAAUAUGUAUAAUAAUUUUUUUUUCACAACGGUUUUUUGGUUGAAAGAAAAAAAAAAUAGAUAAAAAACUAUUUAAUAUAUUUUUAAUUAUAUAUAUUAUUAAUAUAUAAUAAUUAAUAUAUUAUAUAUAUUAUUGUUAUAAGUUUUAUAUAUAAAUUAAAUAUAUUUAAAAUUAUAAUGAACAUAUUACAUCAUAUAUAUAUAUAUAUAUAUAUAUAUAUAUAUAUAUAUAUAUAUAUAUAUAUAUAUAUAUAUAUAUAUAUAUUAUAGAUACAAGACAACUAUAAGAAGUAAGUACGUGUAUAUGGCAUGCCAACGACUGCAUAGACAUAUAGGUGGCAGACAUAUGCCGUCAAUGGGACAAUCAGUCCAAAAUACCCAAUCUCGAAACCAUGCUCAUCCGGUUUGGUCAAGCACCUGCAACCUCAAGCCAAGUGCCCUGGAGUCCGCACCGCAACACUCCCGACAGUACCCUGCCCAAUUAGCUCUACAUAUGCAUAUAACCCCUUCUAGGGCUCACGGGUUGUCACCGAUUUCUAACCACUUUUUCGGAAAAGAACAUCCUUGCGCGUGGAUCAGACCGCCAGUCGUCGUGAAUGCGACGAGUUAAUCGGGCGAUCAAUGGCAAUAUGGUCAAUGAUCAACCGUCCGGCAACCAUGCCGACAAUCCUGCCCCCCAGGGCCUAAUCGAGCAUAGGUCAUCCCUUCCAAGAACCGCCCUCGUCACUAGGAUGGACAGACCAUCGACAUCCUCUCAAACAUAUCAAAAUACUGACUAAUCAUCAACUGGGAGAUGGAACAAACUCACAAUCUCUUAUACCACAAGCAUUGAUAGAUACAUGAUGCAAAUGAGUCAACUACUGAUAUUAUGCCAAGAACGGUCAAACAAGUUAUUCUAUAUAUGGAUCUAGAACUACCGUCGCCCCAACAUAGUCCACAUACCUAGCCCUCAGUGUACAACGCGACCUCGAAAGGUCAGUCAACAAACAAGAGUCAAGAGACAAACCGACUAUAAUACGCACGACCUAUAAGAUACAAGAACAAAUCAACAUAACUCACCGCUUUCACAUAAAAUCACGAAAUACCAGAGCAUCUACUCUAAACAUCGAUACAGAUAAUGAGAAUACAUAAGUAACCGCAAUAAAGAAAUAUGGUAUAACUAACUCGUACUCCUAAUCAUUUGAUAUAUAAGAGAAACAACCGAGUAGAGUAGUAACUGAACAAACAUGGUGCUAGGCUCAACACUAUAUUAUCAACAGAUAUAUAUAUAUAUGCUAGAUAAUAACAAAAGCAAAGGUAAGAAACCCAUCACUCGGAGGCGUGCACCACUCGUACCGACGUCGAUCGAAGUACCCACCUGUUACCAACCUGUCGCGCCCUGUCUGCCUGACUCAAAAAGAACGUCAACAGACCUAAGAGUCCACUGGGUUAAGUGUCUAACCCACAACUAAGAAACCCUAACAGCAUAACUCCUCACAACAACCACUGAAUUACACAACCCACAGACAAUUCACGGAAAAUCGUUGUCCCAAAAACCGAUUACCGAACAAACUGAAAUCCGAGGAAAAAACGAAACCGCCCCACAAGAAAAACGCCGCACCACCAGACUCUGUCGGGACGCACCUGAAUUGUCUCGAAAACCACCGCACCAUAUACGAUCACCUGCUGCCCCAAAACAUUCAAUUUGAUGUUUUCAGCAAACACAAGAUAAACACGCACUACACAAUUAUCGUCGAAUAAUUGUACGAAUCCGGUCCCGAAAGUGUCUAUUUCGACCACCCGGAACCGAACCAUCCCCGCCUCCAACGUCGUCAUUCUAACUCCUCGAAAUGACGCGAGUCGAUCAACCAACAAGCUCACACUACACCUAUACGCUCCACAAGCCACCCGUGAACCUAAUUUCCCGAACCCGAAACCGCCAGCGUUCCGCGCGAUUCGCCGAGGACGCAUCCGAGCGAAAUAUACUUGUACGAUCUCCGGCACUAGGGCUUUCGGGGACCUUGACAAUCAGUCAGAGGGACUCACCCACAACACACUUACUACCAACUGCCCACAAUUAGCACACCAAGCCGCCGCCACCAAUUGGCACACAAAGUACUAUAGUGUUACCAUAAAGAAUCAUCAUUCUCUAAUGUAACAUCGGCGCGACUCACUAUGACUCGUUCUCACAGACUGAGGACUUUCUAAAUUUCCGCCAAGAACACGUACUGACAGGAUCUCGACGUGCCCGGAGCCGUUGCUCAAGGUCUAGACGCGCAACAGGUCACAGGGUGGAAGCCGGCGAGUAACGCCGAAGUUCUGGCAAACAGUGCGACAGUCGAGGAAGCAUCCGCGCCAAACAGGGCUAAAACCGACACUGUUGACUGCCAAGUGCAGGUGAGUCACCUGUGAUCAGCACUGACCAAACGAUUCACCGCGUGCUCCACCUCCGAGGCAUCAGGGACCAAGCCUCGGAUCGCCGGAUAAGCAGUGCAAAGCCAAACAGCAGCGCAAACAAGCUCUAUACGGGUCGCAAACGCCGAAAACAGCGGAACCGAUAAGUCGCACACGGCAGAAACUAAGGUGACGCACGAUGGGAGUUCAGUAAAUCUUGGGGCGGUACGGUGCGAGAUAAAAGCGUGCUCACUAUGCCGGUAGGAGAACGCGGAGAGACCUCUAGAGAGAGAUAAGGCCUAACAGAACAAUAGACCAUCCAAACUAAGCGUCCUAUUUCGAGCUUGGCCGGAUUUCAAGUCUUGUCGUCGCGGCCGCCUUCCGCGGCACGGCGGCGCGCGCGGAAGCCAGGGAUGGGUGACCCGGGGGAGGUGAGGAUAGUGGAAGGAUUCAACGAUCGCUAGAGAGUUACCAGUGCUCAAACGGUUGUCUCGAGGUUGAACGGGACGGUGGCGGCGGCGGCGCUCGCGGAGCAUACUUUAAGUCUAGGACACAAGAGAUCGGAGGCGUGCGAGUUCCCAAAGCGUGAGGCGGCGGCGCAUAUCGGCGCCGCGGAGCGGAGAGACCUCCGGGACGGCGGCUGAGGGUUGAUGGACGGCCGAGAAGGGUAGCUAGGGACCGGCGUCAGUUGGGCGGAGGACGCUGGCUGGGGCGCGCCGGGGGCUGGAGUAUCGAGGGCCAAGUUCUGGUGCAAACUAGAAGCAGGCGGCCGCCAGGGGCGUUGCAGCGCAAGACGGCGCGUCGCAGCGGCGCAGGGCGGCGGGAAGGACGCCGAGGGGCUUGGAAAGUCGGCCGGGGUGUCACGAUGGCGGCGGUGCGGAGAAAAGGCCGCCAGGCUUGCCUCGGCCUGCUCGCCUGGCGGCUGGCUGCUGCUGGAGCGGCACCGGCGGCGCUCCGCGGCUCAGGGCGCGGCGCCGCUGUGCUGAGGUCGAGGGAACGGGUGAUAACGCGCCAAGGGAGGAGUUUUGAGCCUCCCCUUGCUCGGGUCCAAGCCAGCUGGAGAAGUGAAGGUGGCAACAAGAAAGGGAGAGGGAACAAGAAAAAGGGCUGUGGUGGUGGUGCUGCCGCAGAUCCAGCUCGUGCGGCGGCCGGAGCUCGUGACGGCUAGGUCAGAGGAGGCAAGAACGUCGGACUANNNNNNNNNNNNNNNNNNNNNNNNNGGGUGCGGUUAGGGUUAACUAGGGAUGAUCUAGGGCUCGGAUCCCAAGAAAACCCUAGAAAACAAUAUAAGUAAGGCGCAAAAUUGCAAGAAAGUCCACCUAGACUUACUAUUUCAAGCUAAAUCCUUCCCAGCCUGAGUAAAAUGCGUGAAUACCCCUCCACGUGCGAUCUCACACAAAACGGUACAUAAAAUAUCGCGACUUUCGCAAAAAUACCAAUUUGCCCUCACCGAUCUCUCCUCGAUCAACGUGCGAUCUCCGCAGAUCCGUCCGUCGAAUUUGCGAACGGAUCACACCAGUGCGAUCAGCACCUCGGAGACAACAAAGCUACGAUUUCGUUUCACCUCAAACGGUCACGGAUUUGCGACGAACUCCACUCUCUCUCCAAAAGGCCAAAAAUCAAGCACAAUUACAUAAAAAACACGUUUUAUUGGAUUUUCUCGAAAUCCGUGCGUCAAACUCAAAAUCCGUCAGCGCCAUUAGUUCUAGAACAGCUGAACCGGUCGAAACGAGCUAUUGGACUGCUAUGAACGGAGUCCGAUACGCACCAGAAGCCAACUCUACUCCGUGGCUUCUCCGGAAAACCGGAGUUACUAUUCACUUAAGUGAAAACUAAAAAUCGCGUAUCUUCUCCAUUUUAGCUUAUUUUCUCCUGAAACUUGACGAGUGCUUAUGUAAUUAAAUUACACACAUAAACAUCAUCAACAGAGAGUUUAGUUGCACUGUAAAAAAUCUUAGUCCGUACACCCCAUUUUUCCAGGUGACUCGAGCGAGGAGUUGAUUCUUGGUGCGAUGGGAGGACGUACUAGCUAGACUGCAGCAGCGACCAUCACCCUAGUUAUGUUUCAUUUCCACAUUAGUAAUUUUAAAUAAUUAAAUGGUUCAGUUAGAUGAUCACUAUAAAUGUUUCAAUAUUUGUGAACUGGUUUGAGUUGAUGUUUUUCUAUGAUACAUGCGAUUGGAGAUUUAUGAAUGUAUAGUUUUGGAUUUACGUAUUUAUACAUCGUGGUUUUCUACCCCUCGAGGUAGUUGGUUUUCAAAAUGGAGUUUUCGAGUGGGAAACAGUUUUAAAAGGUUUCCAAAUGAUUUUAUGGAGGAUUAUAUAGAGUUUAAAAACAAAGCUUCUGGAUGGGAAGUACUUUUAAAUAGGAUGAGUAUUGUACUGUGCAUCGCAUCAUCCAGUGCCUAAGGAGUGCUUAGAGGCAUGCAUCAUCUCUAAGGAUCGUUAGCUGUAUGGAAAUGCAUCACAUGGAUUGUUUGUGGAUUGGUGAAUGUAAGUUGUUGUUGUGAUCCUGAUAUUGUUGUUGGUAUGCUGUGCAAAUACAAAGGAGACUCUGUCCGUAUGGUCAGAGGAAUUUUGUAUUUGUGGUAGGUCUGUACGUCACGUGGGCCGGGCUGAAUUCAAAAAAAAAAAUGGCACGUUUUUCGCAAUUCGGAUUUUAAAAUUGUAUUCAUUAUAAAAAGGCUUUUAAAAUCGGCCCCGGGGCGUGACAUCGUAGGUCCAGCUGACUUCUCGUGCGUCUAGGAUUCAAACACGAUUGUGAUAGGCGGGUACUUCGAUCCGAAGUCGGUAAAGUGGAGCCUACUCAGUGAUCUCUAUUUUUGUUAUCUUCUUUCGUUAUUUGAUAUUUAUUGAGCAUUCUUACACCACUUGACUUCUUUCGUUAUUCCUAUUUCAUAUGGUCAUGAUUUAAUAGUAGAGUAAUGUUUCUAAUGAUUGAGUCAUACAUGUGUGAUUUGACAUUAGUUGACUUCAUAGUCGGUGGCACUCGUAUUCAUACAUGCGGUGAUUUGACAUUAGUUGACUUCAUAGUCGGUGACACUCGUAUUCAUACAUGCUGUGAUUUAACAUUAGUUGACUUCAUAGUCGGUGACACUCGUAUUCAUACAUACUGUGAUUUGACAUUAGUCGACUUCAUAGUCGGUGGCACUCGUAUACAUACAUACUGUGAUUUGACAUUAGUUGACUUCAUAGUUAGUAACACUCGUAUUCAUACAUGGUAUGAUUUGACAUUAGUUGACUUCGUGGUCGGUGAUAUUGUCCUAUCCUUGAGAUAGAGGUUGACCUAGUUGGUCAGUUACUCUUUGUUGGACUUUACCUCGGCUAUCCGCCGACAGUGGGUUAUUAAGCAUAUUGCAUCGAUCGCCACUGCUCAUAUGCAUUUCACAUACACCAGCGGUUUGAUCCACCGCGGGAAGGUAUUUUUUUCGAAAAAGUGGUCGUACAUCCGACCCGUGACCCAGGAGCUUAUGCUAGGAUUAUAUGCCUUUCAGACCCAGGAGCUUAUGCUAGGAUCAUAUGCCUUUAGACUCAGGAGCUUAUGCUAGGGUCAUAUACAAGUUAGAGCGGUAGUGGCAUAGCCUGAGGUCUUCGGACCGAUAUGGCGGCUUCUGGGUAUUUUUGGGACUAAUCGUCCGGUUGAUACAUACUUGUACUUUGUUCUGUAUUACAAUAGCGGCUAGUUAUAUUCCUCUGUACUGUUGUUUACCCCCUGCAUCAUUGCUACUGUAGUUAUGAUAUCGAUGUAUGCAUUCUGUUCUACCUUACAGUAGUGGUAGUUAUAUGUUCUAUUACUGUUCUCUUUCCUUCCGGUAUUAUUGCUACUAUAUUUGUGAUAUCUGCUCAUAAUUUUGAUUAUCUCUUCUUGUACCGAUAGGGAUGUCAAUGGGUAUGGAUACCCGAAAUUUUAUCCGAACCCGAACCCGAAUGAAACGGAUAUAUCUGAUGGAUAUGGAUAUGGUUCGGAUAUGGAUAUAAAAAAUAGAAACCCGACGGAUAUGGAUUCAGAUAUGGAUUUUGAUUGUACCCGACCCGAAAACGAAACCGGCCCGAACCCGACCCGAACCCGAAUUUAUUUUGUAUUAUAUAUAAUAUAUAUAUAUAAAAUUUGAUGUUAUAUUUGAAUUUGUAUUUUAAAAAUUUAGAUUUAAUAUAAUAUAUUUUGAAAUAUUGAAAAAAGAAAUAAUUGUUUCGGGUUCAAAUUUUCGGGUUUGGGUUCGGGUUCGGGUUUCGGAUUUUUGGUCGGGUUUGGGUUUGGAUAUGGAUUUUUAAAAUCCGUCGGGUUCGGGUUCGGGUUCGGGUCUCNNNNNNNNNNNNNNNNNNNNNNNNNNNNNNNNNNNNNNNNNNNNNNNNNNNNNNNNNNNNNNNNNNNNNNNNNNNNNNNNNNNNNNNNNNNNNNNNNNNNNNNNNNNNNNNNNNNNNNNNNNNNNNNNNNNNNNNNNNNNNNNNNNNNNNNNNNNNNNNNNNNNNNNNNNNNNNNNNNNNNNNNNNNNNNNNNNNNNNNNNNNNNNNNNNNNNNNNNNNNNNNNNNNNNNNNNNNNNNNNNNNNNNNNNNNNNNNNNNNNNNNNNNNNNNNNNNNNNNNNNNNNNNNNNNNNNNNNNNNNNNNNNNNNNNNNNNNNNNNNNNNNNNNNNNNNNNNNNNNNNNNNNNNNNNNNNNNNNNNNNNNNNNNNNNNNNNNNNNNNNNNNNNNNNNNNNNNNNNNNNNNNNNNNNNNNNNNNNNNNNNNNNNNNNNNNNNNNNNNNNNNNNNNNNNNNNNNNNNNNNNNNNNNNNNNNNNNNNNNNNNNNNNNNNNNNNNNNNNNNNNNNNNNNNNNNNNNNNNNNNNNNNNNNNNNNNNNNNNNNNNNNNNNNNNNNNNNNNNNNNNNNNNNNNNNNNNNNNNNNNNNNNNNNNNNNNNNNNNNNNNNNNNNNNNNNNNNNNNNNNNNNNNNNNNNNNNNNNNNNNNNNNNNNNNNNNNNNNNNNNNNNNNNNNNNNNNNNNNNNNNNNNNNNNNNNNNNNNNNNNNNNNNNNNNNNNNNNNNNNNNNNNNNNNNNNNNNNNNNNNNNNNNNNNNNNNNNNNNNNNNNNNNNNNNNNNNNNNNNNNNNNNNNNNNNNNNNNNNNNNNNNNNNNNNNNNNNNNNNNNNNNNNNNNNNNNNNNNNNNNNNNNNNNNNNNNNNNNNNNNNNNNNNNNNNNNNNNNNNNNNNNNNNNNNNNNNNNNNNNNNNNNNNNNNNNNNNNNNNNNNNNNNNNNNNNNNNNNNNNNNNNNNNNNNNNNNNNNNNNNNNNNNNNNNNNNNNNNNNNNNNNNNNNNNNNNNNNNNNNNNNNNNNNNNNNNNNNNNNNNNNNNNNNNNCUCAAUUAUAUAUAUAUAUAUAUAUAUAUAUAUAUAUAUAUAUAUAUAUAUAUAUAUAUAUAUAUAUAUAUAUAUAUAUAUAUAUAUAUUCGCGUACAUCAUACAUACCCUAACCCCCGCUCGCCCCUCUCCGCCUCCUCCUCCUUCUAUAUUUCCGUAAAAACCCCGUCGCCCCUCCCGGCUAGAUAGCCGUAGUAAAGGCCGGCUUCAACCUUCAUCAAGCGUUUACAUCGGCGACACCGCCCUCAGCGUCGCGCGUCUACUUCUUCUCGAGGUAACAACAAUCGCAAAUAUUAUUGAAAAAAAAUAUAUUUUGAAGGACUUAAAAGAUUAUGUUUCUUGGUAAUAUGUGAUUUACAUAUUUUUUACGCAUUUAGGGUGUUUUUGAUUUGAUGUAAAAGUGGUGGAAAAAAAUAUUUGAUAAAAAAAUAAUUUACGGAUCGUUUGAUUUUACAUAAAAUUUUUUUUCAUCAAAAUUAAUUUUACAUCAGAGUGUGCUCCGGCUUGGAGCACCCGGCGCAACGCGUACUCGUCGUGAGGGCGAAAAGCAAAAGAGUACGAUAAUUAAAGUACGCGAGGGCGAAAAGCAAAAGCCGCUGGUGUCGGAGCUCGUCUUUUGCAGCAAAAGAGUACGCUAAUUAAAGUACACGAGGGCGAAAAGUAAAAGUCGCUGCUGUCGCGAGCUAACCUUUGCUUANNNNNNNNNNNNNNNNNNNNNNNNNNNNNNNNNNNNNNNNNNNNNNNNNNNNNNNNNNNNNNNNNNNNNNNNNNNNNNNNNNNNNNNNNNNNNNNNNNNNNNNNNNNNNNNNNNNNNNNNNNNNNNNNNNNNNNNNNNNNNNNNNNNNNNNNNNNNNNNNNNNNNNNNNNNNNNNNNNNNNNNNNNNNNNNNNNNNNNNNNNNNNNNNNNNNNNNNNNNNNNNNNNNNNNNNNNNNNNNNNNNNNNNNNNNNNNNNNNNNNNNNNNNNNNNNNNNNNNNNNNNNNNNNNNNNNNNNNNNNNNNNNNNNNNNNNNNNNNNNNNNNNNNNNNNNNNNNNNNNNNNNNNNNNNNNNNNNNNNNNNNNNNNNNNNNNNNNNNNNNNNNNNNNNNNNNNNNNNNNNNNNNNNNNNNNNNNNNNNNNNNNNNNNNNNNNNNNAUUGGGCGCAUCUUAGAAAUCGCAAUCUAAAUGUUUUACUUUUUGUGGCGUAAAUUUAAUAGUUUGCCACUAUUUUAAUUUGAUAUGAAUUUCUAGAUAUUAAUUAUGGGAAAUUUUUUAAAAUGGCCGCAGAUUAUGGGUACUUUUAGUAGCUAAAUUUAAAUUUCGUCACUAAAAAAAGAAUGUAAUUUCUGUGGUGACCUAUUUCUCAAUAAAUGUACAAAAUGUUAGUGGCGGACUGUAAGUUUGGUCAUUAAAAAUACUCUUUAUUUUAGUGGCUUUUUAUUUUCCUAUAAAUGUUUCGUGUAUUAGUGGCAAAUUUAUAUUUUGCUACUAUUGUAUUUUAGUGUUAUUUUAUUCACAUUAUUUGUAGAAGUUUUUAAAAAUAGCUAUAAAAUAUAUUUAAUUAUAGUAGCAAUAGUUUAAUUUUGCCACUAAAAUAUGUCCAUUACAUUAGCGGCCAUAUUUAAAAAUGCCGCAAAUUAUGGGUACUUUCAGUGGCCAAAUUUAAAUUCUAUCACUGAAAAGAAAAUGUAAUUUCUAAAUGUAGGGAAUGUUAGUGGCAGACUGUAGGUUUGGCUAUUAAAAGUACUCUUUAUUUUAGUGGCUUUUUAUUUUCCUAUAAAUGUUUCGUGUAUUAGUGGCAAAGUUUAUAUUUUGCUACUAUUGUAUUCUAGUGUUAUUUUAUGCAUAGUAUUUGUAGAAGUUUUUAAAAAUAGUAGUAAAAUAUAUUUAAUUAUAGUAGCAAUAGUUUAAUAUUGCCACUAAAAUAUGUCAGUUACAUUAGUGGCCAUGCAUGUGGCAAUAAAUUUUGAUUAUAUUUGUGAUAGUAGUUACUUUUAGCUGAUAAAAGCGGUCUUGAUUUAAAUAGCAUUUAAAUUUUCUGUAAAGUAUAAGAAUAAUAGUAGCAAUUUUUUGUUUUGCCAUUAAUACUUAGAGUAGAAUAAAUUUUUGUUUCAAAAAUAUCUCAAAUAUUUUUUAUUUGAAAUUAAAUUACAUUUUUUAACUUUAACUUUCAGUUAAAAUAUAAGUUGAAAUUUAGAAAUUAACUUUUUAGUUUUAGAUUCUAAUUUGAACUUAAAUAAAAAAUAAAAAAUUUUAAUUUAAAAUUUAUUGUUUAGUAUUAAAUAAUAAAUUUAUAUAGAUUUUAAAUUAAAUUUUAUAGAUUAAAAUUGAAAUUUAAAUUGUAAUUUCAAGUACAAAUUUGAAUCAAAUAAAAAAUUAAUUUUAUCUUUUGAAUAGUUCAUUCAGUUUCAAAUUUUAAUUUUUUAAAAAAUUAUAUAUUACGUAGAAAUUUCUAAUUAAGAUGAUAAUAAAAAUCAAAUAUAGUAAAUAUUAGGGGUGAAAGUGCAUUUACUCAAAAGAAAAUCCUAACCUCUCUCGGCGUACCUGCGGAAUAAACUUAAUCUAGAGUCCAAUAGAUACGAGCUAGAUUCUAAUUAAUCAUAUAUAUCUAGAGUCCAAUAUUGGCGUAAGUGAUACGUACCCUAAUUAAUCAUGGAUACGGCCCACGCCUUUUUAUCUAUUAAUAGAUACGAGCUAGAUUCUAAUUAAUCAUAUAUAUAUAUAUAUAUAUAUAUAUAUAUAUAUAUAUAUAUAUAUAUAUAUAUAUAUAUAUAUAUGAAUAAUUAUUUAUUAAUAUUCUUAAAUUUAUGACUUUUAUAUAUUACAUAUGUAAUAUGUUUAUUUUAAUUUUAGAUAUAUUUAAUUUAUAAAUAGAAAUUAUAAUAAUAAUUAUAUAUAUAGAAUAGUAAUUUUUAUAUAUUAAUAAUCUAUUUAAUAAAAAAAUAUUAAAUAGUUUUUCAUCUAUUUUUUUCAUUAUAACCAAACAACUGUCAUGAAAAAUUUCCACCGAAAUUUUUUUUUCCGCAAUUUUACGUGGAACCAAACACACCCUUAGCAUCUUUGAUAUUAUUUUCUCAAGUAUCAUUUUAUAUUCUUGUUAUUUUGUUUUUCAUUUUUGUGCAAAAAUAAAUUUUAGAAUGUGGAUUGGAAAAAAAAAAAAAAAUUUGUCACCAUUUUACUAUUUCAGUUGAUACUCAACUUCUUUGGUUGGGCUAUUUUGAGUCAACAAAAUGCAUGUCCUAGUCGACACUCCUCAUUUGCACUCCUCAUUUGCAAAGGAAUUUUUUUUAAUUAUUUUUGUGGCUCAAAAUAUUUUUUCUAUAUCCACGACAAUCAGAAAUUUUUAGCUUAUUAUUUUUUUCAAAAUAAACAAGUGAUUUCAAAAGUAGGACUAAACAAGCACAAAGAUAAUCAUAUAAUCAAUUUUGAAUUUUGAAUUUUGACAUUUAAGACUUGAAAUUAAAAAUUAAAAUUAAUAUUUAAAUUUAAAUUUAAUAUUUAAAUCUAAAUUUUAAAUUUUAAAAAUUUUAAUUUUUAAUAAUUCAAAUUUAAAUAAAAAAUAUAUAAUUUAAAAUUGAAAUAUGAAUUUAAAUUAAAAUUUGAAUCUAAAAUUUAAAUAAAAAUUUAAAAUUUGAGUCCAAAAUUAGAAUCAAAUUUCAUAAAGCAAAUUUUACGUGAUUUUGAUUUUAGGCCUGAAAACUAAAAAAUUAAAUCUAAAAAUCAGAAUCAAAUUUUGAAAAUAAGGUUGCCAAAUGCUCUAUAAAUUUAGAAAAUAAUAUAAAGUAAUAAAAUUAAAUAAUCCUAAUAAGACACAUUUCUACUGUUAUAAAGUUUGGCUUUAUUAUUUUAUUAGAUUGCAUAUACUCCCCUUUAUUAAUAGUGCAUGCGGAUAUUUUUAAUAUCCAGAUAUAUUGCAGAUAUAUAUAUAUAUCACGAUGGAUAAAAGUUGGAUGGGUAUUGAAAAUAGACAACAUCCGAAUUACAGAACAGGAGUGAAUGGUUUUCUUGACUUCGCAUUUGCACAUGCAGCGAGAGGAGAUAAAAUUCGAUGUCCCUGUUAUAAAUGUGUCAAUGGUGCUUUUCAUACUCGAGAGGUUGUAUUCGGUCAUCUUAUCUUGCAUGGGAUAUUAAAAGAUUAUAAAUGGUGGUCGAGUCAUGGGGAACAAUGUCCAAAUCAGAGUAGUGAAAGUAGCGACAGUAAUAAUGAAGAACAACAUAAGGAGAGUAGUGAUGAUGAAAUGCAUGAACUUCUACAAGACUUGAACCCAAUUGAAGAUAUAAAUGACUCGACGCAUUCCAACUUUGAUGAACCUAAUGAGUCUGCAAAAAAAUUUUACCAAUUAUUGAUGGACGCAAAGCAAGAAUUGUAUCCCGGAUGUAAAGAGUUUUCCAAACUAGAGUAUAUUGUAAAUCUAUUACAACUUAAAUGUCUUCAUGGUUGGAGUGACAAAUCAUUUACUGCGUUACUUCAACUGAAAAAAAGAGCACUUCCAGCUGGUGAAACACUUCCAAAAAAUUAUUAUGAAGCGAAAAAAUAUAUAAGGGAUCUAGGUUUGGAUUAUAUAAAAAUUGAUGCAUGUAAAAAUGAUUGUAUUCUCUAUUGGAAAGAAUACGAGAAAUAUGAUAAUUGUCCAGUGUGUGAAGCUUCUAGGUGGAAACAUGGUGAUGAUAAUCAAAAUAACAUUCGUGGCCGUAGAAUAAAGAAUGCAAAAAAGAUCUCACAAAAAUCUUUGCGCUAUUUUCCUCUCACGCCAAGAUUGCAAAGAUUAUAUAUGUCAUCGAAGACUGUUUCUCACAUGAGAUGGCAUAAAGAGAAACUAUGUGAUGAUGGGCUAUUAAGACAUCCUGCUGAUUCUUUAGCAUGGAAGUCGUUUGAUGAAUUACAUCCAUCCUUUGCUUUUGAUCCACGUAAUGUCAGGUUAGGUUUAGCAAGUGAUGGCUUUAAUCCCUUUGGAAAUAUGAGUACUUCCUAUAGUAUAUGGCCAGUUGUCUUAGUUGUAUACAAUUUGCCACCAUGGAUGUGUAUGAAAAGUUCUUAUUUCAUAAUGUCAAUGCUUAUUCCGGGCCCAAAAGCACCAGGGAAUGAUAUUGAUGUAUACUUACAACCUCUAAUAGAUGAAUUAAAUGGAUUAUGGAGUGUGGGAGUUGAAACUUAUGAUGCAUUAAGUAAAUCCAAUUUUCAACUCUAUGCUUCAUUAUUGUGGACUAUAAAUGACUUUCCAGCAUAUGGCAAUUUAUCUGGUUGGAGCACUAAAGGAGCAUUAGCUUGUCCUAAUUGCAAUAAAGAUACUUGCUCUCUUCGAUUAAAGCAUGGGCGAAAAAUGUGUUAUAUGGGACAUCGACGCUUCUUAAAACGCGAUCAUAAAUGGCGUAGAGAUAAAAAGUCUUUUGAUGGAAAGAUAGAAACUCAACAAGCACCAAAAUAAUUAUCUGGUGAUGAGAUACUUGAACAGCUAAGCAAGAUUACAAAUGUGACAUUUGGCAAACUCACAGAAAAAAGAAAGCGGAGUGAAUCUACUUUAAUAUAUAAUUGGAAAAAAAAAAGUAUAUUUUUCCAAUUACCUUAUUGGAGAACUCUUCUAGUGCGCCAUAAUCUUGAUGUUAUGCACAUCGAAAAGAAUAUCUGUGACAAUAUUGUGGGCACGCUCUUUAAUAUUGAUGGAAAAACAAAAGAUAGUAUAAAUGCUCGACUUGACCUUAAGGAAAUGGGAGUGCGAUCUGAAUUACAUCCUUUAGAUAAUGAUGAUAGUUAUGUCAUUCCACAAGCAUGUUACACCUUAAGUUUGAAAGAAAAGCGAGAUGUAUGUGAAUGUUUACUUAACUUAAAAGUACCAGAUGGAUAUUCGUCCAACAUAUCUCGGUGUAUCAAUAAAAAGGAGGGAAAGCUAUUUGGAAUGAAAUCUCAUGAUUGUCAUGUCUUUAUCCAAGAUCAUUUAGCACCAACUUUUCGUGGCAUUUUACGAAAAGAGGUAUAUGAACCACUAGUAGAAUUAAGUGUAUUCUUUAAGGAGUUAUGUUCGAAAACACUACGAUCAGAUGUGUUAGAAAGAUUGGAGUAUAACAUUAUAAUUACACUUUGCAAGCUAGAAAGGAUAUUUCCACCUGCAUUCUUCGAUAAAUAGAAUAUUCUAAGAUUGCUUGGUGAUAGGUUCUUGCGUAAGUUGAAGUCUUAUGUCCGUAAUAAAGCACGUCCAGAAGGAUCUAUUGCAGAAGGCUAUAUUGCAGAGGAGUGUUUAACCUUUUGUUCUAGGUAUUUGAGUAGAGUCGAGACAAAAUUCAGUCGACCUGAGAGAAAUUUUGAGGGUAAUGAAGAUCAUAGAUCAGAGUUAUCCGUUUUUCGACGAAACGGGAGACCACUUAAUAAUGGAAAGGGAGUCUUCAAGCAACUAACUUAUGAAGAAUGGCAUCGUGCACAACUUUAUGUGUUAAAAAAUUGUGCUGAAGUUCAACCUUUUCUUGAGUAAGAUUACCUAUAAGUAUUUUUAUUUGUUUACUAAUUUUCUUUUUUAUUUGUUAGUUAUUUAUCAAAAUUGAUAAUUAUACUUUUUUGCUAAUUCACAUAGAGAACACCAAAGAGAACUGGAAAAAGAGGAUUGUACUAAUGUGUCAGAAAUACAGGAUACAACAUUUGUUAAAUGGUUUAAACGCCGAGUAAGUGAAUGUAUUAGAAUAUUAUAUAUUUAUUAGUAAUUAUUAUUAUUGUCUAACUAUUCUAUAUAUUUAUCUUGUAACAGGUUACAUACUUAUAUCACGAAAGUACUGAAAAAGUAAGCAAAGAACUUUUGAAUUUAGCUUAUGGUCCCAAUACAUUAGUUAAUCACUACGCUGGUUAUAUAGUUAACGGCUACAGGUUUCACACUCAUAAGCGUGAGGUUACGCGUCAAACUCAAAGUAGUGGUGUUGUGGUUAAGGGUGAUGAGCAAUCAGGGAAUAGAGAUUAUUAUGGAGUUUUGCAGGAUAUUAUUGAAUUAGAUUAUGAUGGCGGAAAUAAAAUAACAAUUUUUAAGUGUGACUGGUGGGAUACUUAUGAUGAGGGUAGGGGUUUCAAGAAGGAAGCCAAUGGAAUUACACUUAUUAAUUUUACUCGGCACUUGGCGGUCAAUGAGCCUUAUGUGUUAGCAUGGCAAGUGGAACAAGUUUAUUAUGUAGUAGAUAAUAAGAAUCCUAAUUGGCGACUCGUUAUCAAAACUAUACCUCGAAACUUUUAUAAUUUUCCUAUUACUGAUGAAGAGUCAGUUGACGACGAAGGACUUGAUUUAGAACACGUGGAUAUGGAAGUUAAUACAACCAAUUUAUUACCAGAAUAUAUUGCUAGUAGUGAUGAUGCCAUUAUUUCUUUGACGAGAAAUGAUGUUGACGGCAUUAUUUUUGAUAAGAACCAUGCAUUAUUCAAAGAAAUAAAUCAAGUUGGAGAAAAAAAUAAUUUAGUUAAUAAAGAGCUAGAGGAGGAUAAUGAAGGUGAAGAACAAAUGGAAGAAGAAGAAGAUGAGUAGGAUAUGCAUGAAUAAUUGGUAUGAUAUUGUGUGUGGUAUGUUAUUUUAUCUCUAAUUUUUAUUAUAUGUUUGCUUCUUUAUAAUUAUUUCUAAAAAAGCGAUUUGUAUUUAUAUGAAUUUAUUUAUAGGUAUCUUAUGAUGCAAUUGACAUAUUUAUUUUCUUAUAGAUAUAAUGGCAAGCAGAAUUAGAUCUGGAAGCAUUAGGACUAGAGGUGGAGCUCAACGAGCAAUUCCAACACCACCAACUGAAGAGAUUGGCGAGCAUGAACUGCCAAUGGAAUUGAAUGUGGCACAACCUCGGGAAGAGCAUCCUUCGAUAGAUUCACAUGAUGGACUCAAUAGGAGUAGUGCUGGUAUGGUUAAUUAUUUUGAGUAUAUUUAUAUUCUUGUAAGAUAUUGAUGAUAAUACUCUACUUUCUAAUCUCAUUCUUCUUGAUCUUAUACAAAUUGUUAAGUUUUCACAUUUAUUAUCUUGUGAAAUAACAAAUGUUACUUUUUAUGUU
rnacentral:lncRNA from 1 species